rnacentral:lncRNA from 1 species
GAUGAGAAGCUCAAUGGGAAUCUUAAGACUGUUUAUUUUGAGGAGUCUCCAGUCAUGUCGACUUAUUUGGUGGCAUUUGUUGUUGGCUUAUUUGAUCAUAUUGAAGAUACAACUACGAAUGGUAUGUGUAUAAACCACAGACUUGUGCUUUUCUGAUAUAAUUCACCUUUCUGUUAACUGAAUCUUUAAAAUCUGUGUGCAGGUGUCAAAGUUCAUGUAUACUGCCCUGUUGGUAAGAGCUCUGAAGGGAAGCAUGCACUUGAUGUUGCUAUUAAGUCUCUUGGUAUAUAUACUGAGUGAGUGAUCCAAAAUUUUAUAUACACAAGAUUUAAUUUUACAGAACUGAAAAAAAUCAAAUCAAGAUAUCUGUAGUUUAAGAAAAUUGGCUUCCAUUAACAAUGCACAAGAAUAAGUCCUCGUUUUCAUGAAUAUAAUCCCUUCUUUCUAUAUUCUUCUGUGGUUGCAUGUUCGAAUGUGGUGACGUAAUUAUUGUCCCAUCUCCCAUUUUCAGUACAUUAAAUUGAUUUACGAACAACCUCUGUUGCAUUUUUUUUCAGGUUUUUCUCAACUCCUUACCCACUCCCUAAACUGGAUAUGGUUGCUGUAUCUGAAUUUCAUGCUGGAGCUAUGGAGAACUUUGGUCUGAUUGUAUAUCGCGAAAAUGAGCUACUUUACAAUGAAAAGACAUCAACAGCUAAUCGAAAGCAGAUUGUAAGUUGCAUAUUAUGUGCCUUUAGCUUACUUUUGCAAUUCAUUAGUUGCAAAAUUUUCCGAAGACUUAUAGCAGCUUCUGCUUCCAAGAAAAUGAAGCCUUUGUUCUUUUUACUUAUUUUGGUUUGUUUUUCAUUGUUCUUCUUUUUGAAAUUUCUAAUCUGAAGGACGUGGUAAUGAGUAUUCUCAACUGCUUUUCUUUUCCUUAUCAGAUGACAAUCUCUACAUCGCAUGAAGUGGCUCAUCAAUGGUUUGGCAAUCUGGUAACUAUGGAAUGGUGGACUCAUUUGUGGCUUAAUGAGGGAUUUGCAACAUGGGUAAUUAUGAAUCUCUCAACUUUGUACAUGCACUUUCCUAAGCAGUCAUUGCAGCUGGCCGCAACUUUGUACUCUUUAUGUUGUAACAUGGAUUAAGUUUCCAGAUUAGUUAUAUGGCCACUGAUAUCAUGUUUCCUGAGUGGAAAAUGUGGACUCAAUUUCUUCGACAAACUAGUCAUGGCCUAAGACUGGAUGCACAAGAACAAUCACAUCCAAUUGAGGUAUUUGUAAACUUGUUGGCAUUUUUCUUGUUCAAGUAUAAAUGAUCCUGCAAUUCAACUGUCGUUUACAAGUGGUUGGCGGUGUUUUCAGGUGGAGGUACAUCGUGCUGAUGAAAUCGAUCAAGUUUUUGAUGCUAUCAGUUAUAACAAAGGGUCAGCAGUUAUCAGAAUGUUGCAGAGUUAUCUUGGGGAAGACAUAUUUCAGGUGGUAAAGCUUGCCAAUUUUCAAUAUGAAGAGAAUUUCUGUUUUCCCCUGUAAAUAGAGAAAGGCUUUUAACCUUUCCAUAAGGAAAACUUUAGCAUCAUUCAAGUUUUUUUCUUUCAACCUCUGACUUCAUUUUUGAACCAGAAAUCCUUAAGUUUGUACAUGAAGAAAUAUGCUUGGAAAAAUGUGGAGACAGAAGAUUUGUGGAGUGUACUUUCUGAGGAAUCUGGCAUUAAUAUAACCUCACUGAUGGAAUGCUGGACAAAACAGAAGGGACAUCCAGUUGUGUAUGUAAACUGCAAAGAUAAUCUUCUGGAAUUUAAGCAGGUCUUAACGUUGCUUGACAAGUUAAAACUGCACUUGCAAAUUUCAUUUUGCCUUUGAAAUUGUCUCAAAUGAGGAAUCUGAUACUGAUUUCAACUGCAGUCACAAUUUGUAUCAUCUGGUUUGCAAGGUGAUGGAAGAUGGACUAUCCCAAUAACUUUGUCCUUAGGCUCAUAUAACAAUCAGAGGAAUUUCCUUUUGGAAUCACAAUCUCAAAGCGUCGAUAUAUCAGAAAUGCUUCCUUCUUCAGAUGGAAAGUUGUGCUCAUUUAAGGAAUGCGAUGAAACUUUAUGGAUCAAAGUUAAUGUUGAACAGAGUGGUUUCUACAGAGUAAUAUAUGAUGAUGAACUUUCAGCUCGACUGAGGAAAGCUGUAGAAAACAACUGCUUGUCAGCAGCAGAUAAACUUGGUGUGGAUAUGAUGUGAAUUCCUCUUUUGAGCCACUUCUAAUUUUCAUUGCUAUAUAUCAUCAGAGUCAACCAGCUAACAACUUCUCUUAAUCUCAUCUUCAGGCAUUUUAGAUGACAUGCUUGCUCUUUGCCAGGCUUGUAAGCAACCGUUAUCCUAUUUGCUUUUGUUAUUAGAUGCACACAGAAAAGAGCAUGAUAGUAUGGUGUUAUCAAAACUUAUCAAUGUAAGUAAGGCUUUUGUAUCUUGAGCAUUACCUCAAUUAGAGCUUAUAUUCACAAUUCACAGUAUACUGACUUUUAGGCAAUUUACGCUACAGGUAUGUUAUGAUGUUGUUGAAAUCAUAACAGAUGCCAUGCCAGAUGCAGUAAAUGAAUUGAAAGAAUUUUUCAUCAGUCUCCUCCAAUCUUCUGCUGAGUAAGAGAAACUAGCAGAUGCAAUCCCCAUAAUGCUUAGUGAUUUUAUUCUUGGUACAUAACAACAGAAGUUUCUUGCUUAUGUGCAGAAGAUUAGGAUGGGAACCAAAACCUGGAGAGAGUCAUUUAAAUGUGCUUUUAAGGGGAGAAGUGUUUACAGCUUUGGCCUCUUUUGGCCACGAUAAAACUCAUAAAGAAGCAAUGCAGCGGUUUCAGGAAUUGUUGAAUGAUAAAGACACAAUACUUCUUUCAGCUGACUUGAAAAAGGUAAAAUCAAGCCUAAGUAUCCAUAUGGUAUCCUCGCUCCUUAGAACAUUUUCAAUAUGAUAUGCAAAAGUACCGUCUGCAGGCUAUUUACUUUGCUGUAAUGAGAAAUGUUACCACCACAAAUAGGAGUGGCUUUGAGUCGCUACUGAAGUUUUAUAGAGAAGCUGAUGCAGUGCAAGAGAAGGAGAGGAUUCUGCGUAAGGCAUAUCGAAAUUUGAACUAAAAUCAAAUUUAUGAUCCUUUAAGGGAACUUUUUUCAUUCACUCUGCGUUAUAUGUUUCAACCUGAUACAGAAACCAUAGCAUCAUCCCCUGACCCAGCUCUAGUUAAUGAGGUUUUGACCUUUCUGAUAUCAGAUGAGGUGUCUCUCUUCACUAAGCUAUGUGCAGUGACAGCUACAAUUUCCUUCUCAGAACUACAGUAACUGAGUUCAUCUUAAUAUUCAUUUAGGUUCGCAAUCAAGACAUUAAUUAUGGACUCUCAGGAUUACGGUUUGAGUGCCGCGAAGCAGCAUGGAGAUGGUUGCAGGUAAAUUAACUAGGAAAAUCUUCUAAACUGACGGAGGAUCCUCUUUGAAUUUUACACUUCACUUUCGUGUAUGUUUUGGGAUCUAAUGCAGGAAAAUUGGGACAAAAUCUUAAUGAAAUAUGAAGGGUUUUUACUCCAUUCUUUUGCUAGGGAUUUCGUCACCCUGGUAAGCAAUUGAGCUUGGCAUUAUUGAAUUGGUGUUAACUAUUUCUUGACAAUAUGCUUAAAAUGUGAAUUAUACUUUUUUAACUCCAAAGAAAAAGUUUUAAUCCAAAUGCCUACCACCUCAAUUAGGAUGUUGUGAACCAAAUCAGCUUGGUUGCUUGCUUAGUAUGGAAAAUAAAUAAGUAGAAUUAUUAUACUUAGUACGGAAAAUAAAUAAAUAGAAUUAUUAUUUCUUUAGAGAUCAUUAGGAUAGGAGCAAAAGGAGGAUAAAGAUAAUUAAUUAAGAAUAAUUAGCAUAUUCUUUCCAUAAGCAUCCUCUUUCGAUGAGUGGGACUGUCUUUUUCUUUAAUUCACUUCCAUCUUUGGUAGGAGAAUUGUCUCAAAUUACUUUUUAUUGGGACGGCUUAACUUAUAAUUUUUAGAUGUCCAACCCAUAUAACUCCUCUUUACUGGUCAAUGUAGGACGCAAUUCAACAUCUUUUAAAUAUUUUUUAAAAAAGUACAACACGUGAUCAAAAAGUGGGUCUUGUGCGCCGUUAAUUAAUUACGCAUAUUCGUCUUGCAGUUUUCCAGCAAUGAAAAGGCUGAUGAGAUUGAAGCAUUUUUUGCAAGUCAUGUGCAAACUGGAGUUGACAAGGUUUUGAAGCAAAGCAUCGAAAAAAUUCGAAUCAAGGCAAGAUGGAUGGAAAGCAUCAAGCAAGAGCAGUCUCUUCCUGACUUAAUCAAGCAAUUAGCUCACAAGGGAUACUAGCUUCAUUAUCGCGCCACGUAUGUAGAUAUGCUUCGUAAGACGGGCAACGUCACACUAUUACAAGUCUUGGUUUCCAUAUAUUAUGUGUUGUGUUGUCUCUAAAGUCAACCUUAUUAGACUGUGAACAGCUUACAACCUGAUGUCUUUAUGUGAAGUGUGAACGCCAAGUAGUUGGUUCAGACCAAUGGACCAACAUUCAUAGAUUCCUAUAUAUUGCUUCAGUGUUCAAUGUUCAAUGUUCAAUGUUGUACCUGUCUGUGUUAAUUAGACAGCUAAUUAAUACACUUAAAAUGACAGCAUUAACCUAACUUUAUGGCCAAAUUCAAGAUUGUGGAGAGUCACUAUCUAAUGCCUCUGUGCUUCAUUAUAUCUGCUGAAUAUGCCUUAAAAAAUAUCUGUAAAUCAAGCAAAAUUACUUCCAGAUUAACAUAAACAAAUCAUCUGUCACAUGCCAUACCAAUUUCAAAAGUUAUUUGUGUCUUUAUAAGCAUGCUGGCCUACGUACAAGUACAUAAACAUAGAGAUAAAGAACAGAGAAGAAAUAAUAUAUCCAACUUAAGAAAAAAUAUAACUAUAUCCAUUGAUUUUUUGUAUAAGCGAAUCAAUGUCACACAAUUUGGAAUUACAUACAGAAUAAAACAAAUACAUUCAGAAAACUUUGAAUGUAAAAGAAUCAAUGAAGAAACAAACAAGCCCUAAAAAAUCCUUUCUGCUGUGUUGUGUAUGUCUAUCUAUAAAUCAAAUGUAUAGUUCAUAUCAAUUCAAAUCAAGUAACAUACAUAAGUCAAUAGGAAAAACAAAACUAAUUUGAUGAUAUCCAACUGCUUUCUUAUUCAAUCAAAAGUGCUCUCUCCAAAAAAUCACUUCCAAACUUUUAACUUGGGCUUUCACCUUCUUGAGCUGGGCUUGGUUCAGGCCCAAGAUUUGACCUCCUUCUUCCGUCCUUCUCCUUUACAGAAUUCAUCUUCUCCAACCUCAAACCAGCUCUGAACCGUGCAAUGAAGUUAUCAGCUUUAGCAUUCACAUCAGGACUUGGACAGGACAAUGGUGUUACCACCGGUGAAUCACCGCCGUCCGAAGGGCACGAUGACUCCUCGACAUCAUCAGCCCCAAUGUUGUUGCUUUUCAAUCUAACAAAGUCCCCGUGCACCUCAAAUUUCCAUGCCGGCAUUUUAAAAGGUGGCAAUGGCGGCGGCGGAGGAAUAGCAUUCAAUGGAGACUCAUUCCCACUGUUUACAUUCGGCUCCACAUUACUAUAACUCUCUAUCUUCACCGGCAACGACGGCUCCUGGGAUGUGGAUUGUACGUUUCUUGUUCUUGAAGUUGAAAGCUUUUGUGUUCGGCGGAGGUGACGGUGGUGGGAUCAGUGAGGGUGGCAGAGGAUACGAAGAUUCAUAGUUAAAGAAACUAUCAAGAUUCUCAACACUCUUUUGUCUCUGUUUCUUCUUUUUCUUUCUUCUCAACGACGUCAAGAAUUCUUUAGUUGCACUUGUGCCUCCUCUCUUUUUCUCACUCUUGCCGCCACUCUCUUCAACCUUAGGCUCUGGAGGAGCAGGUAGCGGAAGCGGUUGAAGUUGUGGCGGCGGCGGCGGCAGCGGUUUGACUUCCAAAUCAUUGUUUCGAUAGUUUCCGCCAUUCCCUUGAUGUGUUCUCUUUACUCUCCUCCUCACCACCUUAGUCUGUGGAGGCGGCAGAGGUGGAGGAGGAGACGGAGACAGCGGUAAUUCUGCCGGUUCCGGAGACGGUGAUGCUGGCUGUGGCUGCGGUGGUGUGUAAAUAAUUUCUUUUCGAGAUUCUUCGACUGUUGAUGAAGUCGUAUUAUCAGCAACAACAUUUUUUACUGCAUCAACUGUCUCAUUUUCCUUCUUCUCUUUUUCUUCCUCCAGUACUUCAAGUUUCGGCUGAGGCUGAGGCUGAGGCUGCCAUUGAUGUAGCUGCUUAUAAUCGAAGCUUGAAAAAUGAUUAUGAUACAAAUGGGUAUCAUCGUAAAAUCGCCAUUGAUCUUCUACGUUCGCCCACAAUGCUUCUUCUUGUCUUAGAUCUGGAUGCGAGCUGAAGCUUCUCAAUCUACUUAGCCCUCGAUUGUGGUCGUUGUUGUUGUUGUUGUUGUUGUUGUUACUAUAAGCAUGGUCAUACCAAAAUCUUCUUGGGGUCUCAGGGUUUGACUUUUGAAAGCUUUCUGAUCUGUUUUCAAACUUGUAUUCUUCGUCUUCAUAAGAAGCACUUGCAGCGGCACCAGUCGUCGUUGGUGUUGUUGCAAUGCUUUCAUUGUUGUUGUGGUUUCUGCUGAGGAAGCCACAAAUGAUGGCGAAAAGAACAAGAACAAGAUUGAGCGAGUCCCAGCUUCUUUUCACCGCAUGGGGUUUGAAUAUUUGGGAAGUGAAAGAUUGAAUUGAAGGGAUGACGAUGAAGAUGAAAGCAACCGCAACAGCUAGCAAGAAUACGAGGAGGGCGCCGGAGUUGAAGAGGAAAGAAGAGGAGGACCGCCGCCGGCGGUGACCGGCUUGCCUGGUUGAUUGGAGCCAAAAUGGUGAUGAUACAUCUUCUUCUUCUUCCAUUUUCUUUUUUUUUUUUUAAUGUGAAGUUGGGUUUUGGUUUUGGUUGUGGCUGUGCUUUCGAUGAGAGCUUUUCCGGACAACUUUAGAUUUUUGCUUGGCCUGGCUUGGCUUAGCUUUUGCUCUUACUUUUUGCUUUUGCUUUUGUUUGUGGGUUUGGUUUUGCUUUUUGAUUACUAGCUUUUUGUUACACGCUUUGAUCAUAUAAAUACUACAAGUUAAUACAUGAAUUUAUAUAAACAAAUAUAGAUCGAUGAGAAAAUGGGUAAUGUUGCUUGCUUACAUGUAUAUAUAUAACAUCAUCAUGCAGGUGUUAUUUGAUUAACUAAUAACUUUAAUAGUAUUCAAAAAAAUACAAGAAGAUUGAUCAUUAUAUAUUUUUACGUAAAGAUUUUAAAAAAAUUUACAUCAUGAUGAGUUAAAGUUUCAACUAUACUCUAUGAAUUAUGAAUAAUAAGUCCAGUAAUAUACACAAUUUUUUUUUCUUUUAAUAUAAUGAUGAAAGGAUGGGGCAAAAAUUUUUAAAUUUAAAGUAAUGUGUCAAAUAUUCUUUUUAAUAUUCAUAAUAAAAAUGUAGAAAAUGAUAUUGAAGUUUAAAUAAUGGUCAUGGGGAGUGAUGGUGAUGAUUUAUUACAAGUACUGUGGGGUCACGCUUUUGUUUUUGAUUGUUGAGACUUGAGAGAACGAAAAAUGCGACUUGAAUUGUCCAUACAUGGCAUCGACUUCCCUCGCAAGCAUAUUGUAAGUACAGUCCAUGACUUGAAUUGCCACAUGUUAGCUGUCACUCUAAUGACAGCUAGACCAAGACGUUGUAUUUGUUACAAAACCAUAGUCAAUCAGCCACUCCUGUAAUCAAGAUCUACAUUGCAUAUACUUUUGAUUUAUUUUUUUUCUCUUUAUAUAAAUUAAUGUAAAUGCCCAACAAACAAAUACUGGCAAUAUAUUUUUUUAAAAUAUUACAUUGCAUUUAUAAUUAAAAAAAAAAGUGCAACAUCGCAGUUGCAAUAUCUAAACUAAACUCAUGAUGGACAAAGUCAGUAUCACUAUGUGGGCAUAGAUGAUCUUUUUUUUUUUAAUAUUGUUAUUCAGGACUGUUACUGAUAUUACAUCAGGUAUUACAAUUAAUAUUUACAAACAGAUUCUACAAUUGGGACCUUCUUCGUGGCAUAUGUACUCCUCUGAAGCGUUGCCCGAAUUCUUUAAACCCUCUCAAAUAUUUAAGGGUUGUCCACUCCACUCACAUUUAGUGCGGGAUAGACUGACUCCACUGAGGGAUGAUUGUAAACAACCCCCAUAAAUACUUUUAUGGAGGCUCGAACCCUUGCACUCAAUAUUGUAAGUGCAAGGGUUCUCCCACUAAAUUUAUUAUUAACUAUAAUACAAAAAAAAAAAAAUUGUGUAGUCAAUUUAAUUAAGAUCCAUCUGUAUACAACAAUGAACAUGUUGCGUCCAUUUGAAUUUUAUGUCAAAUUUAUGAUGAGGCGACAAUCAAUACAAUGGAAAAUGACACUUUCUUGAGUAUGCCAUUGCUUAUUGGCGGUUAUUACCAAAUCCCUUUAUUAAGACGAAGAAUGCGGAUUUCUUUAAAUUGUGUAGUGGUUGAUAUACUUGCAUGAAAAAAAGAAAAGAAAAAAAAAGUUAAAUCUUAAUAUGAUUUUUGAAUUUGAAUAUUUGAAAACAAAAUUAAAUUGAAAAUAUUAAAAUCCAAUGAUUGUAUCGUCAAAUCAGAUAUGAGUCUAGAAGAUGUUUUAGUGAUGAAAUUAAAUGUGCCACGUUUAAGUUAAAAAAUUGGAGGAAAUUAAAAAAUACUUUAGGGGGUCAAGGUCAUAGAACCCGCGUAUGACAACUGAACCCACGUAAUUUGCAAUAAUUUGAGUGUCGUAUUUGUGUAAGUAAUGUACAAUAGAACGACACUGAAAGCGGGCACAAGUUAAUGAAAUGUUGAAGGGAACCGCGUUAGUUGAUGUGCUGAAAAGUUGAAAAAGUCUUCACUCUUUCACCAACUCUUUGUUAACGUCUGAAAGACUGUAAUUUUAAGCUGUUAUUAGACAACUGUUUUUGGCUUUUGCCGCAAGAAUUAUGUAUCGCUAAAAGCACUUCUAGAUGGACAUAGUUUUGGCUUUUUACAAAAAGUUCUACGCAAUUAGAACUAAAUGGGAAAGUUCGACACUUUUAGUGUACUCUAUACACACACACUCACACGUGUUUCAUAUGUGAAAGAGUACAAUAAUUAUCAUAAAUUUUAUUCUAAAAGAUUCAUUUUAAAUAAGGUGACAUGUUAGUGAAAUUAUGGUGCUUGUAUAUUUGAGUUGUAUGCAUUAACAUACAUAAGCAUCAAGUGAUGAUGAAUCAUAAAUUAGUUUCUCUAAUAGAGCCUCGUAUUAAAUCCAAUGAAAAAGAUAAUAUGAGAGAGAGAGAGAGAGAGAGAGAGAGAGAGAGAGAGAGAGAGAGAGAGAGAGAGAGAGAGAGAGAGAGAGAGAGAGAGUCAUUCUCUAGUGAGUACAUGUUGAAGUGAGGAUGUUAGUAAAAUAAAAAAUAAAAAAACACAAAUUUUAAUAUAUUGGAGAAUAUAUUUUUUAGUCUGUUAAUAUAUUGAAAUAUGUGUUUUUUUUUAAUUUGUUAGUAGCAUCCUCGUUAUAACAAAAUAAAGAUGCUCUUAUUAUAAAAUUAUUAUAUGUGUGCGCAAGCGCACAUACAUGUGUUCCAAUCCAAGAUCCACUACUUCAACAAAGUUUAGGAUCUUUGAUUAGAUUAAUACUACACACACUAUUAAACAUAUGGCUUAAUAGCUUUUUCAAACUUUAAUAAAUUCUAGGAUCUUCAACCAAUAUAUAUAUUGAUCUAGUCUAAGAUACUAAGUCACAACCGACUGUAACUUACUCCUCAUACAGGAACAGUAUGACAGAGAUGACGCCCGCAUGAUUUUUGUGUGAGGAAUAAGUUACAGCCGACUGUAACUUAACAUUUGUCGCGCGCGUGUGUAUAUGUUUUUAGGUGUAUUAUAAAAGCAAUAUCUGCUACAAAAACAUAUAAGGUUUUAUAUUCCACGAAAAAAUAUAAGCAGUUGUUGAGUAUAGCAAGCAUCAUCAUCCUUGUCAUUUUCUAUAGAGUAUUGCUAUUUGAACAACAAUAAAAUAGUGGGAAGAUAAAAAUAUGCGUACUAUUCAUUAUAUUACACUAUUGUUAUUCUUAUAUUCCAAUUGUCUUACUGCGGUUCAAAUAGCAUUUUCUUUUUGCAUAAGGCGAGAGGCAAGCACGAGAAGUCAGAAAACACUGAUAACAUGAAGUUGUUCACGUAGUAACAUGUUUUCUAGUUUCUUGCAAGAUUUCUGAUUGCGUAUUUUGCUGAUGCGAACGUGGGAAUUCAUUUUCCCCCAUGCAAGCAUAUUUAUAAAUAUUGGUGCUGCCAAUUUAUUUUUACUGUUUCCUCCAGUAAAAAUCCUAAUUUACCCAAAAAAUUGCCAGCUAAAACAAACUACACUUUUACUAUAUGAUUGCAUUGAUGUAGCUUUGAUAGGGUGGAGGCUGCGGUGAUGAUAAGAUGACAAUAUGUUUAAUGUUAAAAUUGGGAUCAAGAUUCGAAAUUACAUGAUUUUAUGAUUCUCAAUAUAAAACAUCACUUCCCUAAGAUUCAAGACUAUAAAUUCAUUCCCCAUAAAAAACAUUCAUGGCGAAUGCACACAUGGGAAUUCUAAAUAUAAAACGUUAUUAAGUGUCUAGCUCUCACGGGGAAGAGUUGUGAGUCCCAUGACACAGCCCUCCCAAUGAGAGUUGGACAUGUGGACUAUCGCUCACCAUAAGAUGAGAUCAAUUCUAUCCUAAAAUAAUGUAAACAUCAUAUUCUUAUAAAUAUAAAACAUUAUUUCCCUAAGAUUCAAGACUCAAAAUUCAUUCACCGUGAAUGUUUUUAUAAGUGUGGAUCAAUCUUAUCUCCAUUUGGCUUAGAUUUUCAAAUUAUGUUUAGUAGACCCUUAUUACGCAUGGUUUUAAAUUGCCAGUGGAUCUUGAUUGUAAUGCCAAAAACUUAUAAUACAAUAAUAAUUAAAGGAAAAAAAAUAUAUAACUUCAUUGAAUAGUAACUAUGGGAUAAAACUGCAAAUUCAAGUAACUAAGAAAUACUUCUACGGGGCAACUGCUAAGGUGCUUAACAAAUCAAGACCAACCAUUUGGCAGGGCUGGUGUGGGUCUUAAGAUACAACUCAAUAUUUAAAAAAAAAAAAUUGUAGGUUUCGUUAUAUUAAAGUAGAUGCUCCCCCCAAAGGACCCACCAAACCUGACAGGUCCUAAUUAGAUUAGGCUCACCACCUCCCCAUAGAAGAGUGAAGACUCACUCCUAAGUAACCAUUUAGUGUCACUCUCCAAGCAAUUUCUUUUGAGGAAGGAUCUCUCAAGUAGGAUUAAAAGCAAUAGAUCAGUGGAGAGCCAAGCAAAUCUUAAAAACUUUCAAGUUUUUAUACUAUUGCCGCUGCACAGACUUCCCAUUAAAUGAGUAUUUAGUAAACAGUCCUGUGGAAAUUUUAUAACAACUAUGAUGUACAAGACUAAAGAGGGAUCCAAGAACUGCUUUUUUCUAUUUUGGCUGACUGAACCUUGUGAAAGCAAAGUUCUUUCUAGCAUCUAAUAAGGUUACAGGAUCUAGGCUUUAUGUACAAAUCUUAAGUUUCAGCAUGUCCUCCAAGGAAGCAGUCCUGGUCGGGGAGAGUUCUUACUGAAAACGUUUACAAUAAAAUUACUGCUACAACAAUUAUCACAACAACUGUACAUAUCAAAGCCUGCAACAGUAAUGACAUUUGUGAUCAGAGAAGAAAAGAGGUAAGCUAUUUGUCAAAAAAAAAAUCAUGGCAAUCACAUCCAUAUUGCCAGUUUGUGACAAUGUCUGCAAGUACCAAUCACAACGUAUGUUAUAUUUCUUCUUAGAUUUCAAGUCUUCCAACAUGAAGGUUAAAAAAUAUCUUCAUAUGCAUAAAGCCGUGGAUUUGAAGAAAUUGAACUAUAAAACUAUAAAUAAUAUGUGCACAAAGUUGAAGACUGAAGCAGUCAUAGAGUUGCUCUAAUAAUGAUAGGCAGCAGCUGUACAUAUCUGCUUUCUGCUAAUGUAGUUUAUAUGGCAUUUAGAAUAAAAGGCACAAGGAGAACAAACAUAUUUGUAGAGGUAUCCUGACUUAUGGCUAGGUGUCUUAGGAAUUCGAUCAUAUGCCAGGUUGCCUUCCAGUGUAGAUGACAAUUAAAUUGAUUUACCUUAUCUCCCCUCCCCCGGUCCCCCNNNNNNNNNNNNNNNNNNNNNNNNNNNNNNNNNNNNNNNNNNNNNNNNNNNNNNNNNNNNNNNNNNNNNNNNNNNNNNNNNNNNNNNNNNNNNNNNNNNNNNNNNNNNNNNNNNNNNNNNNNCACACACAAAAAAAAAAAACCUAUGAUUGAUUAUUGCAUUUGAUGUUUUAUGAAUCUAAAAAUAAUAGGAAAGCAAAAGGGGAUAAUAUGGCCAUUAGAGAGCUUGAAAUGAUGAGCAAAAUAUUAAUGCAGAACACUUACCGCAAUUGCAGAAGCAGCAAGUCCUGAUCGUUCCCUUGGAUCUUUAUGAUAAUAGUUCCCAAAGUAAAGGAUUGUUGCAUAAUACCACAUCAAUGGGCAUACGAACCCAAGAAGAAAGCUGCAAAAAGGCUUAUCCCAUGAGAGAGAGAAAAAGAAAAAGGAGGAGGAGGAGGGGUGAGUAAACUUACGAAAACCAUCCGAUUCCACAGCCGAAGCAAGGAAGGGGUUUAUCAUAAAUGCCCAACUCAGGUUCUUCUGCGUCUCCAAUAUGAACAUAUUCGCCCUUUUUGUGUUCCAUGACAUCAGUUGAGGCCCCUGUAUUUAGAAAGUAUCCUCAGCAGCUUGUCUACUUAAAUUUUACUUCAAAACAGAUUGCCUAAGGUCCCAAUUAAAAGAAAAAAAAGGACAAUUGCAAUAGGCAUUGUCAACGAUUAGUAAGAAGGUUAAUAUCCAACGACUUGUUCACAAAAUAAGCAUCAAGCCUAAAAAUUGUUGUGCAUGAAAAUGCAGCUGCGUUUCAUGAGUCUAAACAUCAACUUUAUGCUGAAGCAUAUUUUAACACAGAGCUGGAACUAUUCUUGCAAUGCAAAGAAAUCUGAAAUAAUGUAUCGAAAUACUGUUAUUGGAAUUCUAUGCAUAACCAUCAAAAUUAACUACUAAUACCAAAGUCAUACACAUUGUAAACAAGCAAUUUUUCAUUGGGGCAAUGCUGAGUUGCCAUGAAUCUAAUAAUUAUUGAUCCCUAAGUUAGAGAAUAAAGGCGUAAGAAGAAUCUGAUUACCCUGGCUCAUGUCACCCAGUUGUAGUAUGUCGGUACCCUCAGCUCUCCUCCCAGGUUAACGAGAAUCUGCCACAUAAAACACACAUGCUGCUAACAGUUAUAUAAGUUCAGAGAUUAUGAGUGCCUCAGCUACAAAAGUUACAGAGAAGAAAUUGAUCUCAACAUGAAUUUAAUUUGGAAAAGCUAUGGACAAGCUAUGGACACAUGUAAACUUGAAGAGGAUAACAAAGCCAACCCAAACUAAGAUUAGGGAAGUUAAAAACAGAACACAAAUAAAAUGGCAGACCAAGGUUUUCUCAAUAAAUGUAAACUAUUGCUUGUGGUAUGGUAGAAAUGUCAUCUUUUAAAUUGAGAUCCACUCAACACCCAUAUGGUAAAAGGAUUCAGAGCUAUUUUCAGACUUCCCGAAGAAUGGGUAUCAUUUCCAUCGACAAGCACUCUCAUUUGCAUUCAGCCAUAUCUAACCCAAAGUGUAAAAUAUAAUUAUUAAAGGUGAAGUUCUAAAUCUCAUUCGUAAUUGAGUUCACAACAUGCAGCAGAACGUCAAAAGAGAUAGAACAAAUAACACGAAAAUUAGCUGCAAAAGGGAUCACUAUGCUAACUUCAAAGGAUCGUGCUAUAACCCCUACUCAACCAAUCACCUAGAAGAACCAAAUCAAUCAACUCCGUGAAUCUCUGCUAAGAGAGGUGAAUAACAACAAACUUACCACUCCCUGAAUUGCUAGCCGAUACACCACACAACCAAUAAAAUGCACACAAUCAUGGCUUCUCUACAUUCACUACAAAUGUUGUUCACUCCCUCAAAAGUACAAAUACAAAAAAAAUUAAUUCAAUAAAAUUUAAGCAACCCAUUGAAAAAUAAACAAAUGAACAAGCGUGUGUAUAACAGAAUCGACAGUGAUAGAAACAAGAAUAGCAUUACUUACAAGUAAAGAGAAUGAAAAUAAAUAAAUAAAUAAAUAAAUAAAUAAACAAACAGAAAAAAUUAAACCAGUACAAGGAACCCAUAUCAAAGCAAGGAACUUUAAUCAAUUUUGACCCACAAAUAUUAGAACGGGAACGUAAUCACUGAAUAAAAAUACCCGUUAAAAAAAGUCUUUCUUUCAGUAAGAAUAAAUAUAUAUCUGCAUAUAUAUAUGAAGAAAUUUAUCUGCAGCGAGAGAGAAUCAACUUGCCUGUUAAAGAUUUGAAGAGAGCUGACGCAGCUUGUUGCUGCUGCUGCUUUUUAUUUUUCUCUUUAUGAUACCAACAAAUUAAUUUACGAGGCUGGGUGGCUGUAAUUUCUAUGAUUAAUUUGGAAAUUAUAAAUUUCCAAAUUAAUUUGACUCUUACAGCGUUGAGAUAUGCACCCAAAAAAAAAAAAAAAAAAAGAAGAGGAAAAUGGUCGUUUUCCGCAUUUCAUUAUUUCAGAAAAGAUGAUGGGCCUCAAAAUAAUAAAUAAAAGUUGGAGUCCUUUUUAACAUUAUCAUGAAACACAUCUUUUUAAUCAUAGGCUAUACCGCCCGAUAUAUAAUGACGAAUUUAAUUAAAUUAAAAUAUUUUUGCACUGAUGAAUUAUGAAUUUAUGAACCCUCCCGUUUUGAAAUCUUAAUGUGUGAUGUAAUUAAUUUUUUUUACAAAUUUAAAAUAAUUUAGAGACAAUAAAUAAAUAAAUUACUUCAUGAUAAGAUUUUUAUUAUGCAAAAAUAUAUAAUAACUUUUUAGAGUAAUGCAUCAAAAUAAUAAAUAAAAGUUGGAGUUGAACUGUAGCAUCCUUUUUUUAACUCUUAUAAAAAAAACCCCAUUAUUAUAUUUAUAGGACUUUUUUUUAUAAAAAUUAUGAAAAGGAACAAACUACAAAGUAUUAGGAUAGAGUUAAUUAAAUUAUAAACAUAUCUUUAUGUAAUAAAAAUUAUUUUGAGUUUAUAUAGAAAACCAAUUAUAUCAUAAAUUAGGAUUUCGAAAUGGGAAGUUUCACAAUUUACAGGCAUAAAAAUAUUUUAAUUUAGUUGAAUUCGUAAUUGUACGUCGGGCAAUAAAACUAUGAUCACAAAACGAGGUUCUAUGAGGACUUUAAAGGUGUGUGAAAAGUUGUGGAUCGGUUUAGCCCAGCUCCGAACUCAACGAAUUGAUGGGAUGGGCUUGGGCUUGUGAGUCUUUGGGCCAUGUUACAACUGCAAAGUUUUGAGCUAUGCUCAGUAAAAUACGACAUAUGCUUAUGAUUGACGUGGCGGCACAACCCUUUCUUGCGUCUGGUGAAGAUUUUUAAACAACGAACAAUCGUAUAGACUCAAGACUACAGUGUAAAUAUAGAUAUUCGAUUCGAGUUAUUGUUAUGCUCGACGGGUAAGGAUGGCAAUGGGGAGGGGAGGGGAGGGGACCAAUAUCUCUACACCCAUCCCCAAUAUUUUGCAUAUAUUCUCAUCUUCUUUUUAUUUUCAUUCGAAUUAUUUGAGGGGAUCCUUGUUUCUUCCUCGAAUAAUAAGAGAGGAUUCUCGAGAGGUCCAUAAUUUCUGAAUAACUGAUACAUUUUAAAAAUUAAAUUUUGAACUUGAUUUAAUUAUAUUAAAAUAAAAAUUUAAACAAAAGUAAGGUUUGACAAUAUAUCUUACACUAAUAUUAAUCCAUUACAAAAAUCACACUAUAAAAUACAAAUCAUCAGAAUAAUUAUCUUCGUCAAUCUUCAUAAUCUUAUGAUAAAAAAAAAUUACUUUUAUGUCAAUAAUGAAAUGAAUGAAACAAAUAUAGAUACCAAAAUUAAUAUUUUUAAUAAAAGCAUUUACUCUUACACCUUAUGCUUCUCUUGUUCUUCCUUGAGGAAUGUGACAAAUUGAGAGAUAAUAUCAUGUUUCAUAUCUAAAACAAUAAAAAUAAUUUAAAGGAUAUGACUCAUAAUCUAAAACAGUUUUGGGCCACAGUCUUUAAAUAAGCUCUGGUCGAAUAAUAAUUCAGGACUACAACUAGUUAAGCAAGCUUGAAAUUUUUAUAGCAGAUUUGUAUCAAUAUUUGAUAUUUGUUAUUUAUACUAAUAUUUAAUAUAAUUUAAAUUUCAUUAUUCAUUUAUUAAUAAUUCUAAAAAAUAAAAUCAAAACUAAAAAUGAAUACGAAAGAAAUGAGGAAAUGAGUAGGGGAUGGGAAUUCCACCGCAUCCCCGUUCCUUCCCCGAAUAAGAAAUUGGGCAAAAAAAUUGUCUACAUCCCUUCCUUGAAUAAGAAAUUGAAUAUAAAAUCGUCUUCAUACUCUUUCUGAAUAGAGAAAAUCUCCAAAGGUCUCUGUCCUCAUGGAGAUUUUGCCAUCCCUAUCGACGUGAGCUUCGGACCGUGCUAUAAUUGUAUGGAUUUAGAAAGACUCAUUUUAUAGUUGAAGUGAUUUUAUGUGAAAAGAAAAGGUAAAAUUGACUGAAUGAUUACGGCUCAUAGUAAUUUUGUAAGGACUUAGUGACUUGAUAAUGGGCUGGGCUUGAAUGAUUACGGCCCAUAGUAAUUUUGUAUGGACUUAGUGACUUGAUAAUGGGCUGGGCUUGAAUGAUUACGGCCCAUAGUAAUCGAAGCAAUCAUUUUGCUCGAGUAACGUUCUCAUUCUCACAUCACAAAACCCUUAAAAUGGGAAGAAAAACCUCAGACAGAAGCAGAUUAGAGACGUUUUCUCUCUGAAAGCUAACAGUCACCAUGAGAGAAGACGAAGAGACUCGUAGUAAGAAGGAGCACGAAUCACAACAAGAACAAGAAACGGAAGGGCCCAAGAAAAAGAACAAGAAGAGAAAGAAAGACAAAGCCAACACAACAAUUGAUGAACAGCCAGAGCCAGAGCUUGAGCCGGAGAGAGUCAAAGCCAAAGUACAGUUCAUUCCCGAGCAGCCCAACAAAGCCCCACCUCUAGUGGGAUAUUUCCCGUCCAUCUACAAGCCUGACGUUGACCACCCAGAUGAAGAAAUGCGGCCGAAAGUGAGAGUUUAUAGGAACAUGAAUGAGAAGAAGAACAGAACUGGGAGGAUGGAGUUGGUGGUCAGUCCACGCGACUCGAGCGUGGACUAUGUUGGCACUAGCUAUUCCGGUGAGGCCAUGGCGCCCCAGUUUUGUCACUAUGCUGUUGGGGUUCUUGAUAGGAGUACCCAGACUUUGAAGAUUGUGCCCAUUGCUGCUAAUAAGGUGAAAAUCUUGGAUUUUCAUGGGGCUUUUUGUUUUGUGUGGUGAAGGAGUUUGGGAAUGAAUUGAAAAAGAUGGAAUUUUUAUUUCUGUUAACGUGUAGCAUUUUGUUGCAUGUUGCUUUAAACAAGGGAAUGGCGAAUAUUGUUGAUAUUGGUAGAGAGGGUAUGCUUGUAAACACUCAGUCUUGAUGUUGCCUAGAAUCUCUAGUCAGGGCAUUGGUAAAGAAUUUGGACUAUUUAGAGGGGAAUUGUCCUGUUAUUGGUUGGUGUUCGGUAGUAUCUUCACUUGGCCUAAGUGUAUUAUACACAUUGCUUUCGGAUACUUACUCUCACUUGUUAGAACUUUACUUUGUUGGGGUUUUUAAUCUGUUUUCAAGUUACCAAUGGCAAACUAUUUAAGCAUUUGUUACAUUGGACUUGGGAUCAUUUAGAUUUAUAAAGUAGGAUUAAUGUAUAAACCAUAUUAUGCAGCUUAUUUAUUUAGAUUAUGCGGUAUGUUUUGUUUUGCAAGAGCAAUGUUAUGUCUUCGUUUUUUCGUUCCCCACUAGUGUUUCUUGAUGUAAUUAGGUAUGUACUUUACCAUUUGAUUGAUUAUUUAUGUGGUUUUAUUAUUGUUGUAGAUAUUUAGAUUGGAGCCAAGAGUUAGAGGGUCAGAUGUUGCUGACAAGGACGCAGGAAAGGGGGAGAUCUCUGCAGAAGUGCAAGCGAACAUGAAGGCAAUGCUUGAUACACGUUAUGGAACAAAGAAGUCUCUUAGACAGGUAUAUGCUGGCACUUGUCUUUGAGUUAUUGCAGAUCAUCUUUGGCUUUGAAAUGCGAAUCUAAGACAUAUUGUUUGUGGUUAUACAUUUUUACUUUCACAUUUGAUGAAAUUUUCUUUCUGCUGUUGGAUGUUAGGUAGAUUUUAUUGCAUAGAGGAUGGUUCUACUUAAAUAUGACCAUCACAGCGUGUUAGUUUUGCCAAUGCUUCAAAACUUUAUCACCUUGUAAACUUCACAUCUUAUACCAGCUUACUGUAGAAUGUGGAUAAGUAACUUGCAUGGUUUUAUAUUUUAUGCUAGUAUCACAUAUCUGUUAACUCCCAGCAAAUAGCCAUGAGACAUUCUCUCACCUAGCUCUCUCAUUUCAUUUUCGCUCCUGCCUCUAUUCGCAUCUGUCAGUCAAUUUUCAUGAUUAUACAUAAUGGCCUCAUGAGUACUUGAUUUGUUUAUAGCUGGCUUCCUGGAUGUAUUCUUUCUCCCAAGAGAAAUCCUUAAUAGAUUCUCCACCAAAACACUCCUUUCAAGUUUAAUGUUUUGUUGAGUAUAUCAACAGAGAGACGACUGUAGAAGGAGUUAAAAACCAAGAUGAAUGUUUUGUACGGUGAAGCUUUUAGUAAUGUCAUUUGAUACAAUGAUUUGUUGGGUUGACUAUGGUUGAGUGUAGUAUGUAAUAGCUGCUAAUAAGUGCAAAUUGUCUAUCUUAUUGCAGUCUAAAAAAAUGCAUGCUCUGAACAAGGAAAAUGAUCCUGAAUCUCAGAAGGAUCUUGCACUGAAAAUGAAGUCAGUCAAGAUUAACAAGGAAGCUCUUGAAAGUACCACUUCUGAUACUGUUCUUAAUGUCCCGCCAUAUGAUGCUAAUGCCACUACUCCACAGCAGGCUUAUCCUCUGGAUAAAAUUAUUCUCAAAGGAGAGUGGGAUUUCGUACAAGAUAUUUUUAACCAUGUGUCAGCAGGUUCGGAGGUGAUAAGUGAUGCUUACCCAUCUUUUGUUUGCAACAGAAUACACAAAUUGCGGGAAAUUCAGGUGAGGGUGUAAGAACUGCUUAACAUGUGUUGCAAACCUGUUGUUAAGGUCCUUAUCACAAUAUAUGUGGCCUUCUUAAGUUUUAAUGUGUAAGAAAUCAGGGAUUGCUCUGUUCAGUACUAAAUAUAGUAAUACAAUAUAAAAGCUAUUAUCCUAGCACUUGAAGGACCUAAAAGUUAAUUCUUUAGGAACCUUUGGACAAGCUUUGUGUAAAUCCUUUUAACUGCUAUAGAGUGGUGUGUGGCGGCAGACAGUCAUUAACCCUAGUCUUCUGACUUUCCCUGCGUUGCUGUAUACUGACUAGGCAUUGCACAGUGUUUUAUUUUUUUAUCUGCUAUUGUUUUGUAUUUUUAUAGGAUGAUGUAGAGAAGCAGACACUGGCAUCUAUUUUCUCAUACAUCACUCAUCUGGUGAAGUUCAAAGAUCAGCAUUCCAUGGAUGGAGGAGCCUCAGCGAAGCAACAUAGAAUCCCAAAGAUUUUGCACCAGAAGUUUUUGACAAGUUUUUCUGAUGCAGAAUCAAAAAGACUGUCGGAUGACAAAAUCCAUCUGCUCAUUAGUUAUGUCUUGGUUCUCACCCUACAUGCUGAUGAUUUCAGAACUAACCCUACGGAUAUCGCCAAGGAUCUGAGGAUGAGUGAAUUUAAGUUGAGAGACCAUUUUGAGAAGUUAGGGUGCAAGCUAUUACGCGAGAAAAACAUGCUGUACGCUACCCUUCCUGUCCCUCUCCAAUUUCCCAAGGCAAUUCAGAGGCGGCGACGCUAGAUGGGUCAUUAUGAUUUCUUAAAAGAUAUCAGCAUCCCUGUCUGAAUUCUUUUGCUGCUUUCUUUAUCUUGACUGAUGUUGUUGUAUCUUUUUUGGUCAUGUAGACAUGGGUCAGUUUUGUGAAACUCAAGUUAAAGGAAUUGAUUCAGUAAUUUCUAUUCAUUAACUGAUAUGUUUUUGAGAGUUGUAAACAGAAAACAAGCUUAUCAACAAGUUCUGCAUCUAUAUUUCUUAUUCAUAAUCAAAAGAUCCAAUAGCCUAGAAGUUCAAGAGGGCACGAUUCAAUGAAAGUUGCACAAGAUUCAAAACAACAUUAUAAAGUUCUCUUACCAGCUAUAACUGCAACAGCUUAAAUUUACAUAAAGAUAUUUAGUUACCCAGAUGCUAAGUAAAUUAUGUUAUUAAGAUGAUACAUUUGCUACAGCACAUAUUAAAUUCUAUUCUUGUACACACAUUAAGCCCAUGAGAAAAAGGAAUGGACCAAAAUAUGUAUUUCAUCAUGAGAUGUACCAUAUUCUAAUAUAUAGGUGUAUAGACUUGAAGUAGAUGGCUGGUGAACCUUAUUCAAGAUUUGCUCUUGAACUUCCUUUGAGCUUUCAGGUCCACAACAAUCACAGAGAUGUUAUCUUUGCUUCCCUUUUGAAGGGCAAGCAUUGAAAGGUAUUCUGCUGCUGCUUGAGCUGCAGGAUCAAUUUCUUUUCCCCUUUCCACAAGGGGGGGAGCCCCAUGCUUUUUGUGCCAGAGCAGAAUCCGCUUUCGUGCAACUUCACAAGCUUCCUCAUUUGUCAUGACGUCCCAUAAACCAUCACUUGCCAAAAUAAGGCAUUCAUCAUCUCUUGCUCGCGGAAUAAACACGACUUCUGGUUCAGGAAUGAUCCAUGGUUUCAAGUACCUAUCACCUGUGAAAUACAGAUGCAAAAAAUGUGUAAACAUGACUUGCUCCAGGAAUAAACAUGACUUGAUGUAAGAAUCUAAUAAAACUGCAUUUAAUAUGUAAUUAAUUUCCAUGUUCAAAUAGAAUUUAAGGUUUUAUUAACAAAAAUUAUCUCCAAGUUUUCCUUAAAGCAGAGAAAUAACACAAUGUCAAAGAUCAAGUGAACCUACCAAUAGACCUUGACAUAGCAAGAACACCAAAAACACGGUGCCCAUUCCAUUGGAUGACCUUGCCUCCAGAUGCCUCAAUCCUUGCAUAUUCAUCUUCUCUGUUUGGCUGCCCAAAAAGAAAAAAAAAAAAAAAAAAAGUCUUAAAGACAAGCUUUCAUUCCUGUGGGGCAAAGAUGGCAGAACAAAAGCACUUUCUUUACUUUAUGAUCUACUGAUAAAACCAUGGGCUCUUUGCCACGACAUAAAACUGCUCGUGAAUCACCACAGUUUGCCACUAUGAUAUGAGAUGAACAGACUAAGGCAACCACAGCUGUCGAACCAACAGUUUCUGGGGCAACAGCCUCGAAAAUGACUUCAGAAGCAUCUCCAUCACCAGCAUUCACACUUCUACCUGCUUUUCCCCCAAUCUCAUCAUCAACCUUAAGAAAACAACUGGUGAAGGUUUUUUCCCAUUGUCCCUGUCGAGUCACCUUUGUGCUUUCAUCAGUUAAAUCGUUCUUGAUGAUUCCAAUCUCCUCAGCUAAGGCCAAAUGGAUUCUCUCACGACAAUAGUUAGCAGCCUGCAUGAGACCUCUCCAAAUUAUGGUAGCAGUAAAAAUUUUGGACCCAUCCAACACAAAGAAUAUCUAAAAUAAGAGAACCAGAAUGUAUUGUGUAUAUGUAUGGUUAAGAAGUUUGAUUAUUUGAUCAUUUGGAACAUAAAAAUAAAUUGUAAAACAGAAGCACAUACACACCACUCAGAGUUCUUCAAAUAGAUAAGGAGUUUAAACAUAAAUUUAGAAACUACUUUGCCAUGUUAAAAAAUCCUGGUCAAGCAUGCUCAAUGGUCCACCACAUCAAUGUGAUGAUUUAAAAAAAAGAUUAAAAAAAAAAUUUUGAACAUGCCCAUUGGAUUCAUUCAAUCAUAAUUCAAGCAUCAUCAUCAUCAAUAAUAAGAAAACAGAAAAAAAUCAAUUAGUUUAGUCAAAUGCUCUCGAAGAGGUCUAUUACACAAGCAAAAGAACAUUUAAAUCAGGAGAGGAAAUUUAAACUUAAAAAAAAAGGGAAAAGAAAAGAAAAGAAAGAUCAAACAAGUGAAGGAAACAUCUAGGAGGACAGUUAUACCUGAGAACCUCCAUGGCCAUCAUAAACACCAAAAAAGUGACUGGUUAGGCCAUUCAAACAGUGGCUCAUUCCAUCAAUAACACGAUCACCAAUAAGCAUUCUGAUAGGAAUUUUCAUGAAACGAGGUACUACAGCAACAGCAUCCUCCAUUUCUGGUCUUCUUCCGCGUAUAGACACAGAACCCCAAAGGGGUAUACAGUCCACCUCGAAGACACUCCGGCUAACCUCUCUAGUGAUAUUUUUCUCAGCAGGCAACUGAAUUACCACUGCAGAGGCCUUAAAAUCAGAUCUAUCACAAGUCUUUGCAUCCAGGCUCCCUGGAGUAAUAAGGACUUCAGCUGUAGGCACCUGCUCAACACUUGACUCUCCUAAAAUAAUAGCCUUAGCAAGAAUUCGACCACUAUCAAUUUCCACAGAAUUUGUCAAGCUUUUCCCUGGAUCCAAAACUACCAAACCCUCAUUGAUAAUCCCGUUUGGGUCCUCAAUAACAGAAAGAAUUUCAUCGUCCUCAUUUUCCAGAAUCACAGCAUCACUGGAAAUAAUACUGCUACCACUCUCAGGAAAGAUUUUCAGCAAACCAACUCCUUGACCACCAUUUCCUUCUGCUGCCGACAAAAUCACCCGGUUAACUUCAUUAUUAUUAUUGCUAAUAUUUCCUUUGGCACCGGGGCUAGAUUCUUCCGAUGCCAACUUAUUAGAAUCCGACAACAAGUUUGCUCUAUCUGUCACAAACUUAAGCCGUGUGAUUUCCACAUGGUUUGCAUGUCCUGAAUUAUCAGUCAUAGAAUUACUAAAACUAAGCGUCAGCGAAACAGCUGGAGACAUCUCUUCCAUCAAUCCCCUCACUGAAAGCUAAAAACAAUAACCACUGAAUCUCUCCAAUUUCACACAAUUAAUCUACCAAUUUUCAUCUUCUUCUUCUCCUUCCAGCAACGAACUUGAAAUAAAGCCAGCAGCUUUUAACCACUCCUCUUCCAUCAUCAUAACCCUCAAUGAUCCACCAAUCUGCUUAAAACCUCUACAUACACUAACCAAAAAUUACACUACCAAGAUCAAAUUAAAGAUGGAAUAAGUUAACAUGAACAAGAUGCAAAGCUUCAUCAGAUCUGGUGUCAGAAAAUGGAUCUAAUUCACUACCAGCCUUGAGUUUCCAAAGAUAAAGCCAACUAAGACUUCACUAAUCAAAUUCUUCCAAACUUUCCUAGAAAGAAUAAACCAAGACUACCCAAUGUUAUCGCGAUUAACAACCCUUAAAUACACCAUCAAAAUCAAGCCUCUUUUAGAUUAAAAAACACAACAAGGGAAAGCAAAAGAAGCAAUGAGAAGAACCUAGGAAAAAGCAAAACCACACCUACAUAUAAUCACAAGAAAAACCCUAAAAAGUUGAACCUUUAUUUAUUUAUUUUUUUCUCACAUGUUAAACUCGAGUUUUCCUGGAUCUACGGCAACUCAGAUGAGCCUUUCUUGAAAGACGAGUCCUUUUCACCUUUUUCUCUUUCUACCGAUAAAAAACCAAACCCCAGAUAAUCAACAACAAGAAUAAUUGUCCACACAGAUCAAAAGAUUCAAUUUUUACCAUCUCAGUAUCCUAAAAAUCUGAUCUUUAAUCCCCCCCCCGGCCCAAAAAAAAAAAAAGAAGAAGCAGACAAUGAAACAAAUAAAUAAAAAGUUAACAAAAUAAAUUUCAGAACACUUACCAGUUGAAACUGCAGAGACUCUUGAGUGUUGCUAACAAGGUCUCCAGCAAACCCUCUUAAGGCCAGAUUUUUUUUUCUUCAGCUUCUUUUUUGCUCUGCCUUGGAUUAGAGGCUUGCAAGAGAGAGAAAGGUUUGUGGGAAAUGCUUUUUAACCAUGCACUCUUCGAGGUGACACGUAUACGUGUAAUUAUCUUACAUCAUUCAGUGAGUCAUUGAACCAAAAAGGGCAAAAGAAAAAAAAUAAAUAAAUAAAGAAGUAAAAUUGCUAUAGGUCGGGGCCAGUUCAAGUGUAGCUGCUUACAUGAAGACAACUACUUCAUUGGUUUUUCGUGAGACAAGAGGAACACGUGUCUUCUUGUCUGGUAUGUCACAAGUCACAGGCAGUCCAAUAAUGGCAUUUGCUGUUGUACAAACAUACAGCUAGCCACUGUACAAUUCUUACAACUGAUGUUGUGUUUUGUGUGCGUCACAAAUCACAAAUCACGAUCUCUCUCUUUCUCAAAGUCAUACAGAACGGUUAAAAAAAAGUUGUAAAGAGGGAUCUUUCUUACCCUAAAUGGGUGAAACAGCCGUGAAUGACAGGCUGUGAGAAUAAUCACCAGGUGACAUAAAUCAAACCAGUACUAUAUAAAUGGCUGUGUACUUGUGCAGUGCGUUUUGAUUGAACAAAAAGUGAAAGUCAUUUCAUUUAUUGAUUUCAUUCAUUAAUUCUUAUACGUUUAUGGAAAUAGGGUUUUAAGAGUAAUUUAGUAAUGUUAUAGUUUUAGAAAUAAUUGUUGUUAUAAGUAUUAAAUUUUAGGGUGAACCUUAGGUGCAACUGUGGCACCGUGCCACAGUUGCAUCUAGCCGUUGGAUGCUAGUGAACCCCACCAUUCCAACUGUAUCCAACGGUUAGAUGCAACUGUGGCACGGUGCCACAAUUGCACCGUAGCCUGAUCCAAAAUUUUAAUGUUAAAAAUGGUAAGUUUAAAAAAAUCCCAGAAGCAUGUAUCCUAAGUCUUUUUAAAUUUAAUGAUUUUAUUUUUUAACUAAAUAAAUAUAAUUUUUGAGUUCAUUUAAAUAUACAAAAAUAUCGUCAGAAUCUAUUUUAAGAUAAGAUGGUUUUUUAAAAGUGAAUUUAAAAAAAUUGUCAAGUUUAACUUCUUAAAAUAACUUUUAACCCUCUCGAUAACAAUUCUAUUGAAGAUUUUUAGUAGCUCAAAGAUAAAAAUUUUAAUUAAAAAUUUAACAUCUUAGUUAUUUAUUUAUUUAUUUUUGAGGAUAUGGUUGGCAAUGAAUUGGAAUUUAAUGAGUUGAAUUGGCCUUUUCUCUAAACUAUUUACCUUCUGAUUCUCUCUCACUCCCCUUAAAAAAAAAGAGAACUUUUGUCCAAGUUAAGCACUAAACCAUUCUAAUGGGGAGGGGUUUAGGUUAUUUUAGGAGUAGAGAAAUAAAAUAAGCUAUUAUUAAGAUGAUUUUAAACUAUAAUUAACAUAUAUUACCAAUUUUUCUGUUUUAAAAUAAAAAAUACAAAAAAAAUUGCAUGACAUAUAAGUUGUCUAAAAUAAGUAAAAGGACAGCUAGCUAUAGUAAUAAGUUACAUAACUCUCCUAAAAACUCUCGAGUUCAAAAAGAAACCAUAACUACUAAAAAAAAAAAAAAAUUGUUUAACUAUAACCGAGUUCAAAAAGAAACCAUAACUACUAGUUCAAAAAGAAACCAUAACUACUAAAAAAAAAAAAAAAUUGUUUAACUAUAACCAAUGAGUAUUAAUUUUAAGAAGUUAUGGUUAAGGUGGGAUCACCAAACCCGCUGAUUCACUAUUAGCCGUUACUACAAGGAGAAAAAGGAGUUUUGAUAAGUUAUUGAAGAGGGUAUGUGUUAGUUUUUCCCUUCAAAAUCUUACUAAAUUAAGUGAAUAUAAGUACAACAAAUUCGAAAAGAAAAGAACUAUCGUUUUUCUUUUAUUGUUUCAAGGAAAUUCUACCUUUUAAGUCCAUAGUGAUGAUUGCCGUGACAAUUUUAUGGAAGUUUAAUGUAUUAGAAUCUUGAAUUCCAAGCACAAAACGUUGGCUUUACAUGGAUUUUUUGGUUUUGUAAUAGAUAUUUUGGAUGACUUUGGUUAAAUCAUUUUCAAAGACCAAAAAAAGCUCUGCAAAUGCGAUCACUGCAAAUGCAAUCACCGCUGUUGCAAUAGAUGCGGAUAAGAGCAGCCAAUAUGCAGUGAAAUGGGCAGUCGAUAAUCUCUUGAAUGAAACCUCGCAAUAUGUCCUCCUUCAUGUUCGAAACCAUAGCUCGAAUCCACGUAAGUAUUUUUCGAUCUUGUUCAUUGUGUCAUUGUCAGCAGCAUCACCAUGAUCAUUAAUCUUAAAAGGGAAUUGAAUUUCCUUGGAGUACAAGUAACUUUUAUAGCAAGAAAUGAAUGGUUGUAUCAUGCAUUUGUGUUUGACUUUUGUUGAUGGGAUUCCAGAGGAAUUAGAAGCUUCUUCUAUAGGAGGUCGACCAGCAACAAAUGAUGAGUUGCAGAAGCUAUUUCUUCCAUAUCGAGGACUUUUUGCGCGAAAAAGGGUGAGUAAUCAACUUGACCUUUGGGAUCUUAACACAAAACUGGAGCAGCAAGAAGAACAGGAAAAGACAAUCAUCUUAAAUGGCUUAUUAAACCAUCUUAUUUUGAAUCAGUCAUGCCUUUCUGCUGUGAUUAUAUUAGUAGACAUCUAUUACAUUGCUGUUUAUAACAAAAUGUGAGUAAAUUUUCAGAUUCUGGCAAGAGAGGUUGUCCUCCAGGACAUUGAUGUUUCCAGUGCACUGAUUUAUUAUGUCAAGAACAACUCCGUUGGCAACAUUGUCGCUGGAGGUUCCAGCCGGAAUCUUCUUACAAGGUUUUUCUUUUUCCUUUCUGUUUCCUAUUAUCUUUUCUUUCGUAUUCUGAUGCGUAUCACAAACACAUGUACCUUUGGCGAUUGUCUGCAUACAGGAAAUUCAGAAAUUUGGAUCUGCCAUCGAGCUUACUCAAAUCUGCACCGGAGUCUUGCGCAGUAUAUAUUAUAUCUUCCAAAGGAAAAAUUCAAAGUUCCAGGCCAGCAGCAAGCCAACCUCAGAUGCUGUCUGGUGAUGCCUUGAUACCCAAGCAACCACCUCUAGGGGAACGCCCCUCUGUCAUUCAGCCUGAUAGCCCAAGAUCUGUUGAGAUAGGCAGGUAAAAGUUGUUAAAUGUCACUGCAUUACUUUCCUGGUAGCUGGGUUAUUUAACUAAGAUUUAAACCGCCAGAACUUCCAAGCCCCUUUGUGUUAAAAGUUCAUUGCUUCCCUGACUCAUGUCUCUCUGUUAAUGAUUCUUAAUUGAUCUUGCAGAAGUGAUUAUAGCUGUGACAGUUCAAUAAGCAAAGUCACUGACAGAAACUAUUCCAGCUCUGAUAACUCACAGAAGGCCAAAAAUGGCAAGUCUGAAUCAACUUUCCCAAUUGUUUCAUCAAUACUACCAGCGGAUAGCCACAUGCAAAACUCAUUUAAUUCAGAGUCAGAAUCAGAUAUUAGUGAUUUUUCGGUGCCCGUUAGCUACCAAUCAACUGAAAUAUCUGAGAAUAUAGAUUGCUCCUCUUUAUCUAAGAGUUCCAAGGACCAUUUCCCUCAAAGCCCUGUAAGUGCAACAUCAGAAAGAUAAAAUGGGAAAUUAUAGAUAAAGAGUUUCAAUUAUAUGCUUUUCUACCUUUUGCAGAUAUAAAAAGAUAUAUGAAAAUCUAUAGAUCUAUAGUAAGAAAAUAUGUUAUCAAAUCUCUAACCUCCUUUACUUGACGGACUCGACAGAAAGGCUUGGAGGCUGAGAUAAAAAGGUUAAGGCUGGAAUUGAAGCAAUCCAUGGAGAUUUACAACUCAGUAAGCAAAGAAGCUGUUUCCACAAGUCAGACGGUAGGAGAGAACAUAACUUCAGCUUGAUCAAAUAAACUUGCAAUUAGUCCUUUGCAGUGCAACCUAAAAAGCUCUUUUUAUGUUACUAGGCAGUCAAGCUUCAGCAGCGUAAGAAAGAAGAGGCUUUAAAGUUAGAGGAGGCCAGGCUUGCGGAAGAGGCUGCAUUAGCUUUGGUAAAGUCGGAGAGACAGAAGACCAGGGCUGCCAUGGAAGCAGCACUAAUGGCACAACGUCUAGUAGAGUUGGAGGCCAUGAAAAGAGAGAUUGCAGAACUAAAGGCCAUGCAAGAGGAAGAAGAAAAGAAGAUAGUAAUGGAAGCAAUGGCUUACAAAAAUGUUAGGUAUAGAAAAUACACUAUUGAAGAGAUUGAAGCCGCAACAGAUUACUUUUCAAUCUCUCGGAAGAUUGGUGAAGGGGGAUAUGGUCCUGUUUAUAAAGCCCAGCUUGAUCACACAUCUGUUGCCAUAAAGGUCUUGGGGCCAGACAUAUCACAGGGACCGAGGCAAUUCAAACAAGAGGUAUUUUCUAUUCUUUAAUACAGCAGAAAUAUAAGCAUGUAAGAACUAUUGGCAAUGGAACCACACUUUAUAUGGCAUUACUUUGUUUGGCAUGCCAAAUUAUUCAAAAAGCCACUGAAGGCUUAAAUUCAUGAUAAACUCCUUUUAUAUCAACUUCCUAUUUCAAACAUUUAUCAUAGAAGAAAUAAGAUGAUACAUUAACAGAUGAAAGAACACAGCGGAAACCCAAGUGUCAGAGAAUCUAUCUAACUCUUCCUUUUCUUGUUUUCCCAUAAUGAUUUCUUCUUGAAGGUUGAGAUUCUAGGCUCCAUGAGACAUCCAAAUAUGGUUAUCCUCCUAGGUGCCUGCCCAGAGUAUGGCUGCCUUGUGUAUGAAUAUAUGGAAAAUGGCAGCUUGGAGGACCGGCUUUUCCAGAAAGACAACAGUCCCCCAAUUCAUUGGAGCAUUCGUUUCAAAAUAGCUGCUGAAAUUGCCACUGCCCUUCUUUUCCUUCACCAAAACAAACCAGAGCCCCUUGUACAUCGUGAUCUCAAGCCGGCAAACAUUCUUCUGGACCAAAAUUAUGUGAGCAAGAUUAGUGAUGUGGGUUUAGCCCGGCUAGUCCCUCCAUCCGCUGCUGAUACUAUCACUCAAUAUCACAUGACAACAGCAGCUGGCACAUUUUGUUAUAUAGACCCAGAGUAUCAACAAACAGGAAUGCUGGGUGUGAAAUCAGAUCUGUAUUCAUUAGGUGUUGUGCUAUUACAAUUGAUUACAGCAAGGCCUGCAAUGGGUCUAAGCCACCAGGUUGAACAGGCCAUUCAGAAUGGAACAUUCUCAGAGUUGCUUGAUCCAACAGUGACAGGUUGGCCUGUAGAAGCGGCUUUAUCGAUUGCCAAAUUGGCUUUGCAGUGCUGUGAGCUGCGGAAAAGGGACAGGCCGGAUCUUGCUUCAGUUGUGUUGCCAGAACUGAUCCGAUUAAGAGACCUUGGAUUCGAAAAUGCAGAAAAUAAGAAUGACAACAUUGUUGUUACACCAGGUCCUUACAAUUCUGUUUCAGAAAUGAAACAGGUAAGUGGGAAUAACAUGAGAAAUCACUGAUGUCACUUGCAUGUCUGCAUUUAUACACAUUAUUCCUCUCUGGCCCAGCAAUCACUCAUAAUAACUUGCACGGCAGUAUCCCAUUUGAUCACAUGAAAUAAAUGGACAAUUCUCCUCUCUCCCUCUCAAGCAAUGCUUAUCAGACAGAGAGAAGUAGAGAGAAUGAUUAAUUUAUACUAAUUAAACUUCCAAAACUCAAAACAUUCCUGGUAUAUGUUUUCAAUUAUAUUUUAUGAUUAUGUAUAAUCAGGAAGGAAUGAGAAACAAUCCUAAUGUGGAAAUGCAAAUUCAACGUAGAUCAAUAUACGAAGCCGAUGGCAGCGGAUUAAGUCAAUGACAAGGAUGUGGGGAUGCAACAUUACCACCAGCAAAUCCAGACAACUUCCACCUAGACAGAAAAAACUAGAGAAACUGGACAAGCCGCAGUUUGAAGGUUGUUUGUCGCUUGUCAGUUGUUCACCCUAUGCUUCAAAUCUCGUAAGUUGUUCACCUUAUGCUUCAAUAAGGCUAAAAAGAAUCAAAUCAUUUUCAUAAAAAGUCAGAAUUCUUGCAGUAAGACUGUCAGUCUGAUGACAUACCGCAUUAACUUGCUAGACAGUCUCUGUGGAAAAGCUAGAUUUUCACAGAGUGUGCUCCUGUACAAUAACCUUAAUUGAUUGCCAAUAGCUUCAUGGAAGACAUCCUAUGGUAGAGGUAUUGUACAUUAAACAUAAUCUAUCAAUUCUAAGUGUAGAACUCAUUGUUCUUUUCAUCCUUCACAACUCUUUAAGUUGUCAGAUUCCUUUUUAUUAUUAAUAAUAUUAUUAUUGUGGAGGGCUGUAGGUGGUAGAGAUCCAUGCAAGAUUCCUAGUAAAUUACAGAUAAGAACAAUUUCAACUACAAUUGUCCUAACUGCUGGGCACUGCUGCCUUGAAAUAGAAGCUAAGAUGUGUGUGGUUUCUUUCAGAUCACAAAUUUGCAGAGUGAUCGGCCUAUUCACCAGAACAUUGAAACAAGAGAUAAAUGAGAUAAAAACAUUGCAGUUAAAUAAUCUCAAAGUGAUGUCGGAUUGCUGAGUACUUAGCACUUAUAACUUUCUCUUAGUUUAUUAUUGAUCUGUUGUCCUAGCACAAGUAGCAAUCACAGACAUGGUACCCAUAAGCGAACAAAUUGAUGGCUGCUAGAAAAUAUCAAACACAGCCAUUCAAUGCAAUGUUAGAGAUAGAAUGUCAAUGAUACGAGAGAGAGAGAGAGAGAGAGCCCAAAACAAAACAAAACUAAACAAGUCAAAGAAAAUACUAGUAUGAUUGACAUAUUUUAGUAUUUUACAAGCAUUUAUCCAUGUAUAUAUUUAUAUUCAUACAGGGGUAAUCUUUUCAAGUACUUCUUUGUGUUUAAGGAUGGGGUUGAAGAAACUACUUCAGAUUUGACAAAUAAGCAAUAGAACUUUGCAGCUGCCAGAAAUAGAAACUCCAACUGGGAACCGUCCAUAACAUUUAUGGAUCAAUUAGCUUCCACGACUUAAUAUUUCUAGGGUAAUGAAGUGGCUCUUACCCUUAACCCAAAUAUAUUUCAUUAAAAUCGAAAUGAGGAAAAUAUAGUUCCUGAACCUGACUGACUACUACUGAAUCAUCAUGCAUAAAUCACUAUACCAUCAUCUAGCUUCUUGAAUUAGAGCAGCUCAGGGAAAGGUGCUUGUUAACGUUGUUAAAUAUGGCUCGUAUCCAACGCCUGGUAAUGAAGAUCACAGUCAAAAGAGCAGCAAAUACAAAGACAAAAAAAAAAAAAAAACAAAUAACAUAUAUGAAAAAGAAAACUAAGAAACUCACCGGUUCAUGGUUAUAUCCUGAGAACGAUUCUUGAUCUGUUUCAAGUGAAUAUUGAUAUCUACAGUGCUGAAGCCAGCUUCAAGAAACAGGGUUGACAGGAAAUCUUCAGAGAAAUAAAAUGAGCACUGGAAUGCAGAUUGAAUAAUUAUCGGAAGCUAUAAAAUGAACAUUGUUUUUUGCAACUCAAGAAAGUAUUACUCAGCAUACAAUGUACUUACAGUACCAUCACCUCGAACAUAGAAGCUGUCACCAAUCAUCUGAUUUCUGUCUAGAAGUUUCACCUGAUAAUUUGACCAACAUUCAGCAAGAUGCAGGAGUAAAUCAUUGUGUUAAAUAUGUCUUAGCAAUGAAGAAAGAUUAGUUAUACAGAAAAGAAUUACAGCCGUAUCAUAAACAAAAAUCACAGUCAAGUAAUCAUAUACCAGGAUAACAGUAUAGGGAAAAUAGUGAAGUAAGAUGCUCAUGCAUCAAUGACAAGCACACACAGACCAAAGGGUCAUAGAAUAUUCAUUAAAUAAGAAUUAAUAACUCACUUGAGCAAAAUCUCCAAUAGCAUAAUCGCGCACAAGAAUAUAGCCAUCUGGCUACAAAGUUCAUAAAAUGGCAUUAUGGUACUUACACAUAGUGGAUAAACUGAAACUAUCUCAACUGAUGAAAUGGUAGAUCUACCUUUAACACUGCUUUGAUAUUCUGUAAUAUCAAGGGCAUCUUUUUCGGAGAAACUGCAGACAACAUAAAAAUCUGCUGAACAUGUCACGUGGCCACAUUCGUGGUGGUUUUUAUUCCAAACCAUAGAAAUGGGUAAUGACAAGAAGCAGAAAUGAGAACAACUGUAUUAAAUGAUUGCCCACUCUUACCAAGGUAACAACAUCAACCGAAGAAGGAUUAACAUUUCUGGAUAGAUCAUCAUUGACAACAUUGCAGACAAAUGCAUUUACCCGCUCUUCUCUGAACUCUGAAUGUGACUGCAUGUAGCCAAUAAAGUAGCCAAAAUUAUUAUAAAUAAACAGAGAGAUAGAUCUAAUAUGCUUAUAUACUUCUACUCUUCCAGAGACACAUCAAAUUUUCCCCUCCAAAUUAUUGGUUAACACAGUCACCAGUAGCACCAUCCUAAAUCAACCGAAAAAGACAACAAGAGGAAAGAUGGUGUUCCCAGCUCCACAUCCAACCUGCCAAUGUGUGUGUGUGUGUGUGUGUGUGUGUGUGUGUGUAUAACAACUCAAAUUAAUUUUUAAAAACAACCAAUCACCUGCCCACUUAUACCCGGCAGCUAGAGAAUUUAAAGCAACAUCAAUCUUGAACAUACCUCUAAAACGACCUUCGGAUUUCCAUUUGGGCAACAAGAAUCAUCAGAAAAGUAAUUACCCCAGUCUUUUUCCAAGUAAUGCCUAUCCUUGAAGAACUAGAACAAAACAAAGCAAAAACAAAAACCCAAGUGGGCAACAGGGAAUCGCUAAGCCACGAUGUGAAAAAGGGGGAAAGAAAAUGCAAAUGAAGUGAGAGAAAGAGACCUUGUUUUUGUGGCGUUUGUAGAAGCCGUCCCAGUACUUCUUGGCUUUCCUCUGAUAGUGCUCUUCUAAGGGAUAGUUCUGGGGUUGGAUGGCCGCCGGAAGAGAAUGACGGUGGCGCCGUUGGACGGUGGUGAUCGAGAUGAGUGACGAGGGGUAUGGGUAAGUGGCUGACAGCGACACUACUUUCAUCUCUCGUCGCCGUGACCGUGACAGAUUGGUCGAGGCAACUGUUUGCAAAAUUAUCCCGCUCGGGAUUGCGAAUUUUUUGAUAAAAAUUAUCAAAGAAAUCCCCUUUACGUUGCAGAACAGAAUUCUACGUUCAAGAGGUAGAGAUAGUUCAUCAAAUGAAGUAAAAUGUAUUGAUUGGAAAUGAAGAAACAGAGUCCAUGCGAACAAUUAAUAAAAACACAAGAAGGAGAACACGAAGGAAAAUGUAUUGAUUGUACAAUUGUAUUUUAAUUUAAAGGAAGAAAAAAAAACAUAACAAUUGUGCAUUUAUUUUUUGGAAUUAGAAUAGUCGGGAAUGGGAAUGAGCUAUAAUGAAAAAUAAGAAUGAGAUUUUAAUUUUUAUUUGAUAAAAAUAAAUUGAAAUAAGAAUGUGUUGAAAUGUCAUUGUGUUUACUUUUUAAAAUAAAUGAAAACGAGAAAUAAGAAUAAGAAUUAAUUUACUAAAAUACUUAUAGUAUUAAAUAAUGUAAUUUUUAUUUUAUUUAUAUAUAAUAUAUAAUAUAUAAUAAUAAAUAAUAAAGUUAAUAAAAUAUAAUAAUAAUAAUAAUAAAUAUUAAUAAUGAUAAUAUUAAUAAAAAUAAUAUUAACAAUAAUAAUAAUAACAACAACAACAAUAAUGAUAAUAUUGUUAAUAAUGAUAAAUUAAUUAUUAUUUUUAUCAUUAUUUUUAUUGUUAAUAAUGAUAAUAUUAAUAAAAACAAUAAUAACAAUAGUUAAUAAUAACUAAAAUGAUAAAGUUAAUAAAAUUUAAUAAUAAUAAUAAUUAUUAUUAUUAUUAAUGACAUUUAAAAUAAUAAUUUUAAUUGUGAUUUGAACAAGAGUAAUUUGUGAAAUAUGAAAAAAUUAAAGAGAUACAAAAGUAAAUAUAUAUUUCAUUAACAUUCCCUCAUUUUCAUUCCCAACCCUCCGGGAAUGGAAUUUUAAUUCCUUAUUUCCAAAUUGUGUGGGACUCACAUAUUUUAUUCUCAUUCCUAAAUUACAUUUUACCAAGUAAACAUGAGUUUCAUUCUCAUUUCUUCAUUUUCAUUCCCCAAACUUUCAAGUAAACACACCAUAAGUGCAUAUCUUAUUUAAUUAUGUCGAUGUGGCACCUACUUGUCUUUAAUGCCAAGUGCUAAAAUCUAAAGACUCGCCUUUAAAAUUUAAUUCGCAAAAGAAGGGAUCACUUCAUAUUCACAUUUUGAUUAGAGUAAUGAUAUAACUAUAAACUCUUGCAUAAAUUUAUUUUGUACAAACUGAUGUAGCAUGUAAAAUUGGUUGAAUUAAAUAUCACUUUGACCCACAUAAUUUAUUUAUAGUAUUUUAUAUUUUCAUUCAACCAAUGAAUUAAUGUCACAUUAGUUUGUACAAGAAUUUGUGGUUGUAUCAUCACUCUUUAUUUGUUGUAUUUUUCUCACGUGGGAUAUUUAAAUUCUAACAAUCUCACAAGUAAUAUUAACUCUGAGCUACAAUGACCCUAGCUGCAAGGUUAUUUAACCCUUAUCAUCUAAGGAUUGUACUGGUAAUGGUACUCGUAAAUCCGUCCAAAUCCACCCGCAACCCGUAUUACGUUGCGAGUUGGUUUGAUAUCAGUUAAAUAUCCGAUGGAUGCUCGCAUGGAUAUCCGCCAACCCACAUCUUUUUUUUUUGCCUAAAUUUUUUUAAUGUAAUUUUAAUUGAAAAAAUAUUUAAAUCUAAAAAUAUAUAAAUAAAACAAAUGUAAAGUGUAAACAUAUCAUCCGUGGUGUGUCUAAAUUGCAACUCAUAACCUAACCUAAAUGAAAUCCAAGCUAUUUCCUUUUCAUCUAUGAGCAGCAACCGCAAAACCUAGCCUUCCAAAUUGUUUCCCUUUCACCCGUGAGCUGUAGCCGCACACCCAUUUCCCUUUUCACCCGUGAGUAGUGGUCACACCCAUAAAUUUUUCAUGACAUUUGUGGUUUUUUUUAAUGAAUUUAUAUAUUUCAUACUUAAAUUUGAGAAAUUUGUGUUGGAUUGAUGUUAAAAUUUUAAUUUUCUAUUUACAUUGAUUAAAUUUAAAAUUACUUAUUUUAUGUGGAAUUUUAGCUUAUUAAUAUAAAUUUAUAUAUUAAACAUUUGUGAUUUUAAAUGAGAACCCAUAAAAAAUAUAUCGAGUACCAUUGCAAAUUUAGUAAUUGUCAAAAUCUACAGUAGGUGCAGGUGCGGGUGCAGAUUUAGUAAUUUAAAUUUUGUACAGAUGCAGGUUUGGUAAUAACAAACCCACUAUGAGCGUUGCCCAUUGUCAUUCCUAAUUGAACCACUAAAUUAGAUGAUCGUUAAUGAUAUUUACCAUCACCAUAAAUUUAGUGCAAGUAAACGCUUGUUAGUUCCAAAACACAAGUUAUUAUUCCCCCGGUCCCUAAAAACAUUAUUUAUUCAAAACUCGAAGCAAUAGGAAAGAAGGGUGAUUUUUUACCCACCCCUAACUAAAUUGACCAAUACACUGCGCCUCCAAUUCCGUUAAUUUGACCAUUUAUUUGAACGAUAAAAGGAACAAUUCAAGAGUUCAUACCUUAAAUAUUAUUUUCGAAACAUUUGUCAUUAAUUCAAGAUUUUGAAACUCUAAAGCAAUUAAUCAAAAUUAAAAUGCAUUGACUUAUUACUCAGGGGGGCUUGAUUCUGAUUUUGGUUUUGAUUUGUAGAUUGGGUUUUGAUUUUGUGGAAUGGUCUGAAUUUGAUUGUAAUUCAAAUUUUGACUAUGAUUUUGCAAAAAAGAAAGCGGAGUCAGGAUGGCCUUGGGGUCGAUUUGGAAUGCAAUGAAUAAACUGUAUUUUGAAAGUUUAAGAAUUAAUCCUAAUAACGAAGAGAUUUCCUUUCCAAAAAAUCUUUUAUAAGUUUGUAAAUUUUGAUUUUCGUUUGCUGCUAACAUUAAUUAGGCCUAAUGCUCUGCAACUUCGUUAGGGAUGGCAAUGGGGAGGGAAGGGGAGGGGACCAAUCUCCCCGUACCCAUCCCUAAUAUUUUGCGUAUGUCCCCGUCCCCGUCCCCUCCCCAUCUCCGUCAAAAUUAUUUAAGAGAAUCUCCAUCCCCUCCCCGAAUAAUAACAGGGGAUCUUCGAGGGUCCCCGAUCCCCGAAUAACUAAUACAUUUUUUUAUUUUCGAUUUUAAGUUAAUCAUAUUAAAAUAAAAAAUUUAAAUCAAAAUAAAGUUCGAAAUAUAUCUUACAUUAAUAUCCAUUACAAAAGUCACAUACAUUAAAUUAGUAAGUAACGCAGCAUGCAAGUGAUACAAACUAUCAUGAACAAAUUAAUAGCCUAAUACAAGAUUGUUACAAAUAAAAUCAAAUUUAGAUUCAAAAUUAACUUUUCAAUUGUGGCGUGGGCACUUUAUAAAUGUGGACUAUUCCUUUUACAACACAAUAGUUAAGUCGAAUCAAAUCAAGGGUAAAUAUUAUAUUAGAUUAGAUAUUAAAAUUGUGAUUUCCUGUGGGCAAUUAUAACAUCUAAAAAUAAAUAAAUAAUAGAUUUAAGAUAAAUAAAAAAUAUAUUUAAGUUUAAAAUAUUUAAUGAAUAUUAAAAUUAAAACAAAAGUUUUGGGCUAAUAGAAUCUGUCCGGUCUUUCUGAUGUCAUAAAUAAAAAUUUAGGACUUUAAUUAGUUAAUUAGGCCUAAAAGUUUAAUAAUAUAAAUAUUUUGAUAUUUUUUAUUUUUACCAAUACUUAUAAUUUUAUAAUUCAAAUUUUAUAAUUUAUUUACUAGUAAUUUUAAAAAAUAAAAAUUAAAUUAAAAAUUAAAAUGGGGAAAUGGGUAGGGGAUGGGGAUUCCACCUCAUCCCCGUCCCCUCCCCGAAUAAGAAAUUGGGUAAAAAAAUUUCCCCGUCCCCUUCCCCGAAUAAGAAAUUGGGUAUGAAAUUAUCCCCAUACCCUCCCCGAAUGAGAAAAAUUCCCGAAGAUACUCGUCCCCGUAGAGAUUUUUGCCAUCCCUAAACUUCGUUAAUUGGGUUUAUUUGCUUAUGAUUUUUGGUUAUUUAAUUAUGCAGAGUGCUAAUAAUAAUUGAUUGACAGCAAAAUCAUUGAAGCAAAUUAUUGCUAGAAGGAGGCUGAGAAGUCAUAGUGGAUAAUGGAAUGGAAGAAAAGUUAAGCAUGGUUCCACCCAUUGAAGUAAAGAUUUCUUAUUUAUUGUACGAUUAUCAACAUAUGGUAAUAAAUCAAAUUUACUUGACUUAUUAGAGCAUUUUCAAAAGAUUUUAUAAAUUUUAUUUUUUAAAUAUUUAUUUAUUUAUUUAUGUGGUAAAUAGAAGAGUGAAAAAAUAUAUUAUUCUCCAAAGAUUUUUCAAAUAGAAAUGAGUUAAUAUUAUUUUAAUUAAAUAAUUAUUUUUUUAAUGAAAAAAUCAAUAGUAAUUAAAGCACCUCUCUCUAUUUCUUCAAUAAAAAGUAAUAAAAUAUAAAUUGAAGAGGGAGAAAAUAACUCUCCAAAUUUGAAGAGAGAAUAUUAUUUUUUAUUUGAAAAAUCUUAAUUGGAAUGUCUUUUUUAGAGUUGAAAAUAUUGAUGUGGCUCUUCAAAUAAGUAAAUAAAAUUUUAUUUGAAGAGUUUUUUGGUGAUGUUCUUAGUAGACGGUGACUAUUGUGUAAUUAUCUUUAGUUGAGGGUUUUUAACAUAAAUAUCAAUUGCUGAAUCGGACUUUUUAUUACGGCAUUUAUUCUUUUUUUCGCAUCAAAAUAAGGGGCAUUUCUGGUAUGUAACCAAAAUUCAAGUAGUGCCGUUAAUGAUAACUAAAAAAUUAACGGAAUUGCAACAUGUGUUUUCUUUUGGGGGGCGCGAUGUUAUAUGUCAAUUUAUUUGGGGCGUGCAAAUAAUUACCGAAAAGAAGAAGUACUAUUUUUAAUUAGUUAAAAAAGAAACCACAGCACAGCUCCCAAUUCCCAUGAGUCGUGACGGUGUCUCGAAAAAGCUAGAACAACAAUUUGCACUUUUCUUUUCCACGGCAUAUUCGUUUUCUCAUUAAAAAUCUCUGAAUCUCCCCCCUCUUUUUCUCUUCCAAACUCAACGCUAGCCGAAGUCUCUCUCUCUCUCUCUCUCUCUCUCGAGCAAGCCCUAACCCUUGAAGAAAAAAAAAAAAGGAAAAAAAAGUUUUCGGAAAGGAAUGUCACGCCACACGCCCGUCGGAUCCGACCACGAGCGCGACCCGGAAACCCGUCUCUACAACCCGUACGCCGAGCUGAACCUACCAGCCCAGAAUCUCUACAAGCUCCCAACUAACCCCGAGUUCCUCUUCUCCGAAGAAUCCAUCCACCAGCGGCGAUCCUGGGGCGAAAAUCUCACCUUUUACACCGGCACGGCCUACCUAGCCGGCUCCGUAUCCGGCGCCGCCAUCGGCCUGUUCUCCGCAUUCAAGUCCAUGGAGAAAGGGGAUACCCUUAAGUUGAAAAUCAAUAGGGUUUUGAACUCGUCGGGACAUUCGGGUCGAUCGUGGGGGAACCGGGUUGGCGUGAUUGGGUUGAUUUACGCGGGGAUGGAGAGUGGGGUUGUGGCGGCUACGGAUCGGGAUGAUGUCUGGAGCAGCGUGGCGGCGGGGCUGGGCACUGGGGCGGUGUGUCGGGCCGCGAGAGGAAUAAGGUCGGCGGCUGUUGCGGGGGCGAUUGGUGGAUUGGCGGCAGGUGCGGCUGUUGCGGCAAAACAGGCUGUGAAAAGAUAUGUGCCUAUUUGAGAGAGAUUUGUGUCAAAAGUUUCAAUUUUGAUAGCGUAGAGUUCAUGAAAAAAAAAGCAUCUUUUUUAUCGAAAUAUUGGAAUCAAAAUUUAUUACUUGAUAUCUAUUAAUUUGAUAGAUAUAUUGUUACUGCAUGGUGUAAUAAGUAAUGUGAUUCUGCAAUGACACUUGUAUGCCUUUUGAUGACAAUGGAAAAUUUUAAUGAUCGGUAUGCGAUCUAAUAUUCUUUAUGUUGUGAUUUUUUGUUGAUUAGUUGAUGCUUUGAAAUUAAAUUUUAUGUUUUGUCUGUCAAUAGGAUGAAAUUCUCUUAAACAGAAGCUGUUGUGGUUUAAUUGAUUGAUUUAUGAUCAGUCAGUUUUCAGGGUCAUGUGUUUAGAUAUUGAGCUAUUGUCAUAAUUUGGUCAAAUAUGGAGAUAUAAACUGAUGUCAAAUGUGAAAUGUCUGAGAUAUUCAGUAGUGAGCGCUGUGGUGCUUCUGUGACAUAACUGGCGAGUUCCUUGGAUUUGCUCUUAUGAUACUAAAGCUGUGAGGAAAAUCAUCCAUGUACUUGUUCAAACAAAUGGCCGAGCAGGUUAUGUCAAAUUAUGUACUCAAAGGAAUGUUUUGUGCUUAAAAUAGCAGCGGUAUUCUGACUUUGGUAUCAGUGGGGGAUCCGUGGAUCUGUUUUUGGUGCAGUAUAUGUUGUAUUUUUUAUGUUCAGUAAAUAUGUAAUAGUUAAAUGUUUCUAAUAUGAUCUGAUCCUAAAACUAGUGGUUGAUUUGCAUGGGAUAAGGUUUGGAUUUUUCCUAUGUAUAUGGAUUAAAUUGGAUUGUUUGUGUUAUUGUCGUUCACGAUUUAUAGUUAUGAUACUAUAUGUAAUACCUUGAUGCCUUCUCUGUUUACUUUGCUUAUCAUUCCUGAUGUAUUUUGUUGCACAAAGUAGUAGAGGUGAUUGAACUAAUGGAUGGUCUCAUAUUUUUCUCACAUUGUAUGUUUACUUGGAUUUUCAUGUGCACUUUGUUAGCCCUGAGCUUGCUUCUGAGACUUGAAGGUUUUUAAUCUGGGUUGCUUGUGCUAUCUUUCUAAUUUCAAAGUUCAACAGUAUUGGAAUUUAAUUAAAAUUUAAAUAAAAUAUCAUUGGCCUUCGGCUGGCAUUUGGUUAUUAUGUUUUAUUUAUGAUUAUUGUUUCCAGAGUAAUUUUACAAUGAGGGUUUAAUAAAUUGUGGACCAAAUUAAAAGAUAAGAAAAAUAUACACUUUAAUGUAGUGUAUUUGUCUUUUAAUGCAUUGGAGUUCUUGGUUUUUUUUUUUUUUUUUUUAAAAAAAAAAAACAAAACGAGGGAUUCUUUCUUAAGAGAGGAUCUGUCGAUUUCAUAUUUCUUUUUAGAAGAUAUAAUUUAUAUUUGAUACUGCUUUGAAGCUUUCUUUAGUGAUUUGGAGAGUGUGAUGCACAGCGCAGCUCAGUUUUUGAUGGAUCACCACAAGAUCGCUGGCAAGAGCCAAUCACGUUCAAUAUUUUUAUAAUCAGCUGUCAUUUGCGAUGGUAGCCAAUGAAUGCCUGCAUCAAGGUAAAAGCAGUUCCGUAUGUAAGGAGGCAGUGAUGCAAAACCCAUGUAAAAAGGUUGUGACAAAACAAUACUCCAAUGGGUGAAAAGGAAAGUUUGCUGGGUGAAUCUUCAUGAAUACUUGACUCGCAAAGUUUGCUAUGAAUCUUGAUGUAAACUGGAGUCACUUAACUGAAUUACUUAGGUAAUUUUGUGUAAGUUCCACCCAUAAAUUGAUUAUACAUGAAAUGUGGAGUAUUGUGUUCGUGAACCAAGUUCAGAACAAGCAUCAAAUCAAUCAUCUGAUUCUUUUCUCUAUUUAUUCAAGGAAUUGCUAUGUCCAAAUGGUAACACAACGGAAAUUGGAUACCCCAAAACAAGAAUACAGGUUUAUCAAAUUAAUAUAAGUGUUGUUUCACACAACACUGGUAAUUGGAAAAUCCAAAAAAUAUAUAUAAAUCAAAUUAUUACCCGCAUGAAAGAGGCGAUUACACUCUACUAAAAUCAUGUUCAUCACGUAUGUAACCCAAAAAUCCAUUAAGGAAAGGUCGAUAGCAGAACACCUUGUUGAACACCCUAUCAAGGAUGAGUAUGAGUUUAAGGAUUGGUUUCAUGCCUCGAUCCCCUGCUUUUAUUCCAAAAAUUUUGCAUAAAAGUGUUUACCAAUUGAAAAACAAAAUCAAGAUGUGCUCAGUGACACAACCAUGCCAAUCUGAUCCCAGGUGGAAGGGGUUGAACUGAAGCCCCCAUCUAAACUGAUACAGCUAGGAAAGAGCUUCUCAACUUAGAAAAAGAAGAGUUUGGCUUAUAGCAACAUGGACUCCGGAUUCUCAAUGUAUCCUUUGAAUGCUUUCAACCAUUCAGCACCAAUCGCACCUGUAUAAGCAGAAUCAUCAUGGUCACAUGGAUUGAUUAAAGCUUCACCAGACUAAAUUGAUACCCCAGAAGAUUAUUGGGAUUAUGGAAUACAUACCAUCUAUUACGCGAUGAUCACAACUUAAUGUUACCGACAUGAAGGAAGAAAAUUUGUACUGAUCUGGACCCAAGCCAGGGACAACCCUUUUCUCAGCUGCUCAAGAAUAAGUAAAUUGAGACCAAAAUUAUUUUAACAAAUCAGAGAAGAAUCAAUUUGAUCUUCUGAAUGUGAAAUUUAGAGCUGAUCUUUACCAGAUCCAACUGCAAGAAUGCCAGAUUGAGGAGGAUUGAUAAUGGCACAGAAUUGCUUGAUGCCGAAGGGUCCUCCCAAAUUGGUAACUGUGAAUGUGCCUCCCUGCAAAGAGGAAAACCCAGUAUUCAGAUUCCACAGAAAACAUGAGAUAAUCGUACGCUUCAGAUGACAAUCAUUAACAUAAAACAUGCAAUUUUGACCUCAUAAUCUUGUGGUUUCAAGCUGUUGUCUUUGGCUUUCUGGGCCAACUGUCUGACCUCUUCAGCAAUUGUGGAUAAGCCUUUCUUGUCAGCAUCCUAAAAUUUGUAUCAUGUAAAUUCUUGUCAAUGGAAAUUUCAAUGUAACUGAUACAGGAAAUUGUUCAACAAAAGAAUAACUGCUCACCCUUAUAACUGGGACAUAAAGACCGUUUUCUGUCUGCACUGCUACAUUAAUAUUCACAUUCUUAAAUCUGGAUUAGUAGUCACAAGAGAAAUGUCAUUUCUCUAAUCAUUACAAUGAGUUGACAACAGUUUCUAGUGCAGUUUACUUACUGUCGGAUAUAUUCAUCAGCCCAUGAACUAUUGCACCGAGGCACUUUUCGCAGAGCCAAGGCUGCAGCCUGCAAUAUAUAAAAAUUAAAGCUCCAUAUGGGGAACUCUAAACCAAUAUAAUAAAUAUAUUAAAUCUGAGAUGUAAAUGCAGAUCAUUAUUCUGGUGACACAAGCCUUGUAAAUUUCCAAAGAUCAAGCCAUAAGUUAUUUAACCAUGAAAUAAUAUAUGAUCCAUAUGCUAACACCCUUUUUUAGAUGCUCAUUUUGUAUGGGAGUUUAGUUUAAUAUUUCUAUUCAGCAGCUACGGUUAUUGGCAAUAACUUAUUGAAUCCAUAGCAAUGGUUAGCUGUGUACAGAGAAAACUGUAUACCUUAAUCACCAGAUCAUUAACAGAUAUCCGCUUUCCAGCCGAAGCCUCUUGUAUGGAAUUCAGUUGGUUUCGCAAACUGGAGACCAGAGUUAAACAGUCAUAAAAUAUGCAAUGUCAAUAAUGGAUAUAUUUCAGCGAUGUUUGAAACAAAUACUUACCCCAUGAGAUUGUCAACACAUAUAUCGACUGUUAAAUAAUAAUGUGGGAUUGUUUGCUUUGAGAACAACAAGCGUGAAGCAGUGAUCUGUCAAAAUUAUACAUACAUUAGCUUUAGCUAGAUUUUGAUAAAUGGUUACUUUAUUUAUUCAUUUAUUUAUUUAAUUUUUUUUUUUGGUAUAAGAAAGUGUACCUUUCUUAUUUGAGAAUGAGGGAUGUCAACAUAGUCCAAAGCUGGGGCUGCAACGUCCUUACCCUUAGGAGCUUUGGCUGGAACUUCUUUCCCACGAGAAGCUACAUCAUAGGAAACUCUUUAGCAAUCAACUCAAUUCCAUACACUAUAUAUAUUGUUUAAUUUAAGCUUAUUAUCAAAUUCAAUGGGGGGAAAAACUUUCUAAAUUUGAUACCCAAGUAAUCUUCAAUAUCAGCCUUCACAAUGAGUCCAUUGGGACCUGUUCCCUUGAUGCUGGAGAGGGAAACCUAAAAUUAAACCCAAAAAAAGGGUGAAACAACACAUGUUAGCUAGAAAUGAUUUCACAUCAAUACCACCUCCUAUUACUGACCUAAAAUAUUUCAAAUGUGGCACUAAACAUGACUAACAUUAUGUUCUUCAGCCAAAUUCCUAGCAACAGGACUAGCAAAAAGGCGAUCUUCAGGAGAAGCUGCACUGGGUUUAGAGGCCUUUGGCUCUGAUGUACUGAUUGGUUUUUCAACCUCUUCCUGUUUUGGAGGGGGAGGAGGAGAAGGCUCUUUAGCUGGAGCAGCACCAGCAUCAGACACUGAAGGACUGUAAUCUUUAAACUUUGGAAUAUCUUCCUCUUCUUCAACAGUGAUAGCAAUAACCUAUAUGAGAUAACAAACUCGAUAAUAUUUCCAUGCUCAAAGCACUCGCUCAAAGGCAAAGAAGUUUGGACAUAUACAUGCAAAAAAGCAUCUUCCAGACAAAAUCAAUACCUCACCAACUUUAAUUUCUUUUGACCCAUCUCCUUUUACUAUCUUGGCAAGAUAACCUUCCUCCAUACAUUCCAUCUCAACAGUUGCUUUAUCCUGUUGGUAUCAAACAAGAGGAAAAUGUCAAAUUUCCGCGACGGGCAAUGCGAAACCAGAGAGUGACAAAACCAGGGGCUGAAAUUCAACUAAUAAUCAGAAUGAGAAACCUACAGUUUCAACUUCACAGAGUACUUCACCGGGAGACACCUUGUCGCCCUCUUUCUUCAACCACCGAGCAAUAUUACCCUGCAUUGCAGAAAAGAAUCACCUAACAGGAAACAAAAAAUGAGCAUGUCAUAUAUUUGUUGUAGCUUAAAGACAAGAUACAUGCCUCUUGCAUUGUGGGUGAAAGGGAGGGCAUUCCAAUCUCCUGGUGUGGAGGAAGACCUGGAAGAUAAUUGCCAAGAUUUGUUAGUAAGUUGAAUAAGUAAGACAGCAAAUACAAAAUGUGAUCAACCAACUUAAAUCUAAAAUGAAAAAGGAAAACUCUAGCAAUGAGAAAGAUAAGUGUAGAUGGCAACAAGAUAAACAGUGAAGCCGCUGUGAUUUUGACACAAACAUCUAAUGCCAUUUUCAAAAAUAAACAAAAGAAUGCACAUUGGAUCAUGUCUCAUUGCACUGCUCAAAAGGGGAAAGAUGUAGGUAAAUUAGAACCAGAAAGAAGAUAUAAAUUGAUCAUUUUCAGCGAUAAUAUGAUUCAACCUAUAUAAUAUGAUGGCAAAGAGUACAUUGCACAUAAAUAUAAUGUAGUAAUUAGAAACAGGAAAUGUCAGAAAAAUGAAGUCACCUUUGAAAGUAAGCUCCAAUAUGAAUUAAUUUCUACUUCAUAAACAAAGUUAUAAAUAAGCUAAAAAACAUUUACAAAGAAUAUUUUAGGAAAAGAAGUAAAGUAUACCUGAAUCUGACGAAAAUCCUCUCUUCAAUUGUACUUUUGAACUGAUAAUGGAUAAUGAAAAUGUCAGGCACAAGAAAAUCAUCCAGAAAGCAUUGACUUAUAAGUAUGAAGAAGAAACUGGAGGACGAGUGAGAAAAGGGAAAAAAAUAUUGGUCAAAGUACCAUGCAAAUCCUCUGUUAAGGAAAGAUCCAGCAAUGGGACUUCCGGCUUUUCUUGCCACACUAGAAAUUUUUUUCUUAAAUACACCUACUGAUGAUACCUAGACAACAUAAUUGAAAGAGUUAAUAUCCUGCGACUAAGUUCAAUUUAUUAUCCGAAAAACUAAUGGUAAGUGUCAUAGCAGAAGCAAGGAGAAAAAACAAAAGGCAAUGUAAGGGCUCUAAUCACUAUCAUUAUUUAUGGCUCCAUUUCUGAAAGAAAAGAUGGCUGGCACUUACAGAGCUAAUGGCGGAUGAAUUAAUGACUCUUUCACUCUCCACAGGCACAUAGACAUGGCGAUGAAUCUUUAGAAGAUCUGGAAAAUAGUAACUCUAAUUAAUUAAGAGCAUCAUUCAUCUAAAUUUAGCUAUUAAGACUAAACUCAUGGAGAGGAUUAAAUCUUAGAUAAAGCAUAAUGCAUGCACACAAGCUGCAAAAACAAAAGCAACCCUGAAUAAUAAAGACCAUCUGCAUACCAUCCCUGCUACUAACAGCAUCAUUUGAAAACCAACGAACCAAAACAGCAUUCUCAUGCCGCAGCAAAUUUGAAACAUUCUUCAACUGCAAAAACAAAAAUCAGAAAAAUAAAUAAAUAGAACUCCAUAGAGUGAAAUUACUGAAAGAGAAUUUAAAGAGAAAUAAAAAAUAAAGGGAAACCCCUUAACCCAAUAAGCCUAUAAAAGUGAUUUAUUAAUGCUAAAAUGCACUUUUGACAUCGAUAAACAACCAAAGGUGAAGGACAACACUGAAGCUAACAAUCAAAACUCAAACAACCAGAAAACAAAACCACCAACUAAACCCAAAAUUAAUUCAUUAAAUUACAUCACCAAGUCGAAAUACACAUCCAAUUUAAGCACCAUCAAUGCAAAAAACUUAAAUAACCGAUGUCACAAUCGAAACUGAAUUUUCCACAACAUGAAUUUAAUGCACACACAUACAUACUGAAUUUGCGCUGAAAACAACAACAACAACAACAACAACAAUAAAACUUCGGCAUUAGUGAAUUUACUUCAAAGUUGAGAUUUUGAGAGUCUAAAUUCGCAUACAAUUAUAAUAUUAUAUAUAUAUAUAUAUAUAUAAUCAAAACUAAGGAGACUGAAAAUCGAAAAUAUUUUACCUUUUUAGAGUGAUUGAUGAUGUGAGAUGCAUACGCCAUGACUAAUAUUUCCAAAAACCACUAAAAAAAAUCAACAGAAAAAGAGCAAUGAAAAUUCAGCAAGAAAAAUAGUUUUUUUUUUUUUAAAUUGCUUUUUUAGUGAGAGAUGAACGAACAGAGUAGGAAUCAAAGAGGGUCUGAUUUAGUUUGGUUAAAAACGUGAAAUUUAUUAGGGUUCGGACUUUGAUCCCGGGAAUUUUGUUCUUUUUAAUAUUUAUUUGUCAUUUUUUUUUCUUCCACCUUUUUUUUUAAUAUUAUUUUUGUCUGCUGAGUUAGUGGCAUGAGGAGAGGUAUAAUCGGUUGCAAUUGUGUACAGAGUUGAAAUGAAUAUGGCUGCUGAACAGUGGGUCCGCAGUGAAAUGGAUGGUGAGGAUUGAUUAAUUCAGCAAGCUGGGUGGAUGAUGAUGAUUGGGCUCUCUUUGUUUGCCGCCUGGCGAGCGCCCCCAGCGGCUGACUUUAUAUCAAUAUAUUUCAGCCGAAUUUAAGUAUUUCUUUUUUAUUAUUUUUCCAAAAAAAGGUAUUUCUUUUUCGUUUUACAUUAAUGAUUAAAUCAAGUUUUAUGUAAUUAGAAUUAUCAUUAUUAUUUACCAUUCGUUAUUAUGUUAAUUUUCUUUUCUUAUAAUAGUUUAUUACUGAGAGUUUAUCAUUUAAAUCUUUAUUUUUUAACUUCAUUAAAUAAAGAUAUAAUGUGUCAUAUCCUUUUCAGAUUUUUGUUGAUAGUAUUUUUUGUUAAUUCUUGAUAACAAACUCUAUAAAUUAAUUAAAUUUUUUACCCUACAACCGUCACAACAUAAAAAAUUAGCAUCCAAAACUUAUAUUUAAACGGAAUAAUUAGCAUCCAGAACUUAUAAUUAAAUAUAAUAAAGAAUAAAUUAUUAGGUUGGAGUUUUUUUUCUCUUAUUUAAAUUAAUGUGAUUUCAAUUAAUAUUAUAUAAUUAAACGGAAUUAAUAUUCAACAAAAUUUUCACAGUAUUCUUUUUAAGAUUUUUUUUAAGGGGAUAUUCUCUUCAGUAAAUGAAAAUAAUUUGUUUUUUUUCUAACACAAGUUUUAUUUUUCAAAUAGCCUCGUCUGUUAAAACGACACGAUAAUACAACGCAAUACGACAGGAGACAGUCAACACAGAGCCGUUGUCUGUCCCUUUCGCCGAGGCAAGAGAAACGCAGACAUCGAGUUCUCUAACAGAGGGCGCGAGAUACGUUGAGAGUCGAGGGGCAAAAUGGGAAAUCAGAAGCAAAAGUGGACAGCGGAAGAGGAGGAGGCGCUGUUAGCCGGAGUGGCAAAGCACGGCCCAGGGAAGUGGAAGAACAUUUUGAGAGAUCCCCAGUUUGCCCCUUCCCUCACCCAGCGUUCCAAUAUUGACCUCAAGGUUGCUACCUAUUUACCAUUUUUUGCCACUCUCUUUUUUUCAUUUGGUGAAAUUAGUUCUAAUUUACUUGUAGAAUUAUAAGACUCUUUAGCUUUGGUGAGAGUUAAAUUGUUUUUUGGUCUAAUUUUGGUUUUAUUGCGUAAUUGUUGUAAAAGUGUUUUUUUUUUUUUGUUUUAUUGCGUAAUUGUUGUAAAAGUGCUAAUUUUGGUUUUAUUGCGUAAUUGUUGUAAAAGUGUUUUUUUUUUUUUAAGGUGUUGCAAAGGUCUGGGCUGGUAAUGGGUAGGUGUUGUUUUCGUGACUUGAAUUAAUGGGGAAAUUAUGGCAAAAAAAUGAUUGCCUUUAUGCAUUGCGGGUGUUCUCAUGGUAGUUUUCAUUGCUUUCUGGGUUGUAUAUGGGACCUGUGUGGUUGACGUCUACUACGUACUGCAUUGCGAUGAAAUUUUGUGCUGACGAUAUUCCUGGCAUCAUGAUGCAGAAUACAGAAGCUUCUGCUUCUGAUUAUGUAGAAGCUGGUUGCCAUUUGGUGACAUUCUCUUUAUUAUGGUGUUGUGAACUAUUGCCUUCCUUUCUUAGUUUCAGAUAAAUGACUCUGGUGUUUUUCGUUGGAAACUCAACUUGCGUAGAAGAAGGGCGUGAAUCUGUGAAUGUGCUGUAUCAUAAUUAUUGGAAUAUGCAUGUGAUGUAUAUGAAGCACAAAUGUGAUGAAUGAGAACAAUAGCCCACAAAAAUGAGAUUGAGAAAUCUUACUGUGCUGUGAAGAUGUUAGUGUAUGCUUUCUUAUGGAUGUUCUGGAUGCUUAUUAGUUGCUGGUAUCUCCGUGAAGUUCGAUUGCUACUUUUGUUGGUUAAGUUCUUGUGCAGUAAAGCUUUGAUUAAAUUGAUUACCAACACUACACUCCAUUGUAUUAUGGUUUCUCUGUCACAACUUCAGUCAAUCUCCUUGUUAUUUACUUGUCUCAUCCUUGCUCAUAUUUGCAGGACAAAUGGCGAAAUUUGAGUGUUAGUAAUGCUCAACAAGGCUCAAAAGACAAAAUAAGGGGACCAAAACUCAAAACUACUGUAGUUUCUCCUCUCUCCAACACCCCAAACUCUGCUCCUGCUGCUUCACUUACUCGUAACGUGUCUUCCGGGGCUGUUAUGAAUGAUACUUCCACCAGUGCAUUAGAUGGGAAGAAUGGUCCAAAGUGUGUUUUUCUGUUCCUUCUGCUCAACAUUUACAUAAAUAACAUAUAUGGUAUUAAAUGUUUGUUGCAAAAGUCUUUUCACUUAUAUGCUUUGAUUGUCCAAUGGGAGGAAAAAGAACUAGGGUGGAGUAAUCUGUUUCAAUAUAUUGUCUAUUUGUGUGACUGGUUUUGCUGUUGUCAUAUUUUAAUCAAUUUAUCAUAACCUUUAUAUAUUAAAGAAAGGCACGUAAUAUUUAGAAAUAUUCUGACUGAUCGGUGGUGUGAUUAUGAUAUUUGGUUGAAGGCAAUUUUGUUGGCACAAAUAACAGUAUGGGUGCGCCCAACUACUUUUAUAUUUGUACGCUCUGUCAUAAAUAACAAUUCAUGUUAUCCAUCUUACAAGUUAUCUUCCUUUAAUGAUUAUGAAUUUGCGGUAAGAUGAAAAGUAAAACAUUCUGAGUAAUUCUAGAUAUUAUAUGCAUAAUAAUGUCGUCAUUUAUAGGUUUUAAUACUACUUUUUCAUCAUUGCUUUUUACUAACUAGUUAUUGUUGAAGCCAUUCUCCUAUGUGUGAGAGCAGUUUUAUAUGUAUGUUCUUGUGAUGUCUGUUUCUUGGAAUAAUUGAUGAUAUUUUUUGUUUAUCAGGUACAAUGCAAUGAUAUUUGAAGCCAUUUCAACCUUAAAAGAUGCAAAUGGAUCCGACAUAAGUGCUAUUGCCAAUUUUAUUGAGGUCAGAUGGACAUCUCUAAUUAUGUGCAACUUGAAGGAGUUUAUUUCUUUUGCAGUUGCAGCAUCAGACAUUCAGAAUAUAGGAAAUUUUUAGACAGAAAAUCCAUUUCAGAGAAUUUCGAUUCUUUAAAAGACUCAAGAAUAACUGAACUUCCAUACUGCAGGAAAGGCAGGAGGCACCACCAAAUUUUAGAAGAUUAUUGAGUUCAAGGUUGAGAAGACUUGUUUCACAAGGCAAACUUGAAAAGGUGAAUCAUUCUCUUGAUGCUUCCUUUAUUUUUUUAUUUUUUGAGAAACAUUCUUUUGAGAUUUUAGUUCCUUGUGAUCUGAGAGAGAGACAGAAUUUCUGCUUUUAUUUUUUUUCCUUUUUCCUAUGUAGAGGUGUGGUUUUCUUGUCCUUGGUUCAUUCUAAGUGAUUAAAUUUUGCAUUGAUAAAAAAAAAAUGAUGCCAUUCCACACUCUCAAUGUUGACAUAUUUAAGCAUUGUUGAGCCAUGUAUGUAGAUCACAAUUUUAUCAUGGGUUUUCAGGCUGGCAUGUAACAGCCAACCUAGAUGAAUUUUGUUUGGACUUGUAUCAACGAUGUUUGUCUUAUACCAUUCUUCAACAAUAUUCAAUGUAGGUCCGAAACUGUUACAAGAUUAGAAAAGAAACCUCCAUCGGAGUGAAAACUCCUACCCCGAAACAAAAGGAUGCAAGGUUACGACCACCACGGAAUUCUGCAUUGAUGGCAUCUCGUGAGAUUGUGGAGGAAGCAUCAAUUACUGCUGCCUAUAGAAUUGCUGAAGCUGAAAACAAAUCAUUUUUGGCUGCUGAAGCAUUUAAGGAGGCAGAAAGAGUCUCAAAGAUGGCAGAAGAUACUGAUGCAUUGUUACAGCUUGUGAAAGAGAUCUAUGAACGAUGUAGUUUUGUUUAGACGUCAAUUUCACAUUGUCGAUUCUCAUAGUUUGAAAUGUGACCCUGAUUGAUUCUUUUUCCAUGAUUUUGGUGUUUCAACUGCAGGUUCACGUGGUGAAAUUGUUCUUUUGGCUUGAGCAGUCAGAUGUAAGUGGUAGAGAGCCAGUGUAUCGGGAGGACAUAGUAUGUAAAUUUGUUGAUCCUGUGGAAAACUCUUCACCCUCUUUCAUGGCUUCGCCACAUGACUCCAGCUGCAUUGGGUAACAUGUCCAUUUGUGAUCAAUGAAACAUGAGAAUGUAUGUACAAAUUUAAUUUCAUCUAUAAAAUACACUGAUUUCAGUGCUCAAGAAAAAUGCAAUGGAGGUCUCAGUGUUGGCAAUUUUUCUAUAAUUUAGUGAACAGAACUUCAGUGUAUGCAACUUAAAUGUUUCACUUAAUGCAGCUUGAACCUCCAGGUGAUAAGAUACGAUGUACUGAUACCUUUGUGGUUUUUAGGCUAAUUGUUGACGGGAAGAUUUACUUUAUUUCAAUUUAAAAAACUUAAUUAACUAAAAUUAGCAUCCCUUCGAAGGAAUAUGUCACAUCGUAUGCUUUAGUAAUUAAGCUCAAGCAAAAGUACUUCAAUGGUCAUUUCAGGUCAGUUUCCAGGAAGAUAACAAUUAAUUUCGAAUUCAGGGAUGACUUUAAAAAAUUGAUUUAAUUUUAUCCAAAAAUAAUCUACAAAAGCAUUUUCCACCCAUGAAUCAUAAUCAAUGUUCAAACCAUUAAACAAACAACCCCCAAGUGAUUGGACGCCCGAGAAACUUUCAAACAUUACAAUGAUCAUUUGACUCUUAUCAGUAAGUGACAAGCUCGAUGUUUGAUAACGACUAUGACUCUAUGAGUUCCCAUCUUGUAAAGUUCAGAAUUUUCAGUCGAAAAGUUAGCAGAAUAAAAUCUAAAAUCUAAACUCAGCUCCCCACAAUUAAUGUAAUGUAAUCAUGCAACCAAAAUUAUAAACAAACUUCAUCUAUAGUGCCGCUGCCAGUCUCAUACCGCAGAAGAAAUUUUCGGAACUAAGGCUAGAGGAGCACGAGACCAAGUUCUGAAGGGGGCAAUGCAUGUCUUAGCCGAUAGUUGUAAAGAUAAUAGUGCAAUUUCCCAUAGCCUGGUCCAAAUUUCAGAUCCUUCAAGAAAGUCUCAUUUUGCAUAAGAUCCAAUGCAUUGAAAACAUCAAAGUCCUUCUGUUUGGCCACGAUAAGAGCAUCAUUCACCAAUUGAAACAACGGGGUCUUUGUGGAAACAUUAUAAUACGAGUAAGCUGCCUUCAAUGUGGAAUAGUUCUGAUUACCAAGAAUUGAAGAGGGAAGGGUGUAAAAACUGCAGAAAUCAGUGAUUUCGUGGGUUACAGGACUUGCAACCAAAAAACUAUCCACGACAUUCUCCUUUGGAAGAAGCCAAUGCUCCACUUCAUUUUCAUCGAAGUCUGGUGCAAUAGCAAACUGGCUCAAGUACUCCCUAAGAAGCCGUGUAACAGCAGGAACAUCAUGAGGCUCCAUCUUUCUGAACCCUGGAGUGACUGUCGACUCCGGUAACUUGUAAAGUUUAAUCGUUCGACUCAUUGUCAUUCUUGCACCCAGUCUAGAAAACCCAACAUCAAUCAGCUUCUUUGGAUUCAAAGACCUAUGCCAAUACUGGCAAGUUGAUACAGGAGUUGGAAGGACCACUCCAGCAGUAUAAGCUGCUUGCCAGAUAUUCUCCAAAUGAACCCUCCUGGUCACUUCUUUGAUCAUGACAGGAGCUAGUCUUUUCGAUCUCAGCUUUUUAUGAACACACAGGAAAUUUACCUCAGCCAUUGUGACAACAUUAUCACGAACCCGGAUUCUUGCAGGAACACCAGUGAUGAAAGCAACUAGCUUCUUUGAACUUUUGACACGAACACCAAUGUGCCAGCUCUUGAAAUAACCCGGUGGACGCAGAGCCCAGCGGAGAAACUCCUUUGAAUAGUUAAAUCUGAACAUAUUCUCAUCAUCCUCAACAUAGUUGUUAGUGAGUAGAAUAUAAAUCUCAGCACACAUCUCCUCAGAGUCAAUGUCGCAAGUGACCCAUUCGUACAGGUUCGGAAGAUUGUAGGGUUCUUGUUUGACUUCAGAUAAGAGUUUCGGGGGUUCAAUAGGUCCUUCAGGCAAACUGGUGUCUCCUAUCUCCUUGAAUUGCCCAACAGGUUGUGUUUCCCAAAAUUUGUGUCUAUGUCCAAGAGCAAGUGACUCUUGGACCUUUUGAGCAAGUAGGUCAAGUGAAAUAUCACUCCCAGAGGGUGGACUUUCAUCAGGCUCAAGGUUUUCAGUUUCUUCAGGGGCACCCGAAUAUCCAUUGCUAUCAGCCAUUUCGAAAAAAUCUCAGAGGUCAGUCUGCAAGACUGAAAUACCGCAAUCUUAUUACGACCCAAUCGUAUGCUUUGAAAGGCAAUAAGCAAGAGAAAAUAAUGUUUGAAGUUUUUUAUGUUACAGUAUAUCAAAUACCUAACUCCAUUGAGUUUUAAAAAACAGUAUUUGGCACAGACUAAAUUAGCCAAUACAACAUCAAUAUCAAAAUACAGAAAGUAGUAUCAUACUUGGUUUUAUAAAGAACCAAGUACGAUAUAGAAAAGGCAGCAAUUUCAAUUAUCAGAACGAAAUCAAGAUUCAUGACAACAAAAGGGGAUAUAAAUUUGAGUCAACCAAUAAAAGGGACUCGCAAAAAUGUUGGAAACAAAAACCAAUGAAACAGGUACAUUAUGUUCAUAUUCAAGUACUAUAAAUCAACAUCAAAUCUACAAUAUACAUCAAAUUAAGCCCCAUGAGCAAUAGAUCGCUUGAGCCUAAACUACAUCAUGAUGUAAGACUUUCAUUUUGUUAAAACCUAGCAACCAACAAUACUGUCCAAUCACUAAAACUGUAUCAUAUAUCCAUGAACAGCAACAAGAACAAGCAAAAACCAAAACGAAUUUGCCUCAGAGUCAUACAAUUGCAUACAGCAGUGAAAGAACCGAUUAAAAUCACAAACCCAAAAACCACAAAUAUCUAGAGACAGAAAAAGUUAAAUCCUUUUUACUUUCCUUCUCCUUUUACAUACUUUCCCAGCAUCCAAACAUACAAACACGUUCCAAAAAACAAAAAAUUCCUAAAAACUCGGAAACAGCAAACAUACAUUUCCAAGAUCUACACUGUCAAACAAUUAUCAGAACAGCUAAAGAAACACCAAAACUCCACUUAAUCGUGUUUACUGAUGUAUUUCCUUAGUGAGUCUUGCAAAGUUUUGAUUUUUCGUUGUUUGAAAACAGGGGGAAAAAAGCAUCAAACAUAAGAUCAGAACUCAUAUUUUUAUCUUCUUUUAUUCAAUUUGCUUUCAAACCCAUUAAGCGAUAUGCUUAUAUUACCUCGCGAUUUAAUGCGGAGAAAACUGAAGCAAUGAUCCAAGCUUUCGCAAAGAGAGAGAGAGAGAGAGAGAGAGGGUGUAAGCAGAGUUGGGCUUUGGAGAGACCGAAGAAGAGAAUAAAGUUACAACAAAGACUGGAAAUCCGAAGUCCCAAUGGGUUUUGUAAUUUUAAUUGUGUAGGAAGGGUAUAAUUGGAAAUUUUGAUAAUAACACACACUCAUAUGGGUUAAAAAUUGAUAAUUAGCUUGUUUUGAAACAAUAAUACAAAAGAUCACAAAAGGCCAUUAAAUGAAGAUGUUGCUCUGCACAUUUUUUUUCAAGAAACAGCUCACGGUCUUCCUUGAGAAGACAGAUAUAUGGAAUGAUUAGAGACAACUUGGAAAAAUAAAAUUCCUCAUGCACAUUGCCUGGAUUGUGUAUCCUGGUAACUGAUGUGCCUUUGUCCCAUUAUUGAUGAUUAGAAUUUAAUUUUGUGUUGCUGGAGGAGCAGUUUCCAAAUUGUUUCAAUUGUACGCGUGCAUGCAUGCCUUUCUUCUCAGGUGGGAAUAUAAUGCAUUGAUGUUCCUCCCUGUAUUCAUAGUUCAUCCAUUAUAAUGCACGCACAUCAGAACUCAAGCCAAUCUGUAGCUUCUUAGCAAGACUCUCAUUGUUCACCAGCAAAGCAACGUGAAAAGUUUAAAUAGCCACUUGGAAAACAAGAAUUGCUUUUUAACAUUACAAUCAUCACUGAAUCCUAACAAUAACUAACAAGUGCAACAUUUGAAACGUGCCUAAGAAUUUCAGUCUGAUAAAGUUCACAAAUUUUGUUUGAAAAUUUAGCACAAUAAUAUCUAACAUCUAAACUUGGCUUUGCUGCAAUUUAACAUACUCAUACAACCAAAACUAUAAGCAAACUUCGUCUAGAGUGCUUCUGUCAGUCUCAUACCUCAAAUGAGAUUUUCAGCACUCAAAACUACAGGAGUACAAGACCAAGUUCUGAAGGGAGUACCGCCUGUCUUAUGCGAUAGUUGUAAAGAUAAUAGUGCAAUUUUCCAUCACCUGGUCCAAAUUUCAGUUCCUUCAAGAAAGAUUCAUUUUGCAUAACAUCCAAUGCAUUGAAAACAUCAAAGUCCUUCUGCUUUGCCACGAUAAGAGCAUCAUUCAUCAAUUGAAGCAAAGGAGUCUUUGUGGAAACAUUAUAAUAUGAGUAGGCUGCCUUCAAAGUGGAAUAGUUUGGGUUGCCAAGAAUUGAAGAGGGAAGGGUAUAAAAGCUGCAGAAAUCAGUGAUCUCAUGGGUUUCAGGACUUGCAACCAGAAAACUAUCCACGACAUUCUCCUUUGGAAGAAGCCAAUGCUCCACAUCAUUUUCAUCAAAGUCUGGUGCAAUAGCAAACUGGCUCAAGUACUCCCUAAGAAGCCGUGUAACAGCAGGAACAUCAUGAGGCUCCAUCUUUCUGAACCCUGGAGUGACUGUCGACUCCGGUAACUUGUAAAGUUUAAUCGUUCGACUCAUUGUCAUUCUUGCACCCAGUCUAGAAAACCCAACAUCAAUCAGCUUCUUUGGAUUCAAAGACCUAUGCCAAUACUGGCAAGUUGAUACAGGAGUUGGAAGGACCACUCCAGCAGUAUAAGCUGCUUGCCAGAUAUUCUCCAAAUGAACCCUCCUGGUCACUUCUUUGAUCAUGACAGGAGCUAGUCUUUUCGAUCUCAGCUUUUUAUGAACACACAGGAAAUUUACCUCAGCCAUUGUGACAACAUUAUCACGAACCCGGAUUCUUGCAGGAACACCAGUGAUGAAAGCAACUAGCUUCUUUGAACUUUUGACACGAACACCAAUGUGCCAGCUCUUGAAAUAACCCGGUGGACGCAGAGCCCAGCGGAGAAACUCCUUUGAAUAGUUAAAUCUGAACAUAUUCUCAUCAUCCUCAACAUAAUUGUUAGUGAGAAGAUUAUAAACCUCAGCACACAUCUCCUCAGAGUCAAUGUUGCAAGUGACCCAUUCGUACAGGUUCGGAAGAUUGUAGGGUUCUUGUUUGACUUCAGAUAAGAGUUUUGGGGGUUCAAUAGGUCCUUCGGGCAAACUGGUGUCUCCUAUCUCCUUGAAUUGCCCAACAGGUUGUGUUUCCCAAAAUUUGUGUCUAUUUCCAAGAGCAAGUGACUCUUGAACCUUUUGAGCAAGUAGAUCAAGUGAAACGUCACUCUCAGAGGGUGCAUUUUCAUUGGGCAUGAGAUUUUGAGUUUCUUCAGGUACGCCGGUAGAUCCAUUGCUAUCAGCCAUUUCGAAAGAAUCUCAGAGGUCAGUCUGCAAGACAACAACUAGUCAAAAUCUAGUGAAAACAGAAAAAAUGCAAUGUCAUUGAAAUGUCAUCAUUUAAAACGCAGAAAAGAAGAGAAACUGAAUGUUGGAUGUUCUAAAACAUUGAAUACCUCCAUUUCAGAGAAUUUACUAAAACUAUAUUUGGAUCAACUUUGAUUAAGGCUUUUUAAAAUCAAAAUCAAAAUGAUUUUCUAAAAACCUAAGAACAACAUAGGAAAAAGCAGUUAUCAAUGAUUGACACUAAAUCAUUACAACAGACCUGGUGGUAACUUUAAGUAAACCAAUAACAAGGGAACUAAAAAUAGUCCAUUUGUGUUUUGAUAAAAAGAAGUUGGAAACAAAAACCUAUGAGACCAGCAACCUACAAUCAUAUUCAAGUUCUAAAAACCGACAUUAAAUUUAAAACAUAUUAAAUUAAUCCCCGCCAGCAAUAGAACGCUUCAGUCCAAACUAUAUCACAUCCCCAAAGUAAGAAUUUCUUUUUGUUAGUCUCCAAAAAAGCAAGCAACCAAAAAUAUUAUCCAAUCGCUGGACUCUUUAGCAUCUAGUUUGUACAGCAACAUAAACAAGAUGCACCAGAACAGAUUCACCUCGAUAUCAAACAAUUGCAGCAAUGAAUGAACCAAUCAACAUACCAACCAUAAAGCCACAACAUCUAGAGACAAAAGAUUGAACCCAUCCACUUCCUUUCUCCUCUCUUCUCUUUUCACAUACUUUCCCAGCAUCCAAACCUACAACAAACACAAUGCAAAAAACACCACCCCCCCCAAAACAAAAACAAAAAAACUCCAAAAACCCAGAUACAUAAAAACGCAUAUUUCCAAGAUCUAUACAGUCAAACAAUUAUCAAAAAACUAAAGAACUCCACUCAAUCGCUUGUACAGAUAUAUUUACAUACUGGGUCAUGGCAAAGUUUUGAUUUUUCUUUGCUUCAAAACAAAAAAUAAUAAUAAAAUAAACGGCAACAAACACAAGAUCAAAGCUCCUUUUAUAACUUCGAUUUAAAAUCCAUCAAACAAACACGUUUAAAGUAUUACCUCGAGAUUUAGGGCUGAGAAAACUCAAACAAAAAUCCAAGCCUUGGCAGAGACAGAGAGUGAAGCUGGGCCUCUUACGGCGAAGAGAUCGAAGAAGAGAAUAAAAAGGAGUUGAUGGGUAUUAUUGGAAACAGACAACACAGAGUGGAAAUUCUGAUGGUUUUAUUAUUAUUGUUUUUGUAAUUUCAGUGUUACACAAGGGUAUAAGUGAAAAUCUGUUAAUAAUUAUGAUUUUAUGUGAGAUUAUUGAUGAGAUCAAGUGACCGACCGCCGGUUAACCGCUUAAAAAGGAAUUUAAUUAAGAAAAGUAAAAAUGUGUGAAUAGAAAUAAACUCUACCUUAAAUUAUUUAUCCACACUUCUAAUUUCAAAAUUUUCACUAUUUAAGAUUUUAUUUUGAUCCGAAAAAUAAACAACAUCUCAAAAAAGUGUCAAUUUCAUGACUCUUUGACAAUUAAAUUUUGAUUUAUUAUUGCAGCCAAUAAUGUGAUUAGAAACAAGACUUUUAGUUUCCCGAAACUUUAUUUUUCCAAUUCUAUAUUACAUGGGGGUGGGCAUUUGGUUCGGUUCAGUCUGAACCAAACUGAACCGAACCGUAUUAUGACAAUUUGGUUCGGUUUGGUUAGGAGCAAAAAACCAAAUGGCUCAGAAAUUCUGAACCAUUUGGUUUUUUAUUUGGUUCGGUUCAAAACCGAACUAAAUUACCGAACUAAAUGGUUCAAGAAAAAAUUAAAAUUAAAAUUAAAAAAUAGUUCAUAAUUUAUCUUUUUAUUUUUGUUUGUUAAUUAAUACAUGAUAUUAUAUAUAUCAUAGCAUACACUUUAUUUUAUUGUUGAACUUUAUUAUUUUAAUUUAUUAUUGUUAGAUUUUAUUAUAUUGGUUAUUAUUUAUGGAUUUCUAGAUUGUUUUUGGAAUUUAUUAUGUUAAUUUACUAUUGUUAGAUUUUAUUUAUGUUGUUUAUUGUUUGCUAAUUUAUAGAAUCAAGAUUAUUGUUGUAUUAAUAGUGUAUUAUUAUAUUAUAUUUUUUUAUUAAAUAAUGAAUAUAUAGGAUAAAACCAAAUGGAACCGAACCAAAUUAUAGAACCAAACCGAACCAAAUGCAUUUGGUUCAUAAAUUCAUGAACCAUUUAGUUUCAGUUUAGUUCGGUUCAGCCCCUGAACCGAACCAAACUAAAUAGUGCCCACCCCUAAUAUUACAUAGUAUAUAGCAUGACAACAAAUAGUUAGACAUUCCAUAAUCACUUAGCAUAAACAAAUUAAUACAUUAUCAACUUCUUUGUACAUUGUAAAUUAAUUAAAUAAGUAAAAGUCUAAACACAAAUUAAUAAAAUACCAAAGAAAAUCUACAAUGAAUAAUGUACAAAGAUUUUAUACAUUAAAAUAUGUACAAAGAUUUCCACUUCCAAAAUAAAAUAUGUGUUUUGUUUAGUAUGCCAUUUAUAAGUUUAUUUAAUCAUUUAACUAGGAGAGAUGGACUUGUCAAAAAAUGGAUAUUUUAUUUUUUUAAUGCGCUUAGAAAAUGUUUUCAUUAUCUUAUAAAAUUUCAUCUUUAUAUUUUUCGUUACUUGAUCUUUUCAUUAAAGCACUAUUUACAAAAUAAGAAAAAAAAAAAGUCUUGAAAGCUGUUGUAAGUUCUGUAACAAAGGGAAUGAAACUAAAAACAUAUCAAAAUAAAUCUUGUUGAAUUUACUAUUUCUUAUACAUUUUAAAUCAAACUAGAGAAUUAAAGUCCAAACACCCCAAUGGAAAUUGAACUUUAAAUGAUGUAUCAUUAUUAACAUAAUAUAACAAAUAGGAGCAAGAAAAUUAAGGUAGAUCAUCAUCAUCAUCAUCAUCUCUAUUUCUAAUCCUAUGUUUCCUCCUUAUUCCUUUUUUUGGAAGAAAUGACAAUGCAUGAGUCAAAUUAGGUUGGAUUAAUAAUAUGGGGAAAAAAAAACUGAAGUCAUAUUUCACAUAAGGUAAGUGACUUUUCCUCAUCGUCCACAAAGAAAGUGCAACUACAAGUAGGAAUUGAAUACUUCAUUUUUUCAAAAUAUCAUGAAAAGAUAUAUUGAUAUUAUAAUAAAAUUUUCUAUUGCAACUAUACCUAAAUAAAUUUAUUUUAACGCAAAGAUGCAUAAUAAACUGCAUGUAUUUAUAUAUAUUUAAAAACAAAAAAUUCUUAUCCUCACACACAAGUACACACGAUUAUUCCACUAUACUAAUGAGUGGUUCCAAAAUUUAUUUUGACCACAACAUUUUUUUAGUGUAUUUAAAAAAAAAAAAAAAGAAAGAAAUGACCACAACAUUUUUUUAGUGUAUUUAAAAAAAAAAAAAAAGAAAGAAAGAUAAAACGACCCCAAUACUUUGAUGAUUCUGUCGAUGAGCAAUAUGCUUUAAUGUGUUAUGCUUAAUACAUUUUCUUUCACUCUCCAUAUGAAAAAGAGUUUGUACCAAAGAGGGUCUAAAUGAAAGCAAAUAGAAACCACAGGGACACAAACGGAAAUUACAACAAAAGCGGAACAGAAAAAAAGGGUUUCGAGUGGUAACAUGAACAGAACUCAACACACGCACACACAAGUGUUGGAGGCCGCGUAUAAUAUAUAAGUGCACCAAAGACCAAACUUUAGUCCCUUCCCUUUUAACUCCACGGCGCAGAUCCGAGGAGUUUGGUAACCCUAGCAACUAUUUUCUCUUAAAUCAAUCUUCUCCUUCUCUUUGAAAAAAAAAAGAAAACCAACUCUUUCUCUCCAUUUUAAUCACCAUCAUCAAAGCUUUGCAGGUCACUCUUUUUUUCUUCGAUUUAUUUGCUGUUUUAUAUUGUUUGAUAAUUUGUCAAAGAUUGAUGCUUUACCUUUUUUUUCCAGAUGUUUAUGUAUGUCGGUCUGUGUGAAAGUUGUUUUUUUGAUGGAAAUAUUUCUGGGUUUGGUGGAUUUUUGUUUUUGGGGGGUUGAUUUGACGUUGGCGUAGGGUUUUGUAUGUUUUCGGAUCUGGGUUUGUUUUUAUUGUGUCUAUACGCCUUGAUGAUCUGGAGAUUGAUUUGGUUUGCUGAUUCUUUGUGCUCAUUCAGGUUGUGUAUGUUAUUGAUUGAGCAUGCUAUAAAAGAUUCGUCUUGAUUUGGGCUUAUAUUUUGUAUCAGAUGGAGCAUGAGACUCAUGUUUUCUUCUUAUGAUUUUUCUUUAUUACUGUUCUAUCAGAAACCAAUCUAGGAGUGAAGUAAGAUUUUUUAGAUGCUAAGUAGAUUUAGAAUUUUAUGACGUCUAAAACUGUAUGUGACUAGUUUUGUCAGAAGAGUGAUUUUUAUAUAUUUGGCCGAAUGCAAGUUACCUGUUCAAAAAUUGUGAUGCACCAAGUGCUUGUUUUCUUCUCUUUUAUGCGUUUUUUACCAUAAUUUUGUCUUGAUGAUACUGCAAUGAUCAUUCUGUUAUAUGGCUACUCUUAAUGGCUCUGUUUGUAAUUAACUUAUUGGGACACUAAAAUAUAGUGGAUUCUAUCAGAAAUCUUUCCCUACAAGUUGGAAUGUGCUGGAUCAUUGUUAUUUGGCAUUCACUCAUUUAUAUCUAUUAGUUGCACUCUCCUGUUUCCUUUGAUUUUGGUAAUUCGGAGAAACAAUGAUUUAAGUAAUGAAUGUAGUUUUAUUUUGAGAGCUAUUUGCUGGUCUUAAGUUCUUUAAUUCUUGCUGAACUUUGGGGGAGUGGGGAAAGCACUGUCUGGUGAUCAUACCAGAUGGCUGGCUGCCUGUUAGCAAAUCUUCUCCAAACACUAAUACAGAAGAUAAUGCUUGUAGUCCUCUUUGUUUGGUUUGCAAGUUUGGCUCUUCUGUUAAAUUGUCUUCCAGUAAGAAGUGAUUUUAUCUGGUUGACUGAGUGAUAUAGAUAUCCUUCCUGCCUUGGAAUGAGUUGACUUGCGCAAUAUCACAAUUCAUGACUUGUGAUUUGAGUAUUUUAUUCAGACUUUUGUCAGAUAUAUUUUAUUUCUUCACGUGCACUGGUUUGUACGUUUGUCUUAUUUUCACUUUUCAUCUAAUUUGCUUAAGGUUUUCUAUGUUCAGAUAUGGCUGGUUUGGCACCCGAAGGAUCUCAAUUUGAUGCUCGUCAGUAUGACACCAAGAUGAAUGAACUGUAAGAUUAUUUUUUAUUGUCAUUUCUGUUAAUCUUCAGCAAGAAGUGGCUCUUAGUAUAAAAUAAAACACCUUGAUCUCAGGAUUUACAUCUGUCUCAAUUAUUUUAUUGAUGCAGGCUCUCUACUGAUGGGCAAGAUUUCUUCACUUCUUAUGAUGAAGUUUAUGACAGUUUUGAUGCAAUGGGACUGCAGGAAAACCUUUUGAGGGGAAUCUAUGCUUAUGGUAUUUAAAGAGGGGCUUUACUACUAAAACAUCUUUGCCCUAUUCUUUUGUCCUUUGUUCACCUUUGUUUUACACCCUUUGUUACGUUGCACCAUCUUAUGUGUAUAAUGGUCUUGUUUAAGUGUUUUUCGUCUUGCAAGUGUACUUUUUAAUGUCAUUGCAAAUUACCUUGUGUUCCUGUUCUUCUGUUUUACCUAUUGGGAAGAUGGAAUGGUUAAUGUGUCCUUAUUUUAUUUGCAGGGUUUGAGAAGCCUUCUGCUAUUCAGCAAAGGGGAAUUGUUCCCUUCUGCAAGGGACUUGACGUCAUUCAGCAGGCUCAGUCUGGAACUGGGAAAACAGCAACUUUCUGCUCUGGAAUUUUGCAGCAACUUGAUUAUGGUCUUGUCCAAUGUCAGGCCCUGGUGUUGGCACCCACUAGGGAACUAGCUCAACAAAUUGAGAAAGUAAUGAGGGCACUUGGUGAUUAUCUUGGUGUUAAGGUUCAUGCUUGUGUCGGUGGGACAAGUGUUCGCGAGGAUCAGCGCAUUCUUCAAGCUGGUGUUCAUGUUGUUGUUGGCACUCCUGGUCGUGUGUUUGACAUGCUGCGCCGACAGUCUUUACGCCCUGAUUACAUUAAGAUGUUUGUACUGGAUGAGGCUGAUGAAAUGCUUUCCCGUGGUUUUAAGGAUCAGGUUUGUUAUUGUAUAUAUAUUGAUUGCACUUCUUUGCUUGGUUACCAUGUCUUGAUAGUUCCCAAUGGAGUUCUUUUAUGCGAUUUACUAAUUACUGUUUUCUGGUUGUCAGAUCUAUGAUAUUUUCCAGCUGCUUCCAGCUAAAGUUCAGGUGGGGGUUUUCUCUGCUACAAUGCCUCCUGAGGCCUUGGAGAUUACAAGGAAGUUUAUGAACAAGCCUGUGAGAAUCUUGGUUAAACGUGAUGAACUCACCCUUGAGGGUAUCAAGCAGUUUUAUGUCAAUGUUGAGAAGGAAGAAUGGAAGCUUGAAACACUCUGUGAUCUUUAUGAGACUCUGGCCAUAACCCAGAGUGUCAUCUUUGUGAACACUCGGCGAAAGGUCGACUGGCUUACUGACAAGAUGCGAAGCCGUGACCAUACAGUCUCUGCCACUCAUGGGGACAUGGAUCAGAACACCCGAGAUAUCAUUAUGCGUGAAUUUCGCUCUGGUUCUUCUCGUGUUCUCAUCACCACUGAUCUGUUGGCUCGUGGUAUUGAUGUGCAGCAAGUUUCACUUGUCAUAAAUUAUGAUCUGCCGACUCAACCAGAAAACUACCUUCACCGUAUUGGACGAAGUGGUCGAUUUGGAAGAAAGGGUGUUGCCAUUAAUUUUGUGACAAGGGAUGAUGAGAGAAUGCUUUUUGAUAUUCAAAAGUUCUAUAACGUGGUCAUUGAGGAGCUGCCUUCAAAUGUUGCUGACCUUCUUUGAGGAGGUUCUGUUUUUUGUAAGUUUGUCGAGGCAAGAAGGGGUUUCCUGAUUUUGCAAGUACUAUUUAAUGAAGGUUCAUGCUUGUGUCGGUGGGACAAGUGUUCGCGAGGAUCAGCGCAUUCUUCAAGCUGGUGUUCAUGUUGUUGUUGGCACUCCUGGUCGUGUGUUUGACAUGCUGCGCCGACAGUCUUUACGCCCUGAUUACAUUAAGAUGUUUGUACUGGAUGAGGCUGAUGAAAUGCUUUCCCGUGGUUUUAAGGAUCAGGUUUGUUAUUGUAUAUAUAUUGAUUGCACUUCUUUGCUUGGUUACCAUGUCUUGAUAGUUCCCAAUGGAGUUCUUUUAUGCGAUUUACUAAUUACUGUUUUCUGGUUGUCAGAUCUAUGAUAUUUUCCAGCUGCUUCCAGCUAAAGUUCAGGUGGGGGUUUUCUCUGCUACAAUGCCUCCUGAGGCCUUGGAGAUUACAAGGAAGUUUAUGAACAAGCCUGUGAGAAUCUUGGUUAAACGUGAUGAACUCACCCUUGAGGGUAUCAAGCAGUUUUAUGUCAAUGUUGAGAAGGAAGAAUGGAAGCUUGAAACACUCUGUGAUCUUUAUGAGACUCUGGCCAUAACCCAGAGUGUCAUCUUUGUGAACACUCGGCGAAAGGUCGACUGGCUUACUGACAAGAUGCGAAGCCGUGACCAUACAGUCUCUGCCACUCAUGGGGACAUGGAUCAGAACACCCGAGAUAUCAUUAUGCGUGAAUUUCGCUCUGGUUCUUCUCGUGUUCUCAUCACCACUGAUCUGUUGGCUCGUGGUAUUGAUGUGCAGCAAGUUUCACUUGUCAUAAAUUAUGAUCUGCCGACUCAACCAGAAAACUACCUUCACCGUAUUGGACGAAGUGGUCGAUUUGGAAGAAAGGGUGUUGCCAUUAAUUUUGUGACAAGGGAUGAUGAGAGAAUGCUUUUUGAUAUUCAAAAGUUCUAUAACGUGGUCAUUGAGGAGCUGCCUUCAAAUGUUGCUGACCUUCUUUGAGGAGGUUCUGUUUUUUGUAAGUUUGUCGAGGCAAGAAGGGGUUUCCUGAUUUUGCAAGUACUAUUUAAUGUGGUGGAUAUUUUCUCCCCUUUUUUUUUUUUUUUUUGGUUUCUUCUUCCUUUCCGUCUAGUGUCUUAAAUUAAUGUUGUUCUCAAACAUAUCCGACCAUUUAAUCAUAUGGGUCAUGCACAUUUGCAAGCUGCACUGUGGUGGGUUUAUAAUUAUUGAAAUUUUUGUUGCUGUUAGGUCUUUGUAUUUUAUGUCCUUUUGUUAUAAAUUUUAUUUCUAUUAUAAUUGUUUAGCAGAAGCCGGUUAUUAGAUUUAUCAUCAAAGGCUUAUAUACUUGGUGUGUCUGGGGAAAUGAUUUGGGUGGUGUUUUAAUAUUCUUUGCAUUGUUUUUGUUUGGCAAAAUGUUUUUUUCCCAAUUUUUGUUGAGCAAGAUUGAAUCCUGAAUUUUCUUUUUGAGAAAUACGGAAUCUGCUUUAAUACACGUUUCCGAGAGGUUCUAAUGUUCUAUUAUCUUGACGCCUGAAAUAAUUUUUUGUUUACUCGUGCUUGGAAUUUUGAAACAUGGCAUGAUGAGUCUUCAGGCCCCUUUUUGGAGCAGCCACAGCACGAGCAGCAAGAGAGUACAAGACUGGCCAAAAUGAAAAGGACGCUUCAAGACGACGUACGUUUACAUUUGAAAUUAUUGAAGUUUUAUUGUAGAAUGAUUUUAUUGGCCGUCUUCGAAGUGAUCACGUCAUGUUUCCAUGUUUUGAAAGAAGAAGAUAGUCCAAUCUUGCGCACAGCGCACUGAUGAUACUUAUUAGAAUCAUGCCAUAUUUUCAACUCUGUUGGGGUCCAUAGUUGUCAAAUCUAAUAAUUUGGAGUCGUCUCGUCUCGUCUCAUCUCAUGGGCCGGGACCAUGGUUUAACCAAUCACCAUUGAAUGUUGAUUCCCGCUGGUCAAAAUUCUAUCACCACAGCUGAUGACCAGCUGAUGAGCCUUUCAAGAUAAUGACUUUCACGAGUUUCUCGCAAACUCACUUUUAAAUGGACAGAUUGAUGCUUUUAAGUAAGGUUUAGAAGUCUUUGAUUGCCAAUAACACAGCAAAGACGUAAUUUUAAAUCUUAAAAAACACUCUAUUGUACCAUAUAAUAUUGGACAACAAAUUAGGCCAUGCUUGAUGUUAAGGCCUUUUGAUCAAUCAAUUUUAACAACGCAUGCAUAACAAGCAAGCCUGCCACAGAACUACCCGGUCCACCUGGCAAAUCUCAUUUAAGAUGAGGCAAAACUAGUAGCUGCAUCAGCCUCGUGCAGACUGGAUUGUGUGAAUCAAAGUUGAAAAUGUCAAAACUCCUUAAAUUCCACCAAAGAAAAAGUACUCUGUAUGAAUAGUUAAAAAGGCUCAAGACACCCACCUUGUGAUGCUCCCAACAAAUCUUAAAUAUUGCAAGCAAAAGUUCACAACACAACACCACCGCCACCUUUACUAAGUGAUUUCAAAUCUCCAUUUUUCUCCUCUAUUCUCUCACUCAUUCUUGAAUCUCUUUCUUUUCUUGGAUUCAAAUGGAGAAUUAUAGAUCCAAAUCAUGCAAAAUUGAUAGCUUUUAUGAUGGCAAGGCAACAGCGCCGACAAGCAUGCAGGAUUUGCGAUGUUUCAGUGCAAGUUAUGCCACCCCAACACAGCCAAACGAUCAACAGCUAGGAAAGAAGAGUAAGUUGAAGAAAAGCAAAAGCACUUUUGGGUCAGCAUCAAAGAGCUGGAGCUUCAAUGAUCCUGAGCUGCAGAGGAAAAAGAGAGUUGCCAGUUACAAAGUCUACACCGUUGAAGGCAAAAUGAAAGGGUCUCUGAGGAAAAGCUUAAAGUGGGUCAAGAACACAUACACUCAAAUUGUCCAUGGAUGGCAAUGAUCAAAUGGUGAAAUGGGUAUCUCUUUCCUUUUUUCUUCCACUUUUUCUGAUCUCAGUUUCACAUAAAAGUUACAUGUGUCUGAGUUAUGUUACAAUAUUAUAACUUUAUUUUUUUAUUUUUCGUCUUUAUGUUCUUUGGGAUCUGAAGAGUCAAAUGUAUGCAGCUUAGACUUGGAUUUAGCAUAUUCUGUGCCUCAAUUAUAUAAAGCCAGAGUGUUCAAGAUCUAUGAUAGUUAUGGCGUAACUAGAAGAAAGUGUUGACAGAUUUGUGCUUGAUCCAAGUUCUGCUCAUGCAAGAACACGUCUUUUGUAUUUUUGGUGUGAUAUGAGCUUAAAGAAAUUUUUACUCAAAAUCUCACAGUAGGACUAUUUUGACUUUGCAACUAUUUAUAAUUUUAUAUAGGGUAGUGGGGAAUUGAAUAAGUUGGCUGUGAAAAUUAUUGAUUGGGAUUGCAGCAAAAAAUUUUGUAGAAUCAGUUUAUGACGCUUGAAGAAUAAUUUAACAAGUUUUUAAUUGGACUAAAACUGUUAAACGAAGACUUUUAGGUUGGUCAAAGAAAUUUUGUAGAAUCAGUCUGUCAUAUAACUGUACAUAUGACAGAACAUGGCACAUAGACAUUGAUGGAUUCAGAUUUCUUCCAAGUUCCAUCCAAUGUUCACCAAGAAAGCCAAAUGUAUGUUGUCCACGACAACACAAGAAAGCUGCCUACUAUACCUAAAGCUUCAGUCUUCUUGCAUGGAUAUAAUCCCAAGUAAAAUAGUGCACAAAUAUAAACAAAAACCUUCUUAAUUCUGAUAAGAACUGGGAUCCAAAUCAUAAAUCUCUUGCACUGCCUGGGAGAGAAUUCAAAAUUCAAAGCAUUAGUUCAUGUAACAAGCAAACGCUGCGGAAAACUUUGUCAAUACAGAAUCACUUUCUGAAAUCAGUUUGCUACCAGGCCUUUGGCAGUGUUACCUGGAAGGUAAAUCGAUUUCAAAAGCUCAACCAGACGGUCAAGGUUUUGAUACGGUACCAAGAUUUGAGUUUUGACAAAUAACGUAACGUACAAGUUAUGAGCCCAGGUUCAAAACUUUAGGAUCUUCUGUGCACCAAACUUUAAAUAAAACGUAAAAGUUUUUCAUCCCCCGGUGUGAGAAAUGAGAUUCUCGUAUCUGUACUAACAUCCACAACAAGCAUAACACAGCUUCUAUAGUAACCAAACCCCAUGCAAGAUUGACAAGAAGCCCGGGUUAAGCUUUCUUUCAAGAAAUAGAAAUUAUGCAGAGAACAUCAAUUCAAGUUUCUAGAGACUCAGAGAUUUUGUCUGCAAAAAUAAGUAGUUAUAGCACAACAAAAGAGAGAUACUUACAAAUAGAAGGUCUGGCCUUUCUUGUUAUCAUGAUUGAUCAUGACAAUUGCCUGGUCAAAAUUUUACAAGUCACUAUAUGGUCUUCAGCUACAAACACAGUUGCAAUUGACAUACAGGACACGGAACUUUUGACACUAGUAGUAGUGACAGUGUCAUUUAACUCAAACUGUAAACUUGGUAGCAGCCUUAAUUAAACCUAGGUAUUUAGACAAAAGCAUUUGACCUAGGUGGUUUUCUUUGAUUACCUCUUCUUUAUUGAGUACUUACAGUGCUAAUUUCCAUCUUGCACUUUGCACUAUGACUCCCUAAAACACAUUCCACAAACAACACGAUGCUCCACUCCAUAGGAGUGAUAAAGUGUAGCAUUACAGAAUUUACAGUGGAAGAGAUUUGGAAUCUGCUAAUGGUGUACCCUUUCAUUGUUAUUGAAAUGCAGGCUCUCGAUGCCUCUAAGAGUGGACUCAAAGUUCUUGAUGUUUGAUGUGCUCCUGCCAGAAGUUGUAUGCCGGUUUUCUGAUGAUACAACAGGUGAACUUCUUUGCCCACUAGAAAUCUUUUGAAAUGCUCCUGGGCUUGCAUCUGUGGUGCGAGGACGGGAGGGAUCAGUGUCACUCCCAACCACAGCUGCUUCACGACUGUUAGGUACAGCAACUCGCCUUGAUGAUCCACUUGAUCGCAAUAGGUUAUAACUAGACAUCUGCACAAGUCCAAGAAUGAGAAUAGUCCAAUUCGGAGAGGAGAACAAAGAGAUGAAAAUAAAGGACGGGAAAAAAAAGUCUAAUAUGAGCAGCAGCACCCGGGUUGAUUUGCAUGAGUUUGAAUUCAGAAAGACACAUUCACAUUCACCAAUUAUCCAGAAAAAAGUUGGGAAAACACUAUAACAGGUUCAGGAGGCAUGACAUAUGCAUUUAGGUUAAAGCUAGAAUCCCAAUUCUCGCAUGGAAACAGACCAAGUAAGAAGAACAUAACAAGGAAAUUCUAUCAUCAAAAGUACUAACCAUGGCAUCUUUAGAAAAUGCUGGAUCAUUUGCCAUUGGACUCUUUUGUUUGGACAAGUUUGCAGAAUUUCCAAGUGGUCCAGAAUUCCUCCUGCGAGAGGGAUCUGCUGAUGACCAACCAGUAUGUCUACCUUCUUCAGCACCUGCAGUCGAAAUUCACGCAACAUUAUACACAAAGUCGUAACACAUUUACAAUACAGUUUAGAAGGGAAGAUCCAGGAAUAAAACAAAAGCAGGAAGAAGAAAGAAGCAUAACUAACCCGAUUGCCUAUCAACAUUAGCAGCAGCAGGAGGCAUGCCACUACUUGGUCCAGCUCCAGGACCCUAUAUAAGAAAAUUAAAAUAUAUAAACAAUCAUUGAUUUUCUACAGGGCUGGAAGUGCAAGCAAAUAUAGAUAACUAUGAUAUUUCAACUUACAAUUGCACGGGCAGGAGUAGAAACUUGUGACUGCUGAUACUUCAAAAUUGUCCAAUCAAACACAUAAUCAAACUGGAAACCUGAAGCGAGAAGGUAAACAUACAAAUUGAAAAUGUGAUACAGUUGAUUCAUUAAAGACAAAUUUGAAAUUCCUUGGAGAACCAACUGUCAUAAUUCUCAGGCUAGUAUACCAUCUUAAAACAACAUAACAAAUGGCAAAGUUCAAACCUUCACGUAUAAAAAGGUCACGGAAGAGUCUUUUCAAAUAAGCAUAAUCUGGUUUAUCAUCAAAUCGCAGUGACCGGCAGUAAUGAAAAUAGGAUGCAAAUUCUGUAGGAUAACCUCGACAUAAGGCCUGACAAGCAGUGAUAUACCAAUGAGUUUUGAAAGCUGAAAACAGAACAUUAGAAUGAAGAUAGUAUUUCAUUCUAAGACAUGAGAUUACCUCAAUUGAAGUUGACACUUUCUUCUCACUGAUCUUCUCAUACUUCUGCUUCUUAGUUCCUGCUUUCAAUCCUUGCCAUGGAAGACUACAGAGACAUAGGUUCAAAACCAUAAAAAUACCAAGCAACUACAAAAUUAAUCUGAGAACACAAAGGUCAGCAGGAGUAUUGACCUUCCUCUUAAAAAAUACAUAAGAACAUAUCCAAGCGAUUCCAAAUCGUCCCUGCGGCUUUGUUCUGUGAAGAAAAAGAUUUGACAAUCAGUUGCCAGAUGCAAACAUAAGGUAAAAAAGAAAAUGGGAUGCAAUAGACAUACCAAUGCCAAGGUGAGUAUUCAUGCUCGCAUAUCUUGCGGUUCCAGUCAAAUUCUUAUUCUCUCUGCAGCAUACAAAUCAUGUCGCCGUUCAGUAAGUAACAGUUUCUUGAAAGGAAUCUAAACUUUUAAUGCAGCUUUAACACAAUAAAGGGUGCCCCUUCAACCAUUAAAACUGCAAGAAUUCAUCUGCUGAAAUAGUGGGUAAAAAAGACUAACCUAUAAGGUAUAUGCUGAUGUGUUGCAGUGUCUCUAUACCUCUUAGCCAAGCCAAAGUCAAUGAUAUAGACCUGUUUCCAAGAAAACAUCCAUAGAAACACAUCAAAAUAGAAGACAAAAACAAAGAUCGCAAUAAAACGGAGUUUCGUAUCACUCAAGACCUGAUUUGCACGCCUCCCUAAACCCAUUAGGAAGUUAUCUGGCUUGAUAUCCCGAUGUAGAAAUGACUUAGAAUGAACAAAUUCGACUCUAUUGAUCUGAAAGAACAAGAGAGUUGUCAGAAUAUAACCAAAUGCAAAGAAAAAAAAUAUAGCAAAAACACGCAUAAACCGAACAAAUAGUACCAUCUGAUCUGCGAGCAUAAGGACAGUCUUCAGCGACAGUUUCCUACUGCAGAAGUUAAAUAAAUCUUCAAGGCUAGGCCCCAACAAAUCUAUUACGAGGACAUUAUAGUCACCUUCAACACCAAACCAUCUCAGAUUUGGAAUUCCAGCUGCCAUUGAUGGCAACAGUAGGUAACAAGCAGUGAAAUCAAGCUAAUCAGUACACGAUGCAACUUUAAAAAGAAAAUGAAAGUAAAUGUAACAAGGACAAAAGGAAAGGUAACUACUUCCGCCUUGUAAUAUUUUAUACAACUUCGCUUCAUACUGCAGCUGAGGGUGCUUUGUUUUAACAUUCUCCUAUGAAAGAAAAUACUAUCAGACUUAAUGAAUUUGGGAACAAGCAAUAUCAUCAAGAAGGAAAAAUACUAGAACAGAAAGAAAACUAAUACAGUUAAAUCGGAUAACAAAACAAAGAAGAAGAGAUAGUGAAAAUUUUAUUUAUCAACAAUGAAGUUCUGCAAGCGCAAACUGCCUUCAACAUUUGAACCCAAAGAAAAAGAGAGUAUAAUCAUUGAAGUCACUGUUAGGACAUGGUAGGUGAAUCUCUCAACUAAAUCUCAUAAGAUACAUAACAGAUUAUUGUUGACAAGUGUGACUACCACGCUGGCUUAACUUUACACAAAACCUGGAUUAAUCUUGCAUCAAUUUUAACUUAAGAAAACUCCAAAAUAAGCAAAGGUCAUUGGCAGAACUAAAAAACCCCUUUUUCCGCCCUCAAAGGAUUGCGGUAACAAAUUAAAGCAAGCUUAAAUUUCAUUCUCAAUCUCUUAAAGCAAGCUUAUAUUUUCCUAAUAAAUAAUCAUUCAUCAACUCACUCUCACUCACUCACUAUCGCAUUCUUAGUCCAUCAUUCAACAAAAAAAAAAAAACAAUAUUUACCCUUAAAACCCAAACAACAACAAAAUUAAUAACGACUAGCAAACUAACAUAACAAAAAAAAAAGGUCAAUUUUUAGCUGAAAUUCAAGCAAACAAUUACUACCAUAUAAUUUCUUACAAAAUACACAAAUUCAAUACACUCACAAGCUUAAUUGCAACUUCCUCAUUAGUCUGAAUAUUAGUACCUGCCCCCAAAAAAAAAUUAAUUAACAAGGGGAAAAAAAGCAAUUAGCGGUAAAAAAAUACUAAACUAGUGAAAAAUACAAACCUAGAUAGAUCUCUCCAAAGGACCCGCUACCGAUCUUUCGACCCAACCGAAACUUGUUUCCAACGCGCGGUUCCAUAAUUAAAACAAAAAAUUUAAAAAAAAAAUUGAAAACCCCAGAAAAACUAAAACCCAAAACAAAAAGGCAAAAGCUUUUGUACAAAAUCCGAUCGUACAAAACGAACUGAGAAUUUCGAUCACCGAAUUGGAGAAGCCCAAAUGAAGAUCGGAGGUAAAAGAGAGUUUGGGGACAUGGGCGGAAUUAAAAAGAAAACUUUCUCUCUCUGACUAGAGAGAGAGAGAGAGAGAUGAGAAAGCAUUCGUUGUUUGGUGGUGGUGUCGUUGAAGUUAGAUUGUGGGCUUUUUGCCGCUUUGAUCCAAUCGAAGACUAAAGGGCUGUGAUUGUCUUUUCUUUAUGAAACGACGGCGUUUAGGCUUUCUACCGCCCGGAUAACGCUGAGCUUUUGGGAUAUUCCCCCUUGAGGGUUUCCUCACAUAUUGGCUAUUACUUUUGUCUUCAUUGACCGUUUAUUAGGUGUUAACUAAAUUGAAUACGAAGUUUCACCCAACAGAUAUAUCUCUUUGCCUUGCAUAUUGUUAAGAUCAGAAUCAUAUGAUAUUACCAACACAUAUAGUUGGUUAAACCUAAUGGAAUUGUCGGCUAAUAUCACCAGCGUCAUGUAAACAAUUUUGAAAAAAACGUUGCAUCAAGAUUCAAGGCAACGACCAAAACCCAAUAACAUCAUUGGGUGUUGGACUGGAAGGAACUUUGGUUUGGUAGUCUCCAUUACUUUUAAGAGAUUAUAUUUGAAACAAUCUGAGGACUUCGAGAAUUCUCAGUAAAUGCUUUGUUUUGACCUCCAUUUUGAUAUAGAAAUGGUCCGGGGUUGAGCUGUUGAAGUUUUGAAGACCAGAGCAGAUGGCAAAUAUAAACUCUCUUCACAAGCUGUAACUAUCUCAUCAGUCAAUAUAAAUAGUGUUACACUUACAUACAAAGACAUCAGCUCCAUGGCCUUUUGUUGUGCAAUGCAUAAGCUUUGACCAACCCCGCGUGAACAGAUAAUAAACAAUAUUAAGAAAAUGAAUUGGAGAGGGGCGGCGAGGUAAAACUGUAAACGGCCAAAAACCCUAGAGACUUUUGCUAAAGGAAAUUGAAAAAUCAUAGGCAUUGUUAUGAUGGGGACAAUACAUUUUGCAAAGCUAAAGAGGAGGUCUUCCUAUGUAAUCUUACUUUCAACUGUCUCAUUUUUGCCUCCACCCUUGCUGUGAACCCAAUCUUGGUUUCUUGCCUUGCCUUCGAUCUUUCCCUAGUCCACAUGUGUCGAUCCUCAACAUCUUUCUUGUAGUACUUGAUUUCUUGAAUAACAUGAUGAUCCAUGGGUUUGAAACAUCUUUGAUAGGCUACGUAGGUGAAGUAAAGGAGAUUACAAGCAACAGUUACCACUAUGGUGGCUAACCAAAACAUCGGUGCAGGAGCAAGGGCUUCAACGAGAAUAUGGUGCGCAUACCCAGAUGUAGAGGGAGACGUCAUUCCGAAAAGUAAGAGAAACACAUACCAAGCUGCAAUGCUGCCCCAGAUAAACAAGUGUUGGAUCCAUGUGAAAUGGCUUAUUGUGAGAGCAAUCUGAACGUUAACAACCCAGAUGAUGGAAGUGAACAUUGUAGCACCCACGACGGCCAUGUCAGCAGUCUGGCCUCCAGCACGAAAAGCUUGGUCAUGGAAAAUGGCCAUAAUGAGGGUGAAAAUGGUGAUAGAGGAAUAGAUUCCAUUGCCAAUCCAACCAAAUAUUCUGUACCAAUCAAAAAACAAAUUUCUCGGCCCUUGCUGAUACAGAGCAGGGAACUGUAGAAGAUAUAAAACUGUUACAAUCUAGCCAAGAGAGAAACGGACAAAAUACUUCAAAUGGGGUUCAUCAGCGGGACGUACCUGUAAGCAGAUCUCAGAGGAAACAUCUUGUUCAAAAACCCCAAGUGAAAUGACAGGUAAUGCAGUAAGAACAACAUUAAAGGACAGCAUAUACCAGUCAUUAUAAACAGACUGCCCAGAAAAGCUCGCAAAUGCCUCGAAGUAAAAGAGGGUGAGACCGAAUGCAAUAUUUUUGUAGAAAAAAUAGCAAAUCUGAUUCCAAAACAUCAUGGUUAGAAAAAUGAAUUAGAGAUAAAGAAGACACGUGCAACGUAUAUGGAAAUAGAAAAUGCAUGAUUAUGAAACCUUAAGUUGGGAAAUCCCUUAAGUUGGGAAAUCCUUGAUUAUUACCAUCUGAGCAAUCCUCUUGUAGCACCAGUGUCCAUGGACUACCAGGAGUCUUUCCAAAAAUCGAAACUGUGCAAUAGAGAAGUCACUAGCCAUCACAGCCUACAAAAUGUUGCAAAUUUAGCAAUUUUCAGACUGCAGUCCGCAAUGUCAAAAGCAAAAACUUGGAUGCACUUUCUCAUAUCAUGUCCUCACAAGACAAUCUAGAAAAUAAUUAUGAACCUCAGACAUUAUGUCCAAGAAAUUCAAACAUUAGUGACGUCAUCAAUUAGUAUUCAAAGUACACUGGUUUCUGACAUUCCUACAGCUCCUGAAAUUUGGUUGCUGCUAUGAUAUUUAAACUGUAUGAAAAAGCAGAGUUUAGAAUUUUAAAGAAGAGAGAGAUAGAGAAACGUAAGAAAGAACCUUAUUACCGUUUCUAUAGAAUCAUCAAAACAAAAGAAAAAAAAAAAACCAAUUAGAUCAGGUGCCUACCUGCAUACCUUCCACCCCACUGAUGCCAAUACCAAUGUCAGCUUCUUGAAUCAUUCCAACAUCAUUUGCACCAUCACCAAUUGCCAAGGUGGUUUUACCAGUGCCUUCUUUCACUAACCUUGUUACCUGGUGCCAAAAGUUGAACAAAUGAAAACAAGACCUAGCAAGAAUGUAUGAAGAAGAUCUUGUCUGUUGCCUAAAUACAAGAGAAGCUAAUAACUAAAAGCAGUAAACGGCAAUUUUGGAAGAGUGAAGUAACUGAUGAGAAACAGUACCAGUGCCUUCUGCUUGGGAGACACACGACAGCAUAUGACAGAUGCGCACUCAACAGCUAAUCCCAAAAAAUGAUGCUUCAUAUCAUCCUCCAAAGCGUAGGCCAGUGUUUUUCCCUCAAUUAUUAAUGCAUAUGCUGCAUGUGGAUCUCUCUCUAGCUUGAUCAUCUGUGAUGCAUUGGUGAUUUGCAUCAAAAUGUUGUCCUUCACAGCCUGUUUAGAAACGAAACACAGCAAAGACUAACAUCAAAUGGAAUCAAUUUCCUGCAAAAUGAAAAUGAUAUACUUUUUUCUAAAAAUUAUACAUAUAGAAUUACCUCUUUGGCAGCUUUUCCUACUGAAUCUGAGUUCAAUGCUGUUAUACAUAUCUGCUUCAUGCCUUGUCGAAGCAAACUGCAUGCAAAUCUGCACCAUGCCGGAAAAUAUUUCAUUAUAUUUGUUUCAUAGUCCAGAAGAUGCCUAGUUUCAGGUAACAGAUUCUAAUAAAAUGUGUUAUAGACUAAGAAGAGCCUGAUAGUUUUAACUUAAGAAACAAACCCUAUGUUGAUUGCAGUUUCCAUCUUAUCUCCAGUCAAGACCCAGAUCUUGAGACCAGCUUGUGCAAGUUUAUCUAUGCACUGGGGCACCUAAACAAAUUAUGGAUAAAAUUAGGUUGAAACCAAACAAAAGGAGAAUAUACUGAUCAUAGCUAUAGGGCAAAGAUAAAAUAUACCCCUUUCUGCAAUUUGUCCUCCACAGCAGUAGCACCAACAAGGAUCAAGUCUUUCUCCAUCAUAUCCGACACAUGCUCAAGCGUUGCCUCUCUGUCAGCCCCAAUAGAAGAUUUGGCCUUUUGAAACUCACUGUUCCAGGCAGAAUACUCAGAUUCAUCAAGCUGUUUGUAAGCAAGUGCCAAUGUACGCAAUCCAGCUUCUCCAUAUUCAUUCAAAUGCUUUGUAGUAGCUUCUUCAUACAUUCUUCCAUUCUUUGAUAGCCGGUCAAAAAUGAUGCUGCACAUUCCAAGCAAAGGAAUCAUGCAUGGUGAGGCACAAAGACAGGGUUGCUUAAGUCAUCAAACAGUAUAGCUAACAGUGGACCAUCUGUGCACCCACCAAAAAUCAAUGAAGCAAUUUGAACACCCACAAACAGCAGAUGUAAGCUGACUGAAGAUUCUAUGCAUGUUAUCAUAUCAAUGGUCCAGGCCUCUAACUGGGAGUCAAAAAGUUAAAAAGUAAUGGCGAGGCUAACCUGUCGGCACCUUUGCAUAAGAGAAGUAUCUGCCCAUCCUCGUCCCGAACAAUCACACUCAUUCGCUUUCUUUUGCUGGUAAAAUCCAAUAGAUUGAGAAUUUUGAACUCUCUGCAAAAUUUCCAAAAGACGAACCAGUUAGACACUCAGAAUUUGAGGGAAAUUAGUAGGGGAAAAGAGUUCAUACAAGGAAAAUCCAUUCAUAUCCUCACCUUUCAACCGGUUGUCCUUUAGGAGGAUAUCUUUCACGGAUAAACACACUUGAUUGAGUCCUUCUAUAAAACUCAAAGCCAAAUUCCCUGGCAGCAACAAGAAAAGCCGCUUCAUCAGGUGACUCUGCUUCAUAUGUCAAAUUGCCAGUCUCUUCAUUCAGCUCAGGAAUAGCAGUGUGACAAAUUGCUAAAAUUCGGAAAAACAACAACAAGGUAUCUACAUUAGGUUCUUUCAACCAGUUUCCAUCCAUAAGCCGGCUAUCCUCAAAGUUAAAACCCUUUAUCCGACGCUUAAAAUCGUUUCCAUCAUUAGAAGUGAUGACAGUCUCCAAUUCGAUUUCUGAUCCACUAUUUUUAUGCUUUGCAUUGGCAAUCUCCCUAUUCUGCUCCUCAAGGUCAAUAGCCAUCUGUUUUGCUGCAGCAAGUUCAACUUCACUAGGGCUCACACCAUAUGCAGUUCCUGCAACGGAACACUUCAAAAAGUCCAUCUGAUUGCAGGUCAAAGUGCCUGUUUUAUCAGAGAGGAUGGUAUCUACUUGGCCCAACUCCUCGUUCAGAUUUGAUGUUCUCGCUUGCGCAGGAAUCCCACUUUCAUCAUCAUACAUACUUAUGUCUUGGUUAAUGAAGAUCGCUUGCAAAAACUUCACAAUCUCAAUUGAAACAUAAAGCGAGAUAGGAAUUAAAUAUCCAUAAAGAAUGAGAGCAGUAACCAGAUGGGCCAGCCCGGGCACAAGGGGCUUUACAGGAUUAAAGUACACAUCAGUUUCCUUGGGUUUUAGGUACCACCACUGUGGUGUUUGGUAAUUUAUCUUCACAGCAAAGCCUAUUGAGCUGAUUAACGAUAUUAGCACAAGAAUAGCAAAAAGGAUGAAUAUUAUCUUAUCCAUUUUUUUCUCAAUUCCGCUCCUUUUUGAAGGAGAGGUUGUUGCAUUCUGCAUGACUUUGCUAUCAUGACCAGUGAAUAUCACAGAGCCAUAGACAUGAGCAGUAUUCCUGAGCUUAGAAUCUCUGAGAAGGAUCUGACUAGGAUCAAUUGCAUAAAGCUCACGAUCGUACUCAAUAUUUCCAACAAAAGUGUAAAGACUCGGGUUAGGAUUUUCACACUUUACUGUUCCUGUGAAUUCCUUGAAAGCCUCGUCUUCAUUUAAAGGUGAAGUUGCCUCCAUUGCUCUUUUCACCUUCAAAUUUGUCUCACCAUCUAAGUUCAUAGUCUCCACAUAACAAAUUCCAUCCUCAUAACUUGAUGACAAGAAAAGUAAAUCAGCUGGAAAAAAUUGAUCCUUCUCUACUUUCACUAUAUCUCCAACCUGAAUCUUCUCCCAUGGCUUGUAACUAAAAACACCAUUCCCAACAUGAACACUUACUUUCCGGGCAUUGACCUCUUUAUCCUGCAUAAAUCUACGCCAAUCUUCUAAAGCUUCCUUUGCCAUGCUUACCCCUACAACAAUUGCCAAGGGAAGAAGCAUACUUACAGGAGAGAAUGGCGAAAGUGGUGUCACUGAAAGAAGCGCAGCAAUAAGGAAGUAAAUAUUGGCAACUCGAUUGAAUUGUUCAAAGAGUGCCUUGGGAAAAUAUGAGAAAAAAUUGUACUUUGUGGUUGAUAUAUAAUUGGUGCAAUACUUCAAGGGUCUUUUCUUGUGCAUAUGAGGUUGAUUGCAAUAUAUAACUCUGGGGCACCCCUGUACUGACCCCUCGGUUUCAUUGACAUGCGGCCUGAGGCAAGCAAACGUAUAGAGCUGGCUCCUUCUGAGUUUUGCCCUAAUCCUGCCUCUUGUCAUGACUUAAAAUUCAAGCUCAAAAGGAGUUAUCUUAGGCACACAACCAUCAAAUAAGAACCCCCAACCUUGCUUUCGGCCUUAUAUUAAUGGUGCCCCGCGAGUACAAUUUCUUCCCUUAAGACCUAAUUACACAGGACCAUAAUGAAAAAGAUCAAUAUGUAUAAUAAAUUGCUACACUUAAUGAAAUCAGAUUAAAGGUCAAAUAGAUGCAUUGACAAAACAUUAUAUCAUGCAAAGCCAACAUCAUAAAGACAAAAAUCAAGUUCAUACAUUAAGAAGCACCAACAUCCCAUUUUAAGGGAAGACAUUGAUAUCUUUCUUGAAUAAUUCCACGUGCUCAGAUUUCUAUAUUCUGUACUGUGUUUAAAAAAGGGGAAAAAAAGUAGAAAAUUACAACAGAAUUACCCAAAAAUGAAAAUAAAUUCGACACAUUCAAUUAUAACCAAAACUUUUAAUGCAAGACAAAAUUCAAAAUUUACAGCUCAAAUCACAAACCCAGUUGCAUAUCCUUCAAAAAUCCAAUGCACUCCACAAAACCAGAGAAAUAAAAAUAAAAACACAAGAUAGUGACACAAUGCCAGCUGAAAAAAAAUGAAAGAAAAAAUCUCUUCAAUCAUUGCAACUCCAGAUUCCUCGAACUACAAAUACCCACCAAUUCAAAAAGACAAAACACAACAAAAUCAACCCACAAAAAAUAUUAAAAAAAUUAACAAAAAUGAGUUUUUUAUAAGAUGGUACCUGCAAUCAGGAGGCUGGUUCAUCCUCAAAACAAAAGAUUAAAGACACCCAUUUUGCCAAAACUCUCACAAAGGGAGAUGGUGGGUUGCAGAUCAAGAGAAGGUCUCAAAUUUGAACGAAACGUAUUAUCUUUUCUUUUUUUUUUCAAAUUGUUUUUCUUUUUCUUUUAGUCUUGAAAGAAGGGAGAAGAGAGAGAAGGGACAGGGUUUUGGACCCCUUUCUCUCUCCUACUGGAAAAACAAAACCAAUACCAGGAAUUUCCGGGGGUCCUUCUCUUCAUUUAUUUAUUAUUUAUUAUAUUUUUACACUCAUUUUUCUCAUUGGAUUUUUUUUCCACUUAAUUAAUUAAUUACCUGGAAUAUCAGAAACUCAAUUAAAUAUUUUCGUUAUUAGGAGGAAAUGAGAACCAAUGUGAUUGAAAAAAUAAAAAUAACAAUAAGUACGUGGCAAGUUCUUCAAACCUUAACUCAUAUUUACCCGCUCAUGUUCUGUCUCUUUUUCACUUUUGCCAAAAAUAGGAUUAUAUUUGGAUGCUUGAGAUUUCGACAAGUGUACUCAUACAACAGAAGUAGUUACUGUCAUUCUUUACAGAUUUUACUUGGAUUCUUUCUUUUUCUUUUCCAUUGAAAGGGUUUUUACUUGGAUUCUAAAAUCUAAAUCCCUAUUUCCCUCUUGGUUCUUUAUAUACUAUUGUGUUGCAAUAAUCAUUUAUGAAACAGUUUUUCUAUGUCCCAAGUGAAAUUCAUUUAAAAUUAUCUUUUUUCUUACAGAGCGUGCAUAUACUGAUAUCAAAUUUUAUUAAAGAAAUCUUUAAUCUCAAAACUUAAGUUAAUAGGUAAAUAUUCUCUCCUUUUAUAUAAAUAAUAGAAUAUUUGAUUUCGAAUAACUCGUGUGGGUCUAGAGAGAUCAAACCAGAGUGCCAACAAAAACAACUCUCCCUUAUAAGAGUAAUGAUAGGCAUCUUAAAUUUUUUAUCUCAAAUGAUGUGGUAUUCAUUAAUUAGUUGAUAACUCUUUACAAAAAUCCAAUGAAUUAAUUGUAUUAUCCCAAGAAAUAAAUUAAUUAAUUAAUGCCUUAAUUAUUUGGGAUAAAAAAAAAUGAAAUAUAUAGCACUACCCCUCUUAUAAUGUGAAACAAAUCUAAUUCUAAAGUCUCUUAGAUCCCGGAGAUCAAAACAGUAAGUUAAAAGUUGAAACGAUUUUGUAAGUGAAAAAACAUACACAAAACCUAAUUUAGUACCAUGUUAAGAAAAUUACUUCAUUUGAAAAGAUUACUUCAACAACCAAUUGAUAAAUGCCACAUCAUUUAAAAUAGUUAUUUGGGGAAAUUUUUUUGAACAUAUGGCAUUACUCCUCUUAUAAUGUGAAACAAAUCUAAUUCUAGAGUUUAUUAUAUUUCAGAGAUCAAAACAAUAGGAUGAAAGUUGAAACAACUUUGUAAGCGGAAAAUCGUACUCAAAACCUUUGCUUAAUUUAGUACCAUGUUAAGAAAAUUACUUCGUUUAAAAGCUUUACUCAUGAAGGUAAAAAAAAUUGAAUAAUAAAAGUUAUUAUCAAAUCCCUUAGCAAGAAUAAGCAAAAUAAUCCCCUAUCCAUUGGAACAUAAUGCUAGAAGCAGGAUUAAAUUUAUGGUAUUUUCACCAGUAAAUGCUGCACUGGAUAACAGAUAUGCAGAUCUGUUCCCAGAAUAUAUCUGCACAGGGAGAGCAUGUUUUGAUGGUCAACUUUGUACAACAAAUAUAUAUAUAUAUAUAUAUGGUUAGAAAUGUAAUCAAAUCACACGGUUGUGAUAGCACUGAUGGUUUAUUAAGAAGGCCGACGUGGGUCCCAAGUUGAGGCCUCCCAUACACCACCAGACGGAUUAAUUAAUCUAGGCACAGCCAUUUUUUUAUUUUUUUUAAUCAAUGAUUCAAUCUUCAUACCUGCGCCUUUGACUUUUUAUUAAAUAAUUUUCACUUUUUUUUUUUUGUUUUUCCAAUUUUUAUAUAGUUGGCAAAUUACCAACAAUGUCGUGUGGAUGUAAGGUCGUCUGAGGACGGCAAAAUUUUUUCUCUCUCAUUGAUUUGUUGUAGCGCAUAUUUUUGUUCCAUUAAUUUCUACCAAAACAUCAUAAACUAAUUAAUUUAAUAAAUGCUUUUUAUUUUUCUAUUUGGAUUAUUUAUUAUAUCAAGGUGGCCUUGGCAGCGUCUCAAGAGUACUGCCUAGAUAUUGAUUACUAAUAAGCUUUUCAGAUUGUACAUGCUUUAUCCAUUCUUGAAACUUGUUGCUAAAGUCAUGGAUUCAAUCAAUUAAAGGAGAAUUUCUUUAUAUAAUUUGAUUAAUAUCAAAUGAUCUGGAGAUUAUUCAUAAUAUUUCGACUACAUAAGAAUUCAUUAUUUGAAAGCAAAAAAAAAAUGUACUUUCUUAAUUGACAAGAAGAGUCAAGAGGAUCAAAUGAUCUCCUCAUAAUAAUAAUAAUAAUUAUUAUUAUUAUCUUAAAUAUCUACAUUAUAAAAUAUUGAGCUAUAAUAAAAUACUCGACUGGCGACAUGCCCAAUAAUGAUUGAAAUUUAAAAUUGUAAUUAGUUCAUGGGUGCACGCCAUGACCAUCACGUCUUGUACCAAAAUCAAAUAUUAAAAUUGAAUAUUAUUAUAAUUAUACUAAAUUAAAUAUUUAUUGUUGUUUCAUGUCUACAAUGUCCUUGUAAUUUAUGCAGUGGGUUGGCGGUUUCUUUCAGGAGACCAAAUCAAUUAUGGGUUUAAAUAGAGAAUUUGGAUUAAGACGAGAACUUAAAGUUAAGGGAAAAGGUUGCCAACAAUCAAUAAUUAAUUCAUUUCUUUUCAUUUGAUUGACGUACGUGCCCAAUAUGCCUCACUAUUGUCUAAUUUGUCUUUAUUAAAUUUUAUCCAGCAUGCACCAACAAAGUGUUGGCUUCAUUGGUAAUGGAGUUCCCUUAAGUAGCUUGACUGAGUUUGCUUCCCAGUUCGAGUCGCAAGGAAGUCGUCUUUGUUGGGAGAACCUGUGUCUCCCGGUUCGAGCGGGGACUUCUAGUCCGGGUUGUGGUACGAGCUUAAAGGUGUCUCUCACAGUUGGGGCCCUCCCCAAAAUAUCUCGUGAUUAAUAUAAAAAAAAAAAAUUUAUCCAGCAUGCAGUCUGUGCAGCGACUUAUUAAUAUUUGCACUUUUUUUAAUUGUUAGAAAAUUUGAAGAAUAACUAUAAUAAUGAGACUUAAUUAAAUGGGUCGGUAGCAGCACGAAAAGCAAAUGACAAUUGUUCAUGGAACAUUCCAAACUCUUUUAACAUUAUCAAAUGUUUUUAGGUGAACAUAUUUUUUUGUGAAUCACCACUGGCUAAUUAAUUAAGGAGUAGUCAUCGGGGUUUUAAAUAGUUUGUUUUGUGAUGCAUUUGUUCGAGCGGGGAUUUCUAGUCCGGGUUGUGGUACGAGCUUAAAGGUGUCUCUCACAGUUGGAGCCCUCCCCAAAAUACCUUGUGAUUAAUAUAAAAAAAAAAAAAAUUUAUCCAGCAUGCAGUCUGUGCAGCGACUUAUUAAUAUUUGCACUUUUUUUAAUUGUUAGAAAAUUUGAAGAAUAACUAUAAUAAUGAGACUUAAUUAAAUGGGUCGGUAGCAGCACGAAAAGCAAAUGACAAUUGUUCAUGGAACAUUCCAAACUCUUUUAACAUUAUCAAAUGUUUUUAGGUGAACAUAUUUUUUUGUGAAUCACCACUGGCUAAUUAAUUAAGGAGUAGUCAUCGGGGUUUUAAAUAGUUUGUUUUGUGAUGCAUUUGUUCGAGCGAGGAUUUCUAGUCCGGGUUGUGGUACGAGCUUAAAGGUGUCUCUCACAGUUGGAGCCCUCCCCAAAAUACCUUGUGAUUAAUAUAAAAAAAAAAAAAAUUUAUCCAGCAUGCAGUCUGUGCAGCGACUUAUUAAUAUUUGCACUUUUUUUAAUUGUUAGAAAAUUUGAAGAAUAACUAUAAUAAUGAGACUUAAUUAAAUGGGUCGGUAGCAGCACGAAAAGCAAAUGACAAUUGUUCAUGGAACAUUCCAAACUCUUUUAACAUUAUCAAAUGUUUUUAGGUGAACAUAUUUUUUUGUGAAUCACCACUGGCUAAUUAAUUAAGGAGUAGUCAUCGGGGUUUUAAAUAGUUUGUUUUGUGAUGCAUUUGUUCGAGCGAGGAUUUCUAGUCCGGGUUGUGGUACGAGCUUAAAGGUGUCUCUCACAGUUGGAGCCCUCCCCAAAAUACCUUGUGAUUAAUAUAAAAAAAAAAAAAAUUUAUCCAGCAUGCAGUCUGUGCAGCGACUUAUUAAUAUUUGCACUUUUUUUAAUUGUUAGAAAAUUUGAAGAAUAACUAUAAUAAUGAGACUUAAUUAAAUGGGUCGGUAGCAGCACGAAAAGCAAAUGACAAUUGUUCAUGGAACAUUCCAAACUCUUUUAACAUUAUCAAAUGUUUUUAGGUGAACAUAUUUUUUUGUGAAUCACCACUGGCUAAUUAAUUAAGGAGUAGUCAUCGGGGUUUUAAAUAGUUUGUUUUGUGAUGCAUUUGUUCGAGCGAGGAUUUCUAGUCCGGGUUGUGGUACGAGCUUAAAGGUGUCUCUCACAGUUGGAGCCCUCCCCAAAAUACCUUGUGAUUAAUAUAAAAAAAAAAAAAAAAUUUAUCCAGCAUGCAGUCUGUGCAGCGACUUAUUAAUAUUUGCACUUUUUUUAAUUGUUAGAAAAUUUGAAGAAUAACUAUAAUAAUGAGACUUAAUUAAAUGGGUCGGUAGCAGCACGAAAAGCAAAUGACAAUUGUUCAUGGAACAUUCCAAACUCUUUUAACAUUAUCAAAUGUUUUUAGGUGAACAUAUUUUUUUGUGAAUCACCACUGGCUAAUUAAUUAAGGAGUAGUCAUCGGGGUUUUAAAUAGUUUGUUUUGUGAUGCAUUUGUUGAUUGAUAAUUCCUUUUAUAUUGGCAUUUUUGUGAUUAUCGUGUCUAUUGGCGAUGGCUAGAAACCGACCCUACAAAUGAUUCUUUCGUGUUUUCCUAGCAAGAAAGUUCAUAGCGCAGCGAUAAUGCGACUAAUUAUUGAGUAUGUGACGUGCAAUUAAAUUUAAUAAAAUUAUCCUUUACAUCUUUUUAAAAUAAAUGAACUCAUGACAUGAUAUUAUUUGUUGGUUAUAUAAUUGAUAUAAUACUUUUAAUGUGUUCAAAAAUUUAUUAUUGGAAACGGUUCAUUUUCAGUCUCCUUAGCCUCUGUUUGAUAACAUCUUUUUAAAUAGUACUUAUUCAAAUAGAGUUUUUGUUUAAACAUUUCAGUUGUUUGGUUGUUAAUGAUAACUUUUAUUACAAAUUAUAAAAUUAAUUUAAUAGAUUAUUUUUUAAGUUAUGUUAUAAAAAAAAUAAAAUCGUUAAAUAAGUCCAAGAUAUUUUAUCAUUUUUACAUUUGAUAAAAGCAUUUCCACCUUUAUUCCGAAAAUUUCAAAAAUUGAGCGUUUGUUAGUAGACGUAAAAUAGUUUAUUUAACCUUAAAAAAUUAUAUUAAAAGUAAUUAAAUAACAACAAAAAUUUUAAUAAUAAUUUAUAAAAUUAAAUAAACACUUAUAAUAAUUAUGAGAUAAGCAACCAGUAACCAGUUAGCGUGUGCGCGUUUGAUGAUUGAAUUCUCCACUACUCAGGAAACAAGCAACGCAUUUUGAAGCACCUUUUUUUGUCAACUUGCAUGGACACGUCGGUUGUUGUGGAAAUUCAUGCUUAGUUACCGCCAUGAUCGUAGGAUUUGAAUUUGAACACGAACCUACGUGAAAAAAGAUAAAAGAAAAGGCAUUGAAAGAUCCUUUUUUAUAAUUCAUUUUUAAUAUUCUCAACGUUUUUUUUUUUUUAAAAGUCCUGAAACGUAAAUAUAGCCAUUAAGCUAAAAUAAAAUUUGUUUAGCGGCACUAGAAAUUUUGGUCCAGGGCAUUAUACAAUAAUAUAUGGUAUUUAAAGAUUAAAGUUGAAAGAAGAUGUAUGGAUUAUUGUCUAAUGAAUCAUAAGUAACAUAGGCCAAAAUAAAUAAGCAUGAUUUGAAGAUCUAAUUUAUAAAGAACCAUAAUCUUUCUUGUCUAUAAUAUAAUUUUAAAAAAAAAUUUAGGUCGUCAUAGAAAGCCUGUCGUUGUUAUUCUUAGGGCCAUUUGAGAUUGUUUUAACUCACUCUAAUUUACAAUAAUUUUGAUAAAUAAGAUGGUGUAGAUUUUUAAAAUUUAAUUUUGAGAAUAAGUUUUAUAAUAAAAAAAUUUCACAUAUAUUUAUCCUUAUUCAAGAAGGAAAUAAAAUGAGAAAUUUAAAGAGAUUAUUAUUACUGUUAUCAAUAAUAUUGAGAUAAUGGAAUAAAAAUAAAAUUAAUAAAAUAAAAUAUUCAUUUUAGUUAUCAAUUAUUAUAAAUGUGUAAAUAAAUUUUAUUCAACAUUAUGUCACUUCAGUCAUUUACAUUCUUAUAGCAAUUUAAUAGUAGGAUUUACAAAAUACAUAUGAUUGUUUAAAAACUAAAGCAUCAUCAAAUUGGCCUUUAAUAUUUCCCACAUUGAUGAUUUUUUGACAGUUUAUUUGAUAAAACAUGGGUAUCCUAUACUUUUGUUAAAGAAAAGGUUAAAAAAUAAAAAGUGAGCUAUAAUCACGGGCAGAAUAAUAUUACAGCUUGGGGGUUUAUUUAAAAAAAAAAAGGUUUGAAUUGAAAUAUAUUCUAUUUAUAUAGUACAUAAAGUUACAUAUUAGCGUUUUAGAUUAGAUUUAUAACUUUUGUGUUACGACCUAUUUAAUUUUGUUGUUUCUCAAUUAUAGCUCCCAUCAGAUAAAAACCUUAGUUCUACCACUGGUUAUAUAUAAAAGUUCAAUUUCGAAAAGUAUGAACAAUUUUAGAUAAAUUAAUUUUACUUUCACAACAAAUUAUAUGAACCAAAUUUAAACAGAAGGAGAGGGAAAUUAAAAUGGGCACUUUUUAAAAUUAUUAAUUUUUCCCAAUGUCGCGCGGGACAGGCCAAUCAGCAAUGUGAUAAUCCUAAGCAGUGGUGGACCACUGCUUUUUGACUACAAGAAGUCUUCUGAUUCAAGUAACGCGUCUUGUGGACCGUCCGAUUUGUUGACCUUUUCUUCAUCAUAGCAGUCUCUACACGUUCCAGCCACUUUGUCUUUGAGACUUUGACGUUCUAGAGUUUCUGCGAGAGUUGAUACAAGGGGAGGGCAAACUGGGGUUCGGACCAGGUUUGAAUCAACCCGAUCAGAUUUUGAGUUAAUCGGGUUAGAAAAAAUAUACGAACUCAACUCAAAUAUGUGAUCCGAUCAAAUCAAAAUCAUCUCUUAGAUUGGGAGACAUGUCAUCUCUCAAUUAUCGCCUAGGAAAAAUAAAAAUUCAAUAAAUUCGGUUUAACAAAAUUAUGGACCAAAUAUCAAUUUUCUUUCAAACAGUAUCGAGAUUAUCUUUAAAAAAUUAAAAUUAUUUAUUUGUUUCUAAAAUCUUUUUUUGAGAUCAUAAUUAUUUUUUUGAUAAUAAAAAUUAUAUAUAUUUUUAAAAACUCUUUUUGUUAAAGUAUAUUGUACGAAUGGUUAAAUAAAAUAUGCGAUUAGGUGUUUUGAAGAAGGUUUAUUUUGCAUAUUUGUGAACUGUUUUAUAUAAAAUUGAAUGUAAAAUGCAAACAUUUCACUAAAUUAUUAAAAAUGGAUAGAUUUUUUUGUCCAUAAAUUAUUAAAAUGCAAACAUUUCACUAAAUAUUUCGUUCAUAUUUCAAAUCUUUUAAAUCCAAUACUUUUGUCUUUUUAACAUUUAUUUAUACAAAGAGGUAUGUGUAUGUAGAGUCCGAUUACGGUAGUCUAAGGGUAUUGAAUCUCAUAAUUAAAGUCAAUAAGUUAAUUUGACCUUUACCCAAUCCAUGAGAUACAAUAUCCAAAUAAAAAGUGUGUUACGUAAUACAAAAAAGGAAAUGUGUCUGUCUGUAUAGGACAUGCAUCUUUUAUGAAAAUUUUACUGGGUUAAAUAGCCCACAGGCCCCGAGCAGAAUAGCUAUCCCCAAACAAAAGGGACCAAACAAAUGAUGAGCUUAGCUACAUGCUCAUUUCAAUGCUAGCUCUAAACGUUGUCUAGAUCUUGAUGCUUAUUGUAUGAUUAGUCAAAAAAAAAAACAUUCAAAUAGACAAAGAACAAAAAGAACGCCGAGUCAAAUUUCUCUCUGUGCCCCCACACAGAUUGUGUGUCAUGUGAGAAGUGUUCUUGUCAAGUGUUCUCUUGCUGUUGCCAGUGCCUGAGAUAUAGUCUGCACUUCUAAAAAGAACAUAGAUGAGUGGCCCAGUUCCUAGGAUUUGAUUAAGUUAACACUUAAAAGUUACAUAAAGCAAAAGUCUCGUACUCAAGAUAUCCCAAAUUAUUGGGUGAUAAAGAGAAUGUUAAAACGUUGGUGUUAGUGGGGUUAGUGCUGUUGGCUUGUGUGGCCUACACAAAUGUAUAUAACCAGAUCUUACUUUAUGCAAAAGCAUUAAUUAUAUGUUGCUUAUAGCCGAAGCAAACAGUGCAUAAAGAUAGAUAAGUGCAUCACCUGCUCAGCCAAAGGGGCCGCUCCAUCCAUGCUGUGGAUUGCUACCUUUCCUGCUAUCACACUGGGAUCUGUUUCAAGUAUUAUCCUGCAGUGCACCAAAGUGAAGUGCGUGAAUAAAUAAUGGGCUUUUGCGACAUAAAAGACGGGAAUCGGAUACCCAAUUGAGAUGUUAAACCCAAAAUUUUUAAGCUGUUAGGUCGUGGGAAAUAAAUACCCUUGAUCCACAAUCUCAUCGAGGCAUAGGAAGAUGAGAUCCAGGUUCUCAAGGGCCUCUCUUUUGUCCACACUGUUCCUGCAUUGUAUUGAAAGGAAAUGAUCAAUGGCUGAACUGAAGAAAGUAGCAGCAAGCAGAAUCAGAAAUAAAAUACCUGAGGAGAAGUGUGACUGCAUCAAAGAAGCCUUGAAGAACAGCGGCUAAGAGGAGUUCAUUUUCAUGAUCACCUCCUGUAACAAAGAAGUGCAGGUCCUGAACAAACUUGUAGACAACAAUGUUGUCCUGGAACAUAACAAUCUCAGCUGCGUAUGAUCAUAAGCAAGUCUUAGGAUUGUUGUCUUGACAGCUAGUUCUGAAAGCGCAACAGAUAAUGUGCGGUGUAUACACGUACUUUUACUUGACAGCUAGUGAUUAUAUUCCACACUAUAUGUGAAUUAAAUGCCAGGACACCUUGAUACGAAACAGGUUGGUUACGGAAGCAUACCUUCCAUUCGGGCAUUUGUCCUCAAGGUCUUUGCGAACAAAGCUUUUUCGAAAGCUAAUUUUGAAUUGUUUGUUGGCCACUCAUCAGAGAAAUACUUGACCGCUACACGUUUCCCUUCAGAAUCUAGAAGAAGAAUGUUUUUCACCGAAGGGCAGCAAUCCUAUAAAAUAUUACAAACCACCGGAGUAUUAGAAUGCUACCAGCAUUCAAUUCUGUCAUUUUGUCAGGCAUUGAAAAGCUUGAGAUCCGACAACCAAGCAUAGAUUAUGCUUUUGAAUUCAUGCAAACGUACCUCAAACGACAUGUGUCUAUUAAUUAUGAGUCAUUUAUGAUCAGCAACACCCUUAAUUGACUUUCUAAAACAUGAUAAUCAUAGUUUAUCUUAACAAAUACACAAAAAAAUACCGCAAGAAUUUCCUUGUAAAUGACGUGGUAAUUCUUUUCUGAAUCUUUGAACUAUCCUGCUGUACGGCCAAGGCGUAUGUACGGUACAGCAGCCUUUUUUUUUUUAAUAAGAAGAAGAAAAUGUAGUUUGUGUUUUAUUCAGAUUAAUAAAAUCCCUCACAUUUCAAUGUUCUUUUUCUUUCCCCUUCAUUUUCUCAUCAAGAAAACAGAGCAAAUAAAAACAGAGCAUGUAUGAACAGAGUAAACAGAUCAGGCACAUUUUAGAUCAAAUCUCAACAACACAACGACGGGCAUAGAGUAAUAAUUUUUAACCCAUGUUAGGUUGUGAAGAAAAUGUAAUCCAGAAUAUUUCGUUUCAUUUUUAUCGGAGAAAGAUCAAUAAAAUUUUUCAAUAUGUAUCCUUUUCCUACAAAUUCUCUGCAACCGAACAGAGUAUAUAAAAACAGAGAAUCUUUAUAGCAGAUCACAUACAGUACAGAUAUAAAUUUUAGAUUAAAAAGAUCAAAAAAGAAUUUAAUGCUGCUGACUAAUGGAAUAUGAGUGGCUUUCAGUUAUAGAGAUGAGAAUAAAAGAGAGACUUACAUCGGAUGCUAAGAUGUGAGCCAUUUUUGUGGAAUUAUGAUCGAGUGAGUGAGAAGAGUUUGUUGUUGUUGUUGAAGCAAUUUAUAAGUUCAUGGUUAAAAAGGGCUUUUUGGUCACUAAGAAAAAAUGACUUCCAUGAGCGUUUUGGUAUCAAUAAAUCCUUUCCAUUAUAUGAUUGGUCAUGUUUGUUGUGAUUAGAAUUUGAACAAAAAUAAAUGAAAAUUCAUUUACCAGUUUGUAUCAAUUCACUCGCUCUUUAAGUAAUUGUGAACCACCUAUUUAGUUACUUAUAAUCAACAGAGGUUAUUUGAAUCUCUCUUAUUAAAUAAAGAAUACUGGCACUCACUUGAAAGUUGAAACUUGUAAGCUUAUGGUUAUAAAUUAAGAAAACGACUUGCCUCCCAUUAAUGCCAAUUGCACUAUAUGAAUUUAUGAACCAACCCCCACCGGCAUUCCUAGGAAAAGAAAAGAGAAAAAGGCCAAAUACAUUCCGUUUGUUUAAAAGAAAUAAAAUUUCUAGCUACUACAACUAUUUUACUAGUCUCAACUAACAUUUUCAAAUAGCCAUGCCAAUCUGAGCAUUUGUACAACAAUAUUGAGAUGAUAAAAAGAGAGAGGAAUUGGAAGAAUCUCUGUUGUUGUAGUUGUGGGUUGAGUCAUUCAUUCAUGGGGUGUAAAUAGAAGGGCCACACUUGCAUUUCCAACCCUCAGGCUCAUAAUUUGCGUACUGAAUACCCAACUGGCUGCGCUGCUUGCUGGUUGUGGGCACUUGUACGGCUUCACAUGGAAUGCAUCCAUAACACUUGUUCUCACAGCUUGGCGGAGUUGAUCCUAUUUUGCUAUCGAAAUUAUAACCCUUCAAAGAGAACAAAACAAAGGUUGUAUUUUGUCAAGACAUUUGUUAAUGACAGACACAACGGAAGAAAAGAGAAGAGAGAAAGAGACAGGCACACCUCUUUUGAGCUCGAAUUUGGGUCUAUGGUGACUGGUAAAGCCUGCGGGCUCUGGCCUGUAACUCAGAAGGCAAUGAAGUUUUGUUAGUACUGUGUUUCUUCACAAGCUAAAGCCGAAGAAGAUUUUUUUCAUAAGGAAAAAUAGGGCAUGGUUGUGAUACUUUUAAGUCAAAUGGCAGCUUAAGAAAGAAAUCAUGUAAAAGUAAUUAAGUUUUGAUAUGCAAAAGGCUAUUUUUUGGUCUAAAGAGAAAAACUAAUAGAUAUAAUCAUUGCCCAAAAAAAUAGGGGGUGGAGUUUCAGCAGAUAUAAGUUAAUUACCAGGUGGAUGACCACCAAUACCAACACCAUCAUUUGGUGCAAAAUGCCUGCUUGUUGCAGAAACCCAACUCACAAUUUGAAUGGCUAGUAACAACAAAAAGCAGCAUAACCUUCUCUCCAUUUCUUCAAGACUUCAAGUGAUGAUGAUUAUGACAAUGAACUUAAAUGAUGAUGGCAGAGGGAAAAAGAGCGAUAGAGAUAUUAAUGUCUUAAAAGCACACAAACUUUACUAGCUGGAUGAGGCCAUGCAUGACUGCUCAAGUAAAUAACCAGGAAAAUGAGAAAAGACAAAACAAUCAAACUCCCAUUUCCCCAGAACCUCUAAAAGUUUCUUGGAUAUCUCCUCAGCCUCUCUUUAACAUUCAUUGGUAUGGAGAUUUGGUUGCUUCACAAGCAAAGUCAUGAGUUAGAAACAACAGUGAGGUUUCCUUCUCAUUUGACAACUCAGCUUGAAAAUACCAAAUGAUAAUCUGCAGCUUUUAUCUUGGUCUUUUCUUUUAGUACAAGCCACUUUCUCUUUUUCUUACUCAAACCAAUCUGAUAUACUCUAUGAGCUGUCCAACUCCGUUCCAUAAGGCUAGAAUAACAGCUCCCUUUUUUGGGGUCUGCCAAAAAAGAAAAGAAAAGGAAAAGGAUAAAAAAAAACCUGCAUGACCAUAUAAAGAUCAGAAGAAAUCUUGCCUAGACUGCAGUGCCUUUUGCUUUUCUCUCAAGACUUAUUUCUAUAAAAGGAAAAAGAAUCCAUUGCUGCAGACUCCCCACUUAUUUAAAAGGAGAAUAAAUGCAUCAAUAUCUGAGACAAUCAGCAAUGCAGAUAGGUUUUAAAUUUUAAUGAGUGAAUUAAUAAACUUAGUAUGGUACUACUUGAGUCAACUUUGUAGUUGUAGAGGCUGGUAGAUCGGGAACACCAGGACUUCGGUUAACUUGAUCAAAUCCGAGCCAUCCAUCAACAUCGGCCAUGAAGUAAUUAAGGAUCAUGGUGGUCCAGAUUGCCUUUUGGGCAUCUGCAGAUGUGCCCAUUUAAUGAGCAGUAGAUCCGAGUACACUCUAUCACCAUGUCAUUUUACUUCCUCUUUUUUUUUUUAUUACAUCACUCAUUACACCGGACCAGCUGGUCCUGGUUUAACAAAAGACAGAGUAGGGAACGGAAGCAAAGUGCAAAGCAUGCAGGAAAAGAAAAUGAGAAGCUAUUAUUCACUCAAGAUCAUCCUAUAACUAUGCAAUUUUUAGGUGUGAGCUAUGAAAGUGAAACUGGAAAGCAAAGAUUGAAAAAAGGAAACCCUGAUAUAACCAUUCAAUUGUCUUCCUCUAGGGUCUUGGCGGCUAGAUUCAGGCAUUGUUAUAAUAGACAAUUUGGUACUUGUUUGUGAGUCAUAAUUUCCACAAUCAGGUGCUUUGGUGUCACCAAGAUGACAAUAAAACUUUCUUUCAGAGGAGGAAAAAGCAAAAAAAAAAAGAAAAAAAGAAAAAAAGAAAAAAAGAAAGAAGAAAAUAAGACGAUAAUCAAGAAAGGAUGAAAUGGGAAGCAUCAAAGUCAGUGGUAAGCAACAACUGCAUCUAUAUCUUCAUCUUUCUCAUUAUUUUAUUUUGUUUUUGAAUAUAUGGUGACUUGAUGUUUGAUUUUCUGCUGGAAAUUACACAUUGACACCUGUGCCUAAGUUCAGUGAUUAGAUCAUUCAAUAUGCUGUACAAUUCCAGUCACUCAGUCAGUGCUCUCAAGUCUCUACUCUCUGGCAGCCUACCAAGUAGUCAACAGGUCAUUUCAAGUCUAUUACAGUAAUACAGGACAGCUCAUGCUUUUAAACAUUAUGGCCAUUGCAAAACUCUUAUCAAGCACCAUUUUGUCCAUGCAAAAUUGGACAGCUCUGAUGUAUUCAUAAUUGCCACAAUACAGCAAUAUAAUUAGUAUGGUCUCAAAAUAGUCUGAGUAUUCCAUACAACUCAGUAUAAAAAGCAAAUACCUGGCUUCUACUUUAAAAUCUCAGUAUAAAUUGCUUAAAGAAUUGAUACUAAGCUUAAAUGGAAAUGGCACCAUCUCAUAUGAAGCAAUUUCAGUGACUAAUGCAACAAAUCAUUCAUAUUCACUCCAAAGAAUGUGACAGGAAAGAUAAAUGGACAUCAAAAUUUUAAAGAGCACACACAUUCUAUCCUGUGAAUGAUAAAAUUUGUACCAAAUACAUAUCAAAGUAAAUUUAGUGAAGAAUACAAGAGAUUUUUCCUACACAAGCUCAUUAGGUUCAAAGUUUCUCUCACAGGCAGCAACACUCAAAGCACUCCAUCCCUGACUUACUUUGAAGACGAAUCAUGACUGCUAGAAUCUUUCUUCUUUGGAUGAACAGCUUCAACAAGGGCCUCGAUCUCUUCCUUGACUCUUUGAAUCACACCUGGCCCUUUCACUUCUUCUAUUGGGGUGUUCUCAUCGAUGUCAUUACUAGUCCCAUGAGUUUCUUUGGUAUGGCGUGGUGAUUUAUCAUGGUGAAUAAUUGCCUCAAUCUCUUCCUUAGCUCUUUCCAAAAUGUUUGGAGCCUUCACAUCUUUUUCUUUAACAGGAAUUGAAAAAAAAAAGAAAAAAAGCAAUGUAAAUUAUAUCAGCUACAAUUAUAGUUCCAACUGCCACAAAAAUUUUACUAGCAAGAUCCUUAAGAAAAAUAUGCAUUUAAAUUCUAAACCUCAACUUAUAACAGUGGUUUGACAUUUUGUAUUAAAGAAUGGGAUCAAAUUUUAUCUACAAAACUCGAUUCUCAUUAAUCAAAAGCUGAAGUUUUUAGUUUGUGCUUGUACUAAAGAUUGAAACUUUCGAUAUUCUGGCAUCGUACAAAGAAAAUGAAUUAGCAUGAAAUGAAAAGCACCCAUUGAACAUGAUUGUUUAUAGAGAAGAUUAAAACAAAUAAUAUCAAAUUUCAUGAACGAUAUGUCAAUUUCACAGUUUUGCAUUAUUAUUAAAGUAAUGCAAUAUUUUCAAAAUAAUUACACUUUUUUAAUUAAACCUUAUAUAAUAAUCAGAUGGAAACUUGAAAUAAAUGACAUAUCGACAAUAUAUUUAUACCUGAUUGAUUGAUUGAUGGGUCUGGUUUUGGUUCUGUCAUUGAGCCUGCAAUAAAAUUUUGUGGGUGUGAUUCUGAUCACUGUUCAGAAUUUUCUGAAAUUUUGAACUCUUGGAGUCGUGGUUCAGCUGAGCUCUUUUUCCUGGUGUCACGUGCGAGACGUGUGGAUAAAGGUGCGGGAGUUGGCCUUUCACACAAAGACCGAAGUGUUGGGAUCAAUAAUAACUCCGGUUUAUUUUGGGCAGGUUCAUAUUUGCAGACCCAUAUUCGAAACAGUAGGUCUUUCAACACCCCUCAAAAUUUCUAACGAAGCCCCUUAACCGAAAUUACCUAAACAACUAAGUGGAAUCAAUUCAAUUAUUAUUUCGAAUGGAAAUUCAAUUAAACACAUAACUAAAUUAUUAUUUUGAAAAACUUAUUACACCGAUCACAUUUCAUAAAUAUUUAUAUUAUAAAUUUUAAUUAAAAUUUUUUUAGAGAAAAUUAUUGUAGCUUGAGCUAUAAAUAAAAAUUAUAUAAAAAGAAAAAAAAAUUAAGAUUUUAGAACUUGUAUGUAUAUUUUAUAAACAAAAACUUAAAACAGUUACUCAUUUUAGGGUGAAUUUUUACGUGGCAAGAUGAGUUAUUGUAAUAUAUGGGUUUUUAUCUUAUAAAUUAAUCAGGGGUGUUUUAGGAAAUAAAAUUCAACAGAGUGGUAUAAGCGGUUUAGGGGGGUGUUUGGAGGUCCAAUCAAACUAAAAAUAACUUGCUCGGCUGAGGCCCGAGGAUCGUUUUUCCUUGGUAGUUUUCACAGAAGUGGAGCAUAUUAGAGUGGAGCUUUUAACAUCCCUCUAAUUCUCGAUAACACUUAUUUUUAGUUUUAUUUUUUAAAAUACCCCAAUUUUAAUUGAUAAAAUACAAAUUCAUAUAUUAAACUUAACUACCUUUUCAUAAAAUUUUAUCCUAAAAAAAUAUUUCUUUUAAGUUUUUAUUUAUAAAAUAUAUACAAAUAUUAAAAUCUUAAAUUGUUUUCUCCUUAUCAUAUAGUUUAUGUCUCCAUAAGUCUAAAGUCUAAUAAUUUUUUUAAAAAUAUUUUUAAUUAAAAUUUAAAAUAUAAAUACAAAUUAUGAUAUGGGGUGUGUAUACAUAAUUUGUUAGAAGAAUAAUAUUUUAAGUGCUUGAUUGAAUUCCCAUUAUAAAAAAAAUAAUCAAUUUAUUUAGUUUUUUAGAUAAUUUUAAUUGAAAAUGAGGCUUUAUGAAGAAUUUUGAGAGGUUUCAAAAGGCCUGUUUUUUUUUUUUUUUUUUUUUUUUGAUAAGGUGAAAAGACCUACACUAAAUCUUGUAUCUACUUGUAACAAAAAACUUGAAAUAGAAAAAAAAAAAUCAUAAAGUUGAUGUCAUUAAUAAAAGUCAGCCAAUAUAUAUAAAGAUGGACUAGGUUUAAGGGACACAAUUUUAGACAUAAUCAUAAACACAUAUUUUUUACCGUUAGAUUAAAAAAAGAAUGAAAUAUAAAGAUUAAAGGACAUGAAUUAUUAAUUACAAUAAUAUUUUUCUCCCUCCUCUCUUUAGUGUUUCAUCUAUAUUUCUUCUUUUACUCAUAUUUUCAUGUUGCUCUCUCUUAUAUUGCACAAUGAAAUAGACGGAAAUAUUAAAACCAUCAAAAUCAAUUUCUUUAUAUUAGUCUCUAAGCUCUUUUUAAGUUUUAUGCAAUUGGAGGAACUGGAAUAGUGGGUGUGCUCUUGUUCGUUUAUUUUGCCCAUUAUUUUUUUGAUAUUUUUAUGCAACUUCUCCGUAUAAAUCCAUGCAAAUCAAUUUCACAUGCAACUUAUGUUCGUGUUUUACGAUUUUGUUUGCUUGAAGUAUAUGAAACGUUUUUUUUUUUUUUUUUUUUNNNNNNNNNNNNNNNNNNNNNNNNNNNNNNNNNNNNNNNNNNNNNNNNNNNNNNNNNNNNNNNNNNNNNNNNNNNNNNNNNNNNNNNNNNNNNNNNNNNNNNNNNNNNNNNNNNNNNNNNNNNNNNNNNNNNNNNNNNNNNNNNNNNNNNNNNNNNNNNNNNNNNNNNNNNNNNNNNNNNNNNNNNNNNNNNNNNNNNNNNNNNNNNNNNNNNNNNNNNNNNNNNNNNNNNNNNNNNNNNNNNNNNNNNNNNNNNNNNNNNNNNNNNNNNNNNNNNNNNNNNNNNNNNNNNNNNNNNNNNNNNNNNNNNNNNNNNNNNNNNNNNNNNNNNNNNNNNNNNNNNNNNNNNNNNNNNNNNNNNNNNNNNNNNNNNNNNNNNNNNNNNNNNNNNNNNNNNNNNNNNNNNNNNNNNNNNNNNNNNNNNNNNNNNNNNNNNNNNNACUUUUUUUUUUUUUUUUUUUUUUGUCUAAACCACGAGAUGGUCAUGAGUGGGCCUCAAUUGUGAGAAGUACCUUUAAAUCCGUACCACUACUCAGACUAAUCUCUGCUCGCACCGGGUCGGCCCAUAAGGGGUAAAGUGCUGGCCAACUUUGGUUUAUAAGAAAAACUUUUUAGAUUUGAUAGGAGAAAGAAACGUGAGGUAAGAGAGAGAAUAAUUAGGGAAAUAAUUAAUUACCGCAUGAUGAGAUCCACGUUAUUUUGUAACUAAUAAUUAUAUCCUCUAAUCUUCACUUUGUUCAAUCUUAAACAAACCAAACGAAUCAAUUAAUCAGAUAAUGAUUUACUAAGAUCGAAGCAAUAAAUAAACACUUAAUGUUAUUAUCCACAAGCAGAACAAUUAAUUUUCUUCGAGUUGUCAGUUUUUGCUUAUUAAUUGUAAUUUAAUUCUAAUUUUUUUAAUAACAGACUAGUUACUUCAAGAAGCUGACAUGUCAUUCUUACUUGCUUCUCACGCAUUCCUCGUUGUGUUUUCAAAAUUUCAAAAAAUGAUGUUAAAAAUGAUGUUUUACUAAACUUAACAAAAAUGAUGUUUUACUAAACUUAACAAAAAAAAAAAAAAAUCAAAUGAACAAACGAAAGUAAUGUGUUAUUAAUUAUUGACUUCUAUUUAUUUAGUUAUUAUUACUUACCAUGCAACUGCUACACUCUAUUAGUCACACCGCCAUUGAAAAGAAUAUCAUAUACCACAUGAAUAAUGGAUUUUAUCAGUUUACCCUUUAGUUAAACCUUAGAAUCUUGUUGUUAAUCUAAUAUCCAAGGACAAGUUAAUCUUUUUGUUUCCAUUUUGGAUUGUAUGUUAAGUACCUUUUGUUUAUUAAAUGCUUCCAAUUGAUUGACUUUCUCAUUUCGUUGAGGUGGUUUUUUGAAAACCGGUUUAUACUAUCAGUGAGAUCUAUAGUUCUGCAUUAUAUAAUUCACACUACUUUACAGUAACGCCCUUCUCUCUUAUCUCUAUACCUGCCAUUCUAGAACACAAAAGUUCUUAAAGAUUGAUUAAGUAAUAAGUUUAAACAGUGUGAUGAAACUUACCUAUAUUAUUUAAUUUGUACGCCAACGGGUGUGGCCUUUUCAAAAGGGCUUUGGAGCCCAAGAAUCAGCAGCUACCCAACAAACUUUCUUCCUAGACAUGUUAACCGAUUUCAUCUGUCAUAGCUAUACAUAUUCAUACCAACAAAGUAGUGUGCUCUUGUUCGUUUAUUUUGCCCAUUAUUUUUUUGAUAUUUUUAUGCAACUUCUCCGUAUAAAUCCAUGCAAAUCAAUUUCACAUGCAACUUAUGUUCGUGUUUUACGAUUUUGUUUGCUUGAAGUAUAUGAAACGUUUUUUUUUUUUUUUUUUGUCUAAACCACGAGAUGGUCAUGAGUGGGCCUCAAUUGUGAGAAGUACCUUUAAAUCCGUACCACUACUCAGACUAAUCUCUGCUCGCACCGGGUCGGCCCAUAAGGGGUAAAGUGCUGGCCAACUUUGGUUUAUAAGAAAAACUUUUUAGAUUUGAUAGGAGAAAGAAACGUGAGGUAAGAGAGAGAAUAAUUAGGGAAAUAAUUAAUUACCGCAUGAUGAGAUCCACGUUAUUUUGUAACUAAUAAUUAUAUCCUCUAAUCUUCACUUUGUUCAAUCUUAAACAAACCAAACGAAUCAAUUAAUCAGAUAAUGAUUUACUAAGAUCGAAGCAAUAAAUAAACACUUAAUGUUAUUAUCCACAAGCAGAACAAUUAAUUUUCUUCGAGUUGUCAGUUUUUGCUUAUUAAUUGUAAUUUAAUUCUAAUUUUUUUAAUAACAGACUAGUUACUUCAAGAAGCUGACAUGUCAUUCUUACUUGCUUCUCACGCAUUCCUCGUUGUGUUUUCAAAAUUUCAAAAAAUGAUGUUUUACUAAACUUAACAAAAAAAAAAAAAAAUCAAAUGAACAAACGAAAGUAAUGUGUUAUUAAUUAUUGACUUCUAUUUAUUUAGUUAUUAUUACUUACCAUGCAACUGCUACACUCUAUUAGUCACACCGCCAUUGAAAAGAAUAUCAUAUACCACAUGAAUAAUGGAUUUUAUCAGUUUACCCUUUAGUUAAACCUUAGAAUCUUGUUGUUAAUCUAAUAUCCAAGGACAAGUUAAUCUUUUUGUUUCCAUUUUGGAUUGUAUGUUAAGUACCUUUUGUUUAUUAAAUGCUUCCAAUUGAUUGACUUUCUCAUUUCGUUGAGGUGGUUUUUUGAAAACCGGUUUAUACUAUCAGUGAGAUCUAUAGUUCUGCAUUAUAUAAUUCACACUACUUUACAGUAACGCCCUUCUCUCUUAUCUCUAUACCUGCCAUUCUAGAACACAAAAGUUCUUAAAGAUUGAUUAAGUAAUAAGUUUAAACAGUGUGAUGAAACUUACCUAUAUUAUUUAAUUUGUACGCCAACGGGUGUGGCCUUUUCAAAAGGGCUUUGGAGCCCAAGAAUCAGCAGCUACCCAACAAACUUUCUUCCUAGACAUGUUAACCGAUUUCAUCUGUCAUAGCUAUACAUAUUCAUACCAACAAAGUAUUGGCUCUACUGGUAAUGGAGUCCCCUUAAGUGGCUUGACUGGGUUUGCUCCCCAGUUCGAGUCGCAGGGAAGUCGCCUUUGUUGGGAGAACCUGUGCCUCCCGGUUCGAGCAGGGACUUAUAGUCUAGGUUGUGGUACGGGCUUAAAGGUGCCUCCCACAGUUGGGGCCCUCCCCAGGAUACCCCGUGAUUAAUAAAAAAAAAUAAAAAAUAGCUAUACAUAUUCAUCAUAGCAUUCUGUUGUCUUUCUUCUUGAAUCUGCUAACAUGUAUUGUUUGUAAAGUCUUCAAUUCCAGAAAGCAGCAGGUUUUGAUUACACCAUACAUGAAAACACAUCUUGCAACUUGUGGGGCAGUAACUUAACAUUUACUAAAUUUAUCAAACUCCAGGCUUCAAAUUCUUGGCAUACAGGCCAUACUCAAUAAUACCCUCUUUCAUAAGAUGAGGCACGAUCGAUGAUCCGGAAGAUCGUGAAAAGAAAAAUAUUAAUUUAUGCCAAGAUGUCUUGGCUUCUCUAAAGGUUUUUAAUUUCUCCCUAAUUUAUUCCAAAUAAUAUAGGUACCAAAAAUUCUUAUACAAAUUAUUUUAAUACAUAAUCAUAUGGCAAAUGUACUCUUGGUUGAAAAUUAUUGCGGAUAUGAUGCUGAAGUGGGCCGUCAAACAAAGACCAAAGAGUCAGACAAUGACAUAAGUCCUUUCUUUUUUGAGCCUAUUUUAGACCGAAAAUGGAAACUCAAAAUGAGUUGCUGGGCCGAGCUCGAAGAUGGGUUUCUCUUUGCAAUUCUUUCAAAAAUUGCAUUAUUUUUUUUUCCCCAAAGGGUAUUAAACUUAUUUUCUUUAGGGUCUGGUCAGAUUGUACGCAUAAUAACCCAUAUGCAAAGGCUUUUCUUGAAAUCAUGACAAAAUUUUAAAAAAAUUUAAAUUGAAAACAACUUUCGUUAUUAUUAUUAUUUAACCUAAAGAAAACUCAAUGAGUGGAUUUCAAACCCAAAUCUGUUGUUUCUAACACGAGAAAAAAAAUUUAAUGGAUAAAACACAAUGUGGAAAAAUACAUGUUACCUACUAAUAUACUACAUUAAUUGACUAAUUAAAACCCUGUUUUAUCUAAUUUGAAUUUAUUUGUUAGUAUGUCACAUUUAUUCUUCAAUAUGCAUCUUUUUAGUAAAUAUUUUAAUGCCAGUGAUGAAAAUUGAAAUGAAGAAAACUCAAUUCAAGCUUUCUCAUUUGAUUUAAUUUCUUUAUUUUGAUGUUGAAGUUUUCUUUUCUCUCUUCAACCUCUUUCUUGGAACUUGCUUCUGUCUUAAUAUUUACUCCUCUCUCUUCUUCUUCUUCUUCUUCUUCUUCUUGUUGGCUGGGCAAGGGGGAAACGAGACAACGUAACAUUUUCCCAGCACACGUAUGAGAGGCUCUACGUGUUUGACUAGUUCAUCCUUUCUCUCACGCGAAAAGGUUAACCAAAAUUUGUAUGAAUUUAUUUAUAUCGCAAAAAAGUUAGAAUUAAUUAAGGGAUAUUUUUGCUAAAAUCUUCAAUCUUUUCACCUAAUUCAUUUAUAUGACAACUAAAACGAUUUCACUAGAAAACAAAAAAUAUUUUAUAAUAAGACAAACAAAAAAUUUUGUCUUUUGUGUCUUUGUGCUAAUUUUUAUAUUUUCUCUUUUUAAUCAAAGACCAAUUACAUUAAGGGGGAAACCUUAGGUGUAACUGUGGUACCGUGUUAAAGUUGUAUCUAAUUGUUGGAUGUCAGUUGCCUGAUCCUACAUUAAGGGUCUAUUUAAUAUUAAGGUUGGAUAGGUACAGUUUGAAAGUUACGGAAUAAAAUUGUUUAGUAAAUAUUUAUUACUAUAACUUAAAGUUAAGUUGAUUUAAUUUCACAUCAGUAUAAUAAAAAAUUUAUAAUAUUUUUAUUAUUUUUUAAAAUUAUUAUUUAAAAAUUAUAUUUGCGCUAUUAGGGAUGAUAAUGGAGUGGGGUGGGGGUGGAGAGGUCUACAUCAUUUCCCACCCCAUUAAAUUUUUUUUGCCUCCAUUCCCCAAUAAAUUUAAUGGGGUGGGGAUAAGGAAUCCCCACGUGAAGACUUAUUUCUCCAUCCCUAUCCCCACCUCAUUCCCCAUUUUUUUUUAUUUUAUAUUAAGUAUAAAUAUAUGAUUUUAGUAAAUUAAAUAUUAGAGAUUUAAAAUAAAAUCAUCACCAUAUUAUAAAGUAUUUAAAUUAUUUUUAAAAAACCACUCAAAGUUUGAAACAAUAUCUUAAAAUGAUAUCAAAACUGAAAAAUAUUUAAACAGAACAACACCUUAAAAAAGAAAAGAAAAUAUAAUAAUGUUUUAGAGUUGAAAAAGAAUUAUAUUAUAGGGUUUUCUUUUAUUCACAUCAUGUUUAUAUUAGAUAAGAAUAAAAAAAAUUUAUUAAUUGACAUUAUAGUUGAUAAAAUAAAAAUUAUUAAAUAAGAAUUAAAAAUAUUUAUAUAUAAUGGGGAUUGGGGUGGGGGUGGGGAAUACAAAACUAAACCUCACCCCGUUAAGAAUUUGAGGAUUAUUUUUCCCUCAUUCUCCAAAAAUUAUUCAAAAUUUUCCCCAUUUGGGGUGGGGCUCCAUGAAAGAUUUUGUCAUCCCUAUGCGCUAUUAACUUUUGUUCAUAGUUAGAGUUUUUUUUUUUUUUUAUAGUAAUUGUGACCUAAAAACUACAACACCUCAAUAACACACAAGAUCUUGUUAGAAAUUGGAUUGAAAUGCUAUAACUAGUGAAGUUUUGACAAAAAAGAUGUUUGGUAAACUUUUUAAAUACUAAUUAUUUCAUAAGUUUUUAUAUUUUGAUACUUUUUUAAUAAAUAGUUUAUUAAAUAAAUCACCAUACUUUUUGAAGUUCUUAUUACAAUCUUAAUAUUUUAAUAAAAGGACUAUUAUAUCUUACUUUUCUAUAUACCGUUAUAUAUCGAUAAAGGACAACUUGAAUUUAUGUCUAUUUUGGUCACUAUUAUUAUAGCAAUAUUUUCGUAAUAAAAUUAACCAAAUGCGCAUACUCUACCUUUCAAAUUCACAGUAACUGCAAUAACAUAAUUUAUCAAAAAUCAAAUUACUUUUUUAAUUAGUAACUUACUUCACCUACACAGUAAAAACAACUUAUUUCAUAACCAUCGCAAUCACAAACUAUCCUUCAGUAUCAUUAUGGCUCCCAAAUGAAAAAAAAAGAAAAAAAAGAAAAAAAAGAGGAUUAUCCCACUGUUGUUUGGAGAAACAAAGUGAAAUCCCUCUCAUAUUUUAAAAUAGGUUCAAACCCCGGGUAGUUAUAAUGAUGUCAUGUAAAUCAAUACUUUAUAUAAUUAUUAGAGAUUUUUAUCAUAUUGUCCCUAAUUAUAACUUGUCUUCACACUUUAGAGUUCAUUAUCAAAUUAAUUUAAUCAUAAAGAGUAUAUAAUUCAUUUUACUUAAAAAAUAUUCUCAAAAUAUUUAAAUUUUAUAACUUACAAGGAGAUUAAGAGUAUAUUUUACUUAAAAAAUAUUCUCAAAAUAUUUAAAUUUUAUAACUUACAUGGAGAUUAAGAUUAUAAUAGUAAAAUGAUAUGUAAAACUAACUCCGUUAUAAGUGCUAGGGGUUUAGGCAUUUUAAAAGAUGAGGGAAUUCUGUUUAAUUUAUCUAAACAACACGGUAAUCCUCAUUUUCCCCAACAAAAUAAUAAAAAAAGAAAAAGAGUAGAAAGCUUGACUUCCAACUUCCUCUCAAAUUCAACCUCGUGCACAGUAGUGGAAGUUUGUAUUAUUACAACUUAGAACUCUGGCCAUUUUAUUUUCUACGUUCAAACAAUACACGUUGAAUAUUUUCUAGAUUUUUAUUCAUUCAAUAUUUGUUGUGUCCAUGAUGCGUAUUUGAAGGUCUCAAUCGUAGUGACCGAGCUUUCCAUUUGUAUAAAUAAAGGACCUGGCUAGCAGAUUUCGUUACGUUCACAGCAAGAUUUAAAGUAAUAUUCAGCAAAUAAUAGUAACUAUUGCAUAUGAUUACUGCGAAAUCACCGACCUUCGAAUUGAAGAACGAUCAUCAGGAGACGAAGCCGAUGAUGGGAAUUAAUAAGAGCUUCAAGAAGAGGGGUCAGUUGGGUAAUGGCAUUGAUGGCGAUCAUCAUGAAUCUGAUAAUAAUUGUAAGAAGCUGAGGGAAUUCGGAAGUGACGAUGAGCUGGUUGAUCAUCACAGAGCUGCAACCAAGCUGCAAAAAUUUUAUAAGAGCUAUCGGACGCGAAGAAACCUAGCAGAUUGCGCUGUCGUUGUGGAGGAGUUAUGGUAUUAUCAAUUGUUUUAACUAAUUAAUUAAUUAAUUAAUCUCUCUCUCUAUAUAUGGAAACGGUCAGUUAUUGUUAGUAUUAUUAUAAUCUAUUAUUUAAUUUUAGGUUUUUGCAUGCAGGUGGAAAGAAUUAGACAGGGCAGCUUUAACGCGAAGCUCGGUGUCAUUCUUCAACUCUGAUAAGGCAGAAUCUGCAGUUUCUCGAUGGGAACGGGCUAGGAUAAGGGCUGCCAAGGUUAAUCAAUUAUGUUAAUUUCAUCAGUUCGUUUAUAAGGAUUUGAUAAACUCAAAAGAUCAUGUAUCUCCUUUGCAUUUUGGUACAUUUAAUUAAUUAUAUAUAUAUAUAUAUAUAUAUUAGGGCAAAUUUACUGUUUGGAAAUUAACUAAUAUCUUAAUUUAUUACUUGAGAAGAUUCAACAGCGCAACCUUUGAAUAUUAAUGAUCCACAAUAUGUUCCCAUUCUAUCUAGCGUUAUUAAAUUUCUGUUUUGUCAAUGGCUGACUUGGUUAAUAUUGUUAACUGUACGCAGCUUGGAAAGGGUCUGUGCAAGGAUGAAAAGGCUCAGAAAUUGGCUCUAAGACACUGGCUUGAAGCGGUCAGUUCACAGUUAUUUAAGAGAAAACAUCUUUCAUCUCAAUAUUAGUUGAAUAUUUUCGAUAAAGAACAACUUGCUACAAAAUUGUUACUUUUUCCUUCUCGUGUUGCUUAGAUUGAUCCCCGCCAUCGUUAUGGUCACAAUCUUCAUCUGUAUUAUGAAGUCUGGUUUGCUAGUGAGAGCACCCAACCUUUCUUCUACUGGUAAGCUAGUUAAAGAAUCCCUUGAUAUAUAAUUAAGGAAUUGAUCAUUUCCUUCUUUAAUUUAAUACUACACAUUUUUAGUUACCUUCUUUGAUUUGUGAAAAUUAAUGAAGGUUGGACAUUGGAGAUGGCAAAGAAGUAAAUGUUGCCAAGUGCCCGAGAAAUGAUCUACAACAUCAAUGCAUCAAAUACCUUGGACCAGUAAGCACAUAUAUACUCUUAACAUAAAUGUAUAACCGCGUACUACAAAUAUUACUUCACAUUUCCAUAUAGAGUGUUCGACGUUUAUUACUAGAGUUACUAAGUCCUCAUUUAAGAGUUGUUACAUUACAUGUAUAUGACCUAUAUAUAAUAUAUAUAAUAAAAAAAAAGUAGUGAUAUAUAUUUGUUAUUUACAAUUGAUCUUGCAGAAAGAGAGGGAAACAUAUGAAGUGGUAAUAGAAAAUGGAAAGCUUCUUUACAGACAAAGUAGGGUUUGUAUAAGUACAGUGGAGGGUUCUAAAUGGAUAUUUGUCCUCAGUACUUCAAGAAAAUUGUAUGUUGGGGAGAAGAAGAAAGGCCUUUUUCAGCACUCUAGUUUUCUUGCCGGCGGCGCCACCAUUGCAUCCGGGAGAUUGGUUGUCCUUGAUGGGAUCCUAGAGGUGUGUGUCUAUAUAUAUAUAUAUAUAUAAACUAAAAUUUCGUUUACAUCUUGUUCUAUGAUAUAGAUAACUUGAUGCUUAAUUUGUUUAGGCUAUGUGGCCCUUCAGCGGUCAUUAUCGGCCAACAGAGGAGAACUUCAUGGAAUUUUGUAGCUUCCUAGAGGAUCAUCAAGUGGACUUGACAAAUGUUAAGGUAAUUAAAAUAAUAUCCCUCUUAUUAAUCAUUCGAGAUGUUCGAAACUAUGAAAGCACUGAAAUAUCCGUACACUAGCUAUAUAAAAAAGAAAAAUUAAAAUUCUAUUUUCGUUUCAAGGCUUUGAGCUAAUAAGUUAUAUAUAGUUGUUGCAACGUCCUACAGCCUACUAGUUAAAUAUGAGAAUGGCUUACAAAUAAUAAUUAAAGGAUAUCUCUAUAUUUCCAUUGUUUGAGGCACAUUGAAUUUCGUGUACGUUAUAAGUUUCAGACAACGUAGCAUCAAUUCACAAAUAUUCGUAUGAAUAAGCAAAUUAAAUCAAGUGUGUAUAUAUUAAGUAAUGUAUGUUACCUUGGUCUCCAUUUUCAUUUAUGCAGAAACAUCCCAUUGAUGAUGACAUCCCUCCAAAAGCCUCCGAUAGUAAGGAACUUAAAUUGGACUCAUCUGCUAAAGUUGAUGUCGAAACAAAGAACGUCAGCACCGCAGCGGGAGCCUUAAUCAAUGAAGAAGAAGAAGACCCAAAGCUGAAUUACAAUAGCAAUAAUAAUGAUGUGGAAGCAGAAGCAGAAGUGUUUGAAAUUGAUGACGAUCAGAAGCCUUUGUCACGCAAAAUAUGGACAACAGGAGCAGGUCCCAGAAUCAGUUGUGUUAGAGAUUACCCAACCCAGCUGCAAUUCCAUGCACUUGAACAGGUCAAUUUGUCUCCAAGACCAGGACCAUCAUCCAUCGCAAGCUCUAGUAUAAUGAAUGCUCCAGUCCCUUCACCAAGACCUAGUCCCAAGAUUCUUCUCUCCCCCAGACUUUCUUGUAUGGGACUUUCGAGCCCCAGUCCUAGGUCAGGUCAAAUUCCUGUGCGUCAAUAAACUUAUUAUUAUGUUUUUAUUAUAUGUAGUAGUUAAUUAAUUACCACGAGUUGACGGGGCAAUUUCAACUUCGUUCAUAUAAGUGGAAGGGUAACGUCAUUUUCCUAACCACUUGACCAAUAAUGUGAAAUAUUAACACGCUAUUAGGGAUACUGUAUACUUUUUAGCAAAAUUUCAAAUUGAUGUAAAUUUCUAAAGAAAAUUUGCUUAUAUGUUCAUCGAAUGCCAUGUUUAUGGAGAUGUGCAUGUUGUGCCUAAAUUUUCAGGUCCUCUAUAUGGCCUUAAUAAUUAAUUUGCCUGCUCCUUUCAUUUAGUUUCUACACACUUAACCUUAUCAAAUUAUACAGAUCAUUAGUUAAUUGUUAAAACGCAUUGGCUCAUUACUGCAACUAUUAUCUUUAAUGAAAGUUAAUAUUUCAUUCAUUACGCACAAGUAUGAGAAUUCAAUUCGGCAGUUUGAUUGAUUAUUUCAUUGUUUCAAUUACUUUUGAUAAUUAAGGCGCACAUAUAGUUUUUAUGGUUGAUUCUCUUAUAAUUCUCUCCUAAUUUAGGCCCCGUUUGGGAUUGCUUUUGGGAGGGUUAAAAGUGAUUUUAAAAAUUUAAAAACUAAUUUUGGUGUUUGGUAAAAAAAAAUCAAAAUUACUUUUGCCAGAAUCAACUCCUCCUACAGUUGAUUUUGAAAAGCAGGGAAGGAAUAACUUUUAGAUUCUGAUUUUGAGAAUCAAUUUUAUCCUUUAAUAUAAUUCCAUAAAUAUCCUUACAAUUAUUACUUAAACCCGAAAUUAUCCUUAUUUAAAUUGGAAAUAAAAUCAAUAUUUUAAUAAUUUUUUAUUAUAAUUAACACACACCUUUCGUUUACUCUAUUUCUUCAUAUUUUGUGUUCUAUCAAAACUUCUCUAGUGCAACAAAGCAAGAUCCAGUAUGUGUUCCAUCAUCAUAUUCAAUAACAGUAAGUGAUUCAUCACCCUUUUCAUACAUAGUCAAUAUAAUUUUUAUUAUAAUAUUUGUUGUUUGUCUUAUUUGGGUUUGUUUAUAUAUAAACAAUUCUAUGCCUAUGUAAUUUUUAUUAUAAUAUUGUACGUGUACAUUUUUAUAUGUAUAAGUAAAUUUCAUCCUACAUUAUGUACAUUUUAAUCAUUUAUUUUCUUACAGCAGUUUAACAAUAAGAUUUACCAAACACCCAUAACUGCUUUCAAAAUUCACAGUACUUUUAAAAAUAAAAUUUACCAAACACUUAACUGAUUCUCUUCACAGCUGAUUAUUUCUACAGCACAGCUAACAACAAUUAUUUUAAAAGCUGCAGCAUUACCAAACUAGCCCUUAAUCUUUUUCUUAGCAAAAUUUAUUAAUGUGAUUGGUGGUUGCUAAAUUAAAAAAUAAAGGUAGUUAAAUCCUAAUUAUAUAUUAGCACUAAAAUAUAUCAGGAGAGGAUCUUAAUUAUAUAUUAACAUAAAAUUUGUAAAAGAUCAGGAGAGCUCAAAUCAGGAGAGGAUCUUAGUCCCGAUUAUAUUUUCAGCUUUCACCACAUUAAAAAAAAUGUAAAUCACACUAAGAAAGUAAAAAUGUUAUUCGUAUAAUUUUUUUAGAUAUAAGUAUCAUUAAUAUAACUAACAAGUUUAAUAAAUUAACUUCACAAUCAAACACUAUACACACCAUAAUCCCAAAGGAUUAGGUCCAUGCCUUUAAAAUUGAUUACGGGCAAAUAUUGGCAGAGUUUCACAAUCAUGGUGCAUUUACUAAAUAAAAAUUGAAAUGGACUGAAAUUAGAAUUGACAAGAAUUGGAAUGGGAUGAAAUGAAAAUGGAGUACAGGAAUUAGAAUAAAUUUUUUAUUUAAACUAUAAUAAUUGGAAUCGAAAUUGACCGUAUUUCCAUUAAUAUGUUUAUUCUGUCUUGGAAUCAAAAUUGUAAUGAGUUAUAUUGUUCAAAUUAUUAAAAAUUCCUUAAUUAACUAUUGUUAUGAUUAUUAAUCUGUAUUUUAAUUAUCAAAUGCCAAUAUUGGCUUCGCCAGGCCAUCGAGAUUCAAAUAUUUUCUUUUUGAAUCUCGUGCAAACGUGCAUUCCAUGCGACCCAUGUAGCUAUCUAUUGGCGCCUUCUGCUGCGGCUUGUGAUUAUUAUUAUUCAAAAUUAUUAUAAUUGAUAAUUAUUGUUAAUAAUAAUAAUAAUAAUAAUAAUCAUCAUCAUCAUCAUCAUCAUCAUCAGCACAUUAGGAACAUUGCCGUAGUCGACAUCAUCACCAACGAUGAAGACGAAGAUUAUGCGGUGAGGCUCGAUUUUGGCAGUGAUCGCGAUGAAGAUAGAAAUGACAAAGAUGACCUUUUUUUUUUUUUUUUUUCCUUUGGAAUUGAGGGUAAAAUUGAGUUAAUGAAUUUUUGGAGGUGCAAAAUUAGAAUUCAUAGGAAUGGGAGACUGAUUCCUCUCCCAUUCUCCAUUCUCAAGAUGGGGUGGAUCCUAUGAUUUUAAUUCUAAUUCAUGCCUCUAUUUUGCGAAAUAAAU